rnacentral:lncRNA from 1 species
GUCUUUCUUCUUGGAGUACUUCUUGUCUUUUAUCCGAGAUCAAAUCUAAUCAAGUCGACAGUGUUACACUAUUAGGAUACUUCAAAUAAACUAGAGUAUGUACAUGAUACACCGAUGCUAAAACCUUUUCUCAAGAUGUCAUGGUGAAGGUUGUGUUCAAACUCUCCUUGCCUACAUUUCCGCUCGUCAUAUAAACCGUGGAAAUGGAUGCUACAAAACCCCUCCCGUGAAUUUCAUGUCAUUCAAUCUGUCGGAUAACCCUGCUCUUCGAUAGCAGGCGACCAACAGAUCAUAAGUUGAUUUUGUAAGUUCAUAAGAACCCUUAACACGUUCCAAAAAAAUCAUCCAAUCUGUCCAACAUGGCAUGCAACCGUACAAUUUCACAGUGGACCGGCAAUAAAACUUCCAACAUGGCAUUCAACCGUAAGAAGAAGCAGCUCCUCCACUUUCUCCACCAUCUUAAGUUGAAUGAACAAUCCUACAACCAUCUCUGCCAUCUCUUCGUUGGUCUUCAAUCCGGCAUCUAACACUACCUUCAAAAAGUCUAUAACUGAAUUAUAGUAGAUUUUGCACAGAAAAAUAUAUUUUGAAAAACAUGAAUAUGAUAUUUUGUUGUUAAUGUGCGAUAAAUAAAAGAAAAAUUAACAAAAACAAAAGAUAAAAAAUAAAAAAAUUGAAUAGGGAGAUCGGUAUGAUGCUAGCGAUUCGUGAAGUACAAACGGUAGUGAAGUACCGAUUGUAUCAUUUUCUAUCAUUGACAUGGAUUAUUAUCCUAGUUUUAUUUAUUUAAUAUCCCUUCGGUGUCAUUGAGAUAAGAGAUGUCGUUUCUAGCCUAUCUCUUCUUAUUUAUAUAUAUAUAUAUAUAUAUAUAUAUAUAUAUAUAGAAAGUUGAAAAAUCAUCAUAAACGAACCAAUAUUUUAUUAUUAUUUGAAAUGAAAAAAUAAUAAUAUUUUAAUAUGAAUUGCUUGAGCUAUUCAGUGUAGAGGGUUUGGACAGCUACUAUUUAUUAAAAGCAGUUACGGUUCACAUAAGGGAUUGUGUAGCUACUAUUUUAACAUGAAGGGAUUGGGCAGUUACUGUUCCCAUGGCUGUAAAUAAAGGUGUACAAAAGCUAACCAACAGGAUCCCCCGAAGGGGUUGCACUGCAGACCGAAAUAAUUUUGUCAAAAAUGUAUUAUUUGUAUUCAUCUUCACUUGUUAGCGAAAAAUUUUAGAUUAAAAAAUAAAAAAUGGUACUGUUUGUUAAAAAACAAAAAAUGCAUCACAUACACGAAUUUUACACGUCAUGGUACACUCAAAACUUAGCCAGAAUUUUUUAUUUUUUUUUCUUUUCUGGGGGGUGGAGUUGGUACACGACAGAAGCAAUCAGUUCCGGUUUUACAACAACAGAAAAAAAAAACAUUAUGAAAAGAAAAACUAACUCAACCCCUAUGGAAUCUCAUGGAGAUUGAUCUACAGCUACAAAAUCACACUUUCGCAGCCUUCCCGUCGUCUCCGGAGGAAACUAAUCGAAGGGACUUGCUCUAUUUUCUGCUGAUGGCAACUUAAAUGAUCAUGGCAUGCCGAACUUGGACAGGGCAGACUGGAACGCGGAUGAAAAGGGCUGAGUUGCACUUUGGUCAUCGGCUUUUAUCUUUAUUUGAGCUUUGGCGGAUGAUGUGUUGACUAUACACUCUACCAAAAAUGUUGAGGAUUCUUCUGCCUUCUGUGCGAAGAAGAAAAACUUGAAGUUGGGGGAUUGGCCGCCGGAUGCAAUGCAGUGGAUGGCUUGGCCUUGCAUAUGCCGUAAGAGUGCUUGAGGCGUUGUCAAUGCUGCAACUCCUUGAGGGUUCAUAGAAUACUCCUGCUCGAAAUUAGAAGCAAUUUGUAAGAAAGAUAUAUAUAAAAGACCGACCAAAAUAUAAGCAGUAUAAACAUUAUGCAGAAAAAUAUAUAUUUCAAGGUAUACCUGUGAUAAAGAUAUUGGCAGUUGGCGCCACUUCUGCUGGAAAGAGGUUGGAUCCAAAACAGCUUUUGGAUUAAGCUUCAACGUAGGAGGUGAAGGUGCAGGCGCAGGUGCAACAGCUAGUCCCAAGCCAAGCAGAUCAUCAAUUGCAAAGCUAGACUGCGGAGCAUUUCCUGACACACUAGGGUUUGAAAUUGCCAACUCCGACAGUUGAGAAGCGGGAACAGACACAGACGAAGCAUCAUAUGAAGGAGCACUAUAUGCAGAAGAACUGUUAUUGAGACCUCUUGUUUCCUCCUUCUCUGAGGUACUUAAAAGCAGAUCCUUAUCAUUUGCUUCGACUCUGUUUGGAACAACAGUAUCCGCAGAUUCUGUCCCAAUAGAUACAUUUCCAAUUUCAUCUGAAAACUCAAAUGGGCCUCUGUGUUCCUUAUAAGUAAACAUGUACGAAGGCUGCAAGCAUUUCAAAAUAUCAGUCUUUGUCAAUUGUCAGGCCUCCCUUCAACAAAGCUCUCAAUAUAUUGUAAACAAGUGAAAAUACCGCAAUCAAUUCAGACAAGUAACGUAUGGUUUACACUUAUAUUCACAUAUCCAUUCUGUGCGCCUUGUGUUUGUCUAUCCAGAUACCCAGGAAGGGGAUUGCGAGUGUGGUUUUCUUUUAAUCUGAAAUCAUUUACAAGGGAGGAGAAUUAUUAUUACCUUCUGAUAUACCACAGAUAAACUGUUAAAUUCGUCGAAAAUCCGAUCUUUGAUUUCACUGCUCUGGGUAUCAGCAAAGACAGAAACAGCUUGCUUUGGAGGGUUCACCACUUGUUCUGCUACACUUAUUUUAUAUUGCAAAAGCCUGUAGUAGAAUAAGGCUCUAUCAUGAACAUCCUGCAACCAACUGAAAGUUUACUGAACAUUCCUAAUGAAAAUAUGACAAAAUUCUCACCAAUAGAAAUUAAUGCACGCAUAGAACUUUUAAAGGUAAUCAUAUAUAACAACAUCAAAACUCAACAACAUGCACCUGAUGAAAAUCAGCAAGACCUGCGGCCAGUGCAGCUCCCAGGGAUUUCUGAGUCUCAGGUGGCCUCUUAAAAAAACACUUCAUCACUGCUGUUAGUAGAUGUAAACGAACCUGCGCAAUGGAAUCGUCCCAUCACUCAAUAGUACACAAGUAAUUAAUAACACGACCAUAGUUUUAAUUCAUGAAUUUGUACCAUUAGAGGUUCAAAAGUAUAUCUGUACCUGUAAAAGGCUAGAAUAUACUGACCACAAAGAUCCUACACAAUCCCCACACUAAGUACACACACAAAUACUAGACCCCUGGUUUGUUAUUAAUUUCCAAGCACUAACAUUGAAACCACAUUGGCUGAUCAAAUCGAGACUGCAAGUCUGCAACACAGUACUUUAUUCUUUUCAUAAAUAAAAAACUACAUUCCAAGUAAUUUCAAGAGGCCAACCAGAAAAUGGAUCCUCAUCAAAACUAAGUAAUAUACACUUCAGCUAAAAGAAAUAAUAAUUUCAUAUCUUUCUGUUUACUACACGAUGUGAAAACAUUGACAAAUAAACCAGGGCUCAUUAAGAUAGAACAGAAAAUGCAACUUAAUAACUUACCUCAGCGGAAUGCUCAUCUUCCCAAUUUUCAAUCAAACCCUCUAAAAUAUAAGGUGCAUCAUGCAUUUCCUGAGAAUACUCCCCCAGCAUCCAUAUAAGAGCAGCCUUGGCCUUGGGUUCUUGAACAUUUUUGCUGCUGAUGUUCCCAACAACUGCAAUACAAUCCUGACUCCAUUGUGGAUAUUUCCUCAGCAGAUCUUUUACAAGAACCUGUAAUAAAAAAACUCCAAACUUGAGUCAACCUGGCUAGCUAUCGAAUAUAUAAACGUAACAUGACCGUUAUUUUGCUUUUAUUUUCUGUUUACCUUCGUUUGUUUUUAACUGACCUAUAGCCAUUUAACAUAUCAUUCCCAUGAAUGAACCACAGUAAGCUGGUAUGCUUAGAAUUACCAUUAUAAGUAUCUAACAGAAUCAAACAUGAUUAUUUACCAGAGCUUCAGCAGUUACAUAGUCCUUUUCCAUCUCCAGAAAUUGAAGAAGUCGAUCAACAAUUGCAUUCACAUCAUACUGUUGUAGAGCUAUUUUCCCAACUGCACGGAUUGACUCUCUUGCAAUGGGAAUAUCAACAUUUGCAGCAUAUUCACAUAAUUCCGUCACUGAAAUGGAAUCAAGCUCAUGCAUUAGUCAUACUUGAAAGCUAACAAGAAAAACAGCACCCGUGACCACUGACCAAAGAAAGGGUCACCUUAAAGAACACAAAAACACACACACACGCACAUUAUUGCUCAAGAAUCUGUAAUGAAUUUCAGGUGGUGUUUUCUUACCAAUUUCAUAAGUGUUACUCUCAUUUGCCACUGCAGUCAACAUCUCAAGCUUCAACUUUUUAACAUAAGAUGGCUCAUUGUACUGGCAAUAAAAGUGUUUAUAGUCUGAAGAAAAUAUGAAAGGUGCACGCAUCACCAAAAGAUGCAGAUGGCUUAGAACUGCAUAAGAUUGCUCCGGACUUCCUGAACUCACUAAGGUCAGGAGAGGAGCUUUAAUGCGUUCAUAUACCUAAUCAAUAAAAAGAGGAAAAAUAAGCUUUAAUUAGAGAAGUUAUUCUCAUAAAAUAGCAAGAAUAGUAGACGAUGGUGCAACACAUAGUUGCCAGAUACGGGUUCGGUUCAAGUUUGUGGUUCGAUUUGGGUACGGAAUUUGGUAGUAACCUAAAGUACCAUUUGUCAGAGGGUACACAUAGACAGUACGAUAUUCAGUUCGAUUCGUUCUGAAUUCGUUAAAAAUAUAAAUUAAAAAUCUUUAUAAUAUACAUUUUACAAUAAUAUUUAUAGUUAUUAUAAACAAUUAUUUUUGUUUAAAUUGAUUAUUUGUUAGCAAUUAUUUGUUUACAAAUAAAAUACAAUUAAUUCACUUAAUUGUCUAGUCAGAAUAUUAUAAAUAUUACAUUAAUAUGGAACUUGGGAAAUGCUAUCGGCCUCCGACUCUUUACUUCUUCUCUGAAAACUCAAUACUCCUCAUGGGACCCUCAACUAACACAAUAAAAAUAUUAAAAACUACAAUUAAACUUAAUAUUUUAUCUCUCUUCCUCUCCCUCAUCGUCUUCACUCUACCUGACGAAAACCAGAAGCACAGAGCUUCCCAAAAUUCCAGUUGUUUCCAUCCUCCCUUCCCAAAAAUUACAGCUUUUCUGUAAUCUGAUUAGAAAUUAUUGGAGAUGGUUAGAUGGACCACCGAAUUCACCACUGAAUCCAAAAAGUACUGGUACGUCCGUACCGGUACGGAAUUUGGACGGGAUUUCACCGAAUCUGGCAACUAUGGUGCAACAUGGAACAUAGGCAUAAAAGUCACAACCAUCAGAUCCUAAAAUGUUAUUUCUUUUCCAAACUAGAUCACUCUGUAUACUAUAUGGAGUAUUUUCCAACCAAUUAAUAUAAAAGGGAUGACCAGCAGCCAAAAGUUCUUCUAUUCUGCUAUAUAUAUAGUAGCUCCUAUAUGAUUAUGCGACUACAAGACGUUACCUUUUGUAACAUUAACACAGCUAUAUUUCCUCCUAAAUUUUGAGUUGCAAAAUUAUAGGUUUAAAUGGAAUUGAAUUUCUUUAUGUUUACCUGCUGAUGUACAUCAGUCAUUGACAGAGUCAAUUGAAGAAAUACUUUAGUGGUUGCUAAGACAACAGCACCAUUUGCAUGCUGAAGUCUAUCCUCGAGCAGAUUCAUGACAUCAAAUAUCUCAUUGGGAUCUGCGGGUACAUAUUUAGCUACCAACUCAAGUACCAGACAUUGGGCCCAUUCACUAAAUUCCCUAAUCCUGCAAAAGAGAAAAUGUACCAAACUCAACUGCUGUUUCUUCGUCAUUAGUUAAAUUAAAUGGAAUUGCUGAUAUUGAAUCAUUUUGAACAAUUAAAAAUUGUUCCCAGGUGAGAAAAUUGUCAUAUUACUUGGCUUUCUACUUAUGAGCUAUGUGGACGAUUCAUCAUUAGAUACAUUAUAUUCACUAUACCAACAUAAUGCAGAACCCAUAUGGAAAAGAGGAGAGAGAGGGUGAGAGAUAAACUACCGGUUCAAAAGAUAGUAUAUGACUGGCUUGCUAAGCAAAAUUUCUCUCUCCCUGGAUACUUCUUCAGAUGCACUUCCUCCUAAGCUCCAAAUCUCUUGUAGGGCAGACAAACAAUUUGCAACCACCUGACAAUAUAAGAAUAUGAGAAUCUCCUAACUAAAAAACACAAACGAAACUUCCUGAAUCAUCUGUAAAGUUCAAUAUAACAUGGUGGAAAAGUAUAAAUCAGAUAAGUGAUUAUUUGACUAUCAUAUCUAAGGCAUUGAACUUUGUUCUUCACCCGAUGCUUUAUCCUUUUUUUAACAAUAAAGAGAAAAAAUACAUUUAUAAGAAAAUAUCAAAAUCAGCAAAUCUUAAUACAUAAAAAGCAGAAAACAGGGAGAUAACUGAAAUUGCCUUACCUGAGUAUCUCGGUCAUUAAGCAACAAAUGCUUAAGCGUUGUUGGAAAAUCUGCAUCAACACAAGUUGAGGCCGAUAUAUGAUACAACUUCAGAACCCCCAUAACUGCUAUCAUCCUCACAUAACUAUUAUUGUCCUUCAACCCUGCACCUAAAGGCCCAACCAAAUACUCUACAAGGUUUGUCACUCGUAGCGAACACAAGCUCCUCAAUGCAAGCCCCCGGAUCAUCGGGUCCUCAUCCUUGCAAUCUCUUUGAAGAAAAUUGAUCGUCAAAAGUGCAAGGUCCGGAUUGACCUUUGCAUAAUUCCCGACAUAAAGGUAACACAUUUUCUUCAAAACUAUAUCCGAUGUGGCUGAGCACAUCACCAUCUCCCCAAAAACAGACGAGACAUCAAUGCCAAUUGUCAUGUAAGAGAUAACCUUCUUGAAAAGCUCCCGCUUUGAAUCAUCAACUCCCGGAGCUCGGCUGCCGGCAAGAUUCCGGAGCUGCGAUUUCACAUCAGCAACUUCGCCUUUUCUGCUCGGAAAGUAAGUUUUGAGUAUCGAUUCAAAGUAAUUGAAUUGUUAAUGAGAGAGUAAACCAUGAUACAAAUGAUUCUGAGCAAAUGCUGAAACAAUUGGGGAAAGAUCUGCCAUCUAAGUUCAAACUAAAUCUUCCAAAUUAUGUCGAAAAACAAGAACUUGAAUUUAAAUUCACCCGGGCUCCGUUUCUUAUCCGAUUACAAAACUCUUUCCUCAGUAACUGAAUUACUAAAUAGACUGAUAAUUCACACGCGGAAAAUCAAUGCAUGCAGGAAACGAGAUUGAGUGAUCUCUGAAUCGGAAUAGCAACAUGCAUGGUUCGAAUUGCACUAAUCGAAAUUUCUUAUUUUGUUUGCCAAUUUUCUAUCACAAAAUUUUCUCGGGAACCAAACAAGUGAUCAGCGUUGGAGACUAGGGUUUAGAGAGAGGGAGAAUCUGGACUUACCCGGCAGGCUGAGACGGCGAGGAAGAUCGCUGAGACUGCGCCGGAGGAGCCAUGAUCAAUCGGAAGUGAACUCGGAGAUCUAACCGAGCACGAAGAGUUGGCCGCUGAAUCUCAGAAACCAAGUUGAAAAACUUGAAAGAGAAGCAUCCAAGCCUUCCCCUUUGGAGAAUGCUGACGUGGCUGGACCGGGUUGGUUGUCUGUAAAUUCUCCCCUCUUCGGUGCUCCACAGUAACAAUGGGGCUCGACUGCUCGAGGUCCAGAAAGCAAUCAACAAUAGUACAAAAUAAUUAGUUUCAAUGGGCUUCGGCCCGGAAAGCCCAGAAAUCAACUAAAACGCACCGUUUCUCGUCAGUCCCCCACACCUCCAAGAUUUUUCCCUCAUAUUUCCCACCACCAAAACCAGAACACAGCACAGCUCAGCAGCUGCUCCCAAAUCAUAGCCAAAAAAAUCAAUAUACAAAAAUCUACAGAUAUGGUUCUGCUUCACCUUCCAAGAACCCACAUAUCUCUCUACACCCAUUUCUCCCUCUUCGCAAAACCCAAAACCCCAACCUUCGCCACCGCCACAACUCUCCCCCCAGUCCUCAACUCCGCCCUCUUCUCCGCCCCCAGAUCCUCCCUCUCUGCCUCCGUACCCAUUUCCCAAAUCCCGGAACCCCAAAUCGAAACCCCCCAGGAAUUCGAAACCCGCAUCGAAAUCCCGCUCGAGAAGCUCUUCGUGCCGCCUGAAACUGAGGUUUCGCAUACCGACGCCGGUGCUCUGAGCACCCGAAUCUUGAAAGGGUCCAAUAUUCUGCUCAGCAAGUACGCCAGGAACGCUCAGGUGGACCAGGCCGAGUUCGUGAAGAGCAGUGUGAGGACUGAGGACUGCCCCUCUGAUGGUCUCCCGGAGUUUGCUCUCGUGGGUCGGUCCAAUGUCGGCAAGUCCUCGCUGCUCAACUCGCUUGUGCGGCGGAAGCGGCUCGCGUUGACGUCCAAGAAACCUGGUCAGUAAUUGGUACUGUAAAUUCCAUCAGUCAACUUUCAUUGCUUGGUAUUGUCAGACUGACUUAUUGGCUUUUGGGGAAGAAACUCAACAAAAGUUAGUAUUGAUUUGGUGGUUUGAUGAAGGUUUUUCCUUAAAUUCAACAUUUUAAGGAUAAUCUGUAGCUUUGUUUUAGUAUGUAGAGUUUGAGGCACCCUGAUGAAUGACAUUGUGGCAUUUUCGUCUCUAGACUGACCAUGCAUUCUGGCAUCUUAAUUCGAACUCGUUCAUUUUUUUCCUGCAGGGAAAACACAAUGUAUAAACCAUUUUCGGAUCAAUGGUAGCUGGUUCCUGGUGGAUUUGCCCGGCCACGGGUAUGGUUGAAAGAUAUGUAUAUUUGAUUUCUACGGUUUUUUUGUUCAUAUAGAAGGUGUGAAGAUACUAAUCUGAAAUUUUGAAUGGUUGCCGUGAUGAAAAGUUUUAAGUUUCCGAGAGCUUAGAGGGAGCGCAUUACUUAUUGGCUUUAGUUUCUUUACAGUUUGCAUUUGCAUUAUGCUAUGAUUCGGAGUCCUGCUAAAUAUAAACACGAGACUGCUGAUUUCGCCCUCGUUAUGCAAGUUUUAAACUGAUAGUCUUAUAUUACCUCUGUGCGUUGUGUAACCUGACAGGUACGCAGCUGCACCACAGGAACUUAGAACUGAUUGGGUGAAGUUUACUAAAGACUACUUCCUCAAGAGGUCGACAUUAGUUUCGGUUUUCCUUCUCAUUGAUGCCAGCAUUCCUGCCAAAAAAAUUGAUCUGGAAUACGCUAGUUGGCUGGGCCAGAAUCAGGUAAUACCCUUUCGUUGCAUUUAUGCCAAGAGUAUUGGAAGAUAUGGUGAACAUGAUGUCUCAAAUCGAAUAAUGUUAGCUUUCCAGGGGAAUUUAUGGGUACUAGAGGUUUUGACAAACACUUUAUUAGCGAUUGCACUUUUUUAUUUUCUCCUCUGAAUGAUGAACCACCCACGGUUGCUUACUUUCGAGUUUGUGUUCUAAACAUAAUUAGCGGAAAACAAAAUGGAAACUUUCUUGAACGUGCUUCCCUUUGUAACGAAUACCUGUUUUAAAAGUGAAUGAUGCGCAGAGGUAACUAACUAUCUGCCCAUUCAGAUUCCUAUGACUAUGAUAUUCACAAAUGUGACAAGCGGAAAAAGAAGAGGCAUGGAGGGAAGAAAGCUGAAGAGAAUGUGCAGGAUUUUCAGGAGUUAAUAAGCAGCUUCUUCAAGACAGUGCCUCCGUGGAUUAUGACGAGCAGCCUGACCAAUCAGGGUCGUGAUGAAAUGUUACUGCAUAUGGCUCAGCUGCGGAACUACUGGCUGAAGCACUAGGAAAACCAAAAACCUGAUCACGUCUUCCGAAUCUCAGGUAGGUAUGCUGUCUAAUUGUUCAAGAUACAUCCAAGUACAAGAAGCUGAGAUGAAAUUCCAAUGUCACACUAAGUAUUUUUAUCCCCAAAGGCUCUUUAAUUUGCAUCUGAAUAUGAUGUUAAACUUGGGAGCCAUACAUUGAGGAAAAGGAGAGCCAAUGUGCAUGUGGCUAAAAGCUAAUAGCUCAAUUUUGUCCCUCGUGUUACUGUUUUAAUCUAGUGUAAAUCUGUUUAAAUCUUUAUUUAAAGUUCAGGGAAUCAUAAUCUUUACAUUUCAACUUUGUGCUCCUUUGUUCUUCCUUGUUGUGCCAAGUUGUUCAGGAUUGUAAAUUUUCAAUUUUGGUCCGAGUUCGAACCCAAGACCUAGGGUGCAAGAGCUUGAACCCAAAACCUCAGGGGCAGGGGUUGGAACCCAAAACCUUGGAUGCAAGACUUGGAACUCAAGAGCUAGGGUGCAUGAGUUCGAACUCAAGACAUCAGGUGUAAGAGUUUGAAGAGAAGCCCUCGGGUGAAAGCAUGAACCUAACUUCAGAUGCAAAGUGGUCAUAAUCACUAACCUACAAGCACAUUAUCAUCCAAGUUAUGGGUGCAAUCUAGUAAUUCCGAUUCAUCAUCAAAAUAGAAACAACUUCGAUCUUAAGAAGUUACAAUGAAGCUAAAGACAUGCUAGAAAACUCGACGAUCAACCCAACAAGCAAAAUAAAGGGUAAACAUAAUUGUAAUUGAGAGUAAUUUUCAUUUAUAUCAAAAUGCAGCUGCAAAUGGAGACAGUCUAAACCAUAACCAACUCCUCUAAUAACAUAAUAAGCAAUUAACAUCCGUUAAACAAUGAUCCAAAACUUGUUCAAGUGAAAAUUCAAAACUAUCAAGACAAGCAAAACAAAAACCAAAUCGAAAACAAAACAGAGUUUGAGUUCAGUGGGCUUUGAAAACUUAUGAGGAAGCAGUAGCAGCACCCUUUCUCCUCGGAGCAGCUUGAGUACCUUCCAGGAAGCCGCUCUUGAACCUCCUCGGCACAUUCCUCAGGUACCUCAUCCGCCCGGUUCCCGUCGUCUUUCGGCGCAGCGCCUUCUCACUCCAGUUGUCUGAAACCAAACCCACACAGUUCAUCAAAAUCCGAAAAUUACAUAAUUAAUUCAGAAAAAAAAAAAAAAAAAAAACCAACAGUACAAGGAAAAGAGAAGUGGUUACAUUUCCUGAGGCGGGCAGCAGGGUAGGCGCAGGCGGAGCAGCGGCUCUUCUGAAGGUGAAAACUGCGGCGGCCGCACCGCACACAGAGUGUGUGCGUCUUGUUCCUCCUCUUUCCGAAACUUCCUGUUCCCUUGCCCUAAUUCAUAUUCCCAAAUUCAAACCAUUUGAAUCAUAUAUCUAAGUUAAAUUGCUAUCAAAGCUAGAAAGAAUGAGAGAUCGAGAGAGAGUACCAUUUCGUUGGCUGCAGAGAGAAACCCUAGAUUUCAGAGGAGUUGCGGGAAAUUUCUCGCGGACGAAGAUUCAGUGACUUAUAUAGUCGUCGUCAUCGACCAGAUUAGGGUUUCACUUCGAAUGUUGGGCCUCAAAUGGACUGGAAAUGGAGGCCCAAUAAUAAUCACAGGCUUGCCAUUCAAAUGAGCCAGUUAGUCUGGUCAUGUGAGGCCCAUUUGGUGAUAUAAACCAGGUCCUGCCGAUGGUUUAUGUUAAGUAAAGCAAAUUGUAAGGACUUAGCAUCUGCGGGGAUAGCUCAGUUGGGAGAGCGUCAGACUGAAGAUCUGAAGGUCAGGUGUUCGAUCCACCUUCACCGCAAAUUUAAUUUUUGUUGUUCAAUCUAGUACAUAUAAUUUUCUGCAAAUUUAUUUUUUGGUUCAUUUGAAAAGAAAAUAAAACUUUUAUAACCACAGUAUGGACUGAGCUUAACAACUCAAAAGUGGUCCCUUGUGAAAAAAUAUUGUCCAUGUUUUCUACAAAAAAAAAAAAAAUCUACAUGAUUUAACUCAAUAACAAAAAGGAUAUUAAGUGCUACUUUUAAGCAUGUACAUAAGUGAUUCAAUCUGCUCCGUUCUGAAGUCCUUAUCCAUGCCUACGUGCUUUGAACCCAAUAACAAACGGAGAUUAAGUGCCACCCGUAAGUACAAGUGACUCAAUCCGCUAUGUUCUAAAAUUCUUGUCCGUAUCUGACUAUAUAUGGCAACGAGCAUCAUAAUGAUAAUUAGACUUCUUAAUCACACUACUAUAUAUAAUUACAAUGAUGUGGUGUGUAUAUAUAUCGUAUCAAACACAUACAUUAUACGUGGAAGAUAUAUAUUAAUUUUCAUAAUGUUUCCACGAAAAGCAAACACGAGCAAUGUUGAUAGGGCAAUAAGUGGGACACACCAAGACAUCGAAACAUCAACAAUUCAAAUACGUUUUUUCAAAGUAAAUUAUCGAAUUUGUUGAAUUGGCACAAUCUUUCUCUUAUCUGGGUUUAUUUUUUUACUAUUUUUGGUGACAGACAUUCCCAGAGGAAUAAGACUAAUCAUGAUUAGAGAGUGAGCCCCAAUAUGGUCGAUUUGGGACUGUCUGAUUGGUGAACCAUUUCUGUUGACUAAUGACUCCCUGCCAUUUGAUCAUGCUACCGACUUUGUGCAUGCCAGUCCAUCUAUAAAUUUAGGGUUGGAAAUGGUCCAUCCCAUGCAUAUCAGUACAAAUCAAACCGUUAGGGAUAAUCAAUUUCUUGGACCACAAGAAAUUAAGGCAUUUUUAAGCCCACUAAUUGAUGGUCCUCGGUGGUGGCCAUGUGAACUGAAUCAUAUAUGUGUAGUACGUACGUCCUAAAUUGCCCUAUCAUUGAGCUUGUGGAUGAUAUACAUAACUUACAAAGGACCACUUUGUGUUUUUAAGCUAAGUGCAUUUGCUUAAAGAUGCUUUAAUUUGUGUUGUUGAUUUGCCUAAGUACGUAAUUAGCUUUUUAAGAUGGUUCUUGAAACCUAAUUGUCUUCUUUCGUUCUUUACCAAAUUUCUAAUCGUACCCAAAAUGUCAUAGUCUUCUUUCUUUAUUUCAUUUUUAUCUCUUAUAAGGUCAUUUAAGUUCCAUCUUUUGUAUUUGGUAAUUCAAAUUCUGUUACAAUUAAAUAAGCAGAAUGCUGUAUUCUUACAGAGAAGAAAGAAACCUUUUUUGUAUCAAAAAAGGUUAGAGGGAUUUAAACUUGGAACUUCUUCUACCAUUGAGAAGUGAGGAAUAAAGAAGAACACUUUACUAAUCUUACAAAGAAUAAUAAGUUAAUAACACUAGUCAUGAUACACUUUUCACUUCUUAAACUAGAGACGACAAUUAUACCAAUAGCUAGUUGACGAAGUGAAAGUAUGCUGAAAGAUUGAGUGACCAAUAAUUAGCUAAAAAAGUUUAGUGAGGAAUGUAGAAAAAAAAAACUUAGUGUUAUUAACUUAUUAUUCAUAAUUUCAUACAGGGUAACUUGAUUCGUACGUGUUAUCUAUUUGGACUUGUUUUAUAAUAAAUCAAUUUUCAAUGUGUAUAUUGCAUAUUGCAAUGUGUCUAUUUUAGCCAAAUAUUAAUGGAAGCAAUUUUGAUAAUUUGGAAGUGUUCUUAACCCUAGUUAAAAUAUUCAUACAGCAAUUGUUGUGUCUGAACUUAUCUAAAUUAGCAUUAGGUUUAUUUUUGUUUUAUUUGUAAUCCGUGGAUUAAUCAUAUAUAGCAUUGAGAUACAAAAGCUAGCUCAUUACAUUAGGUUGGUGGACAUGGGCAUAGUUUGUGGCCUCAACUAAAGGAUCAUCAUAGACAUAAAUGAGAUGCGGAGAAUGAAGUGUCCUUGUUGUGAAGCAGAGCAUAUAUAAUUAAGAUUCGAUUUGUGGUUGCUUCGUCAAGGCAAUUCGGUCGGAACAAAUCCUUCCAUGCAUCUUGAUCUUGUAAUCAUCAUGAAUUGUCAAACUCAACUCAUGCAUUCUCCCAUAACAUCGUACCACCAUAUGUUAUUCCCACGCAAAUCGCAACGCAAUAAAACAUGCAAACAGGAACAAAAAACCCCAUGAAUUUGAGUUUGGCUUUUUCAAGGUACAUAAUUUCCUUAGGCUAUACAUGUAGGCAUAACUUUUUUAUUGUUUAGUAGCAAUAUAUGAAACUAGCACACGAUUAUUUUAAGUUAACAGAUAAUCUAAAACCAUAUUUACCCUUGAAGUUUAUGAAUGAGAUCCAAAUUAAAAAUUUAUUGGCUACAAUACUUAUAUGCAUUUAAUACAAUAACCAUCCUGACUGUCUGAUGAUAAUUGUAUAAAAUACAUAUAUUCACAUGAAUUACAUCUUAAGGUCCGAUGAUUAUUGUAUGAAAUAAAUAAAUAAAUAAAAGUAUUUAAGCUAAUCCCCAAGAAUGUGUUGGCAUGGUUGAAAUUAUAGUUUUGUCAAAUAUUUGAAUUCACGUAUUCAAAUAAUAAAAAAAAAAGAAUUCACAACUUUGUUUAACAAAAUGGUACUAGCUACUAGACCAGUGAACAUUAUAAACAAUAACUAACCCGAUAAUGCUAUAGAUACUAAAUUUGUAGACAAUAUUUUGUAAAUUAAAUGACAUGGAAGUUGAUGGUUGAAUUAUCAUUUAAGUGUUAGUUAACGUGUUUAUUUUUUAUUUGUGACACAUUAUUUAAUUUACAAAUAUAAUUUAUCUAGUAUUAUUCUAACCACAAUCGUAACUUUUUCUCUCGUGCUCUUUGUUGACAGACAUGGACAUUAAUUUGGAAUUUGAAACACCUCCAUCCUGCAAUUUGAGUUAAGUUUUAUAGGUAACUUGAAGUAACUGUAAUUAGUUAGAUAGAUAAAACAGAUCAAAUUGACAAUUUAGCUGGGAUUCCUUGACAUGAGUCAAAAUAGAUCAAAUAUAUCUUUCUAGAUAAUGAUGAAAUAAUUCAGUUACAGUCAUGAGAGAAUUUAGUCAAGGGCUUAUUAACAGUCUGGUUAUUGGGAUCUUGAGUUUUUUGGAUCAGAUUUAUUAACGAUUGUUUGUUAUUGACAUGUGUUAUUCAUAUACGAGGACGAUUGAUAAUAGCAUAUUCUCCGUUAUAUGAUGAAUACGGCCACAUAUUUUGGGAUAUGAUUUAGACUCUUCAACUCUAAUAGUUAUGUUGUCGAUUCUAAUUUUACCCAAGUUCACCGGGAUUCUAGUGACCCGAGUUUGUAAUGCUUAAUUACUGUUUGUAUUCAUCAAUCAUAGUAUAACAUACCCCUCCCCCCUUUUCUCUGUUUUUUUUUUUUCAAAAGAUAGAAAAUUUCAUUAAAUCUGAAUGGAAACAUUUACAUAGAGGCCAAAAUAUUAAACAACCAAUCCGACUUAAAACAAUCUCAUCUAUAAAGGUUACAUUCCCUCGAAACAGAAGAAGCCACUAAAUGCGGAGUAUGAUGAGAUUUUGGUUCACUUUUGAUAAAGAUGUGGAGUGAUUGAUAGUUGUUCUUUGGUUGUCUUUCAAAUAUGAGAAAAUGACAUAUGCAUGCCUACUAGUAUAAAGUAAAUUUUAAUUACCCUCAUAAUAGUAUAAAGCUUAGUAAGUGAGGAUUAGCUAGCUAGCUAUAUAUAGUGCUCCUUUAGGAAAAACAUGAUCAAAAUAUUUUAAUAGCGUUGACUAAUAAUUGUUAGCACUAUAUAUACACACACACUAUAUUUGAUGAAGCAAAUAUUUCAUGAUUUCAUGUAAAUAUUUGAUCCAAGUGCUAUGAUUAAAACGUGGGUUCUCGAUCACUCUCUGAGAUGAUGAUUCAUAUUUUAUGCAUCCUGGAUUGAAAAAGUGGUGGUCCAAUCUUCUACUUGGGAGUGAAAUCAUUUUGACAGCGAAAUUUGCAUGCCAGCAGUAAUAAAAAUCUGCAAAAAGUUUGGUGUAUAAUCUAUAUCCAUGUCAAGUUGGAAAAUGAAAAUAGUAGGGUAAAAAGUUUGAAGUCAGUUCAUAUGAUUUUCAUUAUUCUCAGUAGAUCAAGUCAAAUUUUCCAUUGAAGUUGUCUGAAGACACUACACCCCUCAAAAAAAUCCAGAAAGAAGAAAUACAAAAACCCUAGCUAGAUAGAGAGAAAGAAUAACCCGCACACACAACCCUAGCUACAUCAAUGUUAAUACUAAUCUCUCAAUUGUCUCUCAUCCCAACCCCAUUGAAAAUACAGGCAAAAAACCACAAUCAUUUGCAUACACUUGAUGAAAAAUAAUACCAAAUCCUACCCUUUACUCUCUCCCACUGAUCUCUCUGCCUCUAUAAAAAAAGUCAUACCUAAUUAGAGAUCAAUAAUAAUGUACAAGUGUACAUGCUAGAAGUUGAUGAGGUCCACCCUGCAAAACCGAUACCACACACAAUGCUUCUUUCUCUCUCAAAGUUCCUCUUUCCCAAUCCCCUGCAGCUAGCUUCUUGUCAAUUUCAAAAGUAAAGGGGAUCGUAGACCCAAUUCUCUCCCUUUCAACCUUUUCUUUUUCUUAGGGGUUUUCAUUUUUCUUUUCCUCAACUGAAAGAGCACACACUUAACUUUUGAGAAAUGAUUUAUGCACACCGUUUUCACUUCAUUCACACCCCUUUCUUUUUUAGCCAUUGAACUCAACAAAGCAAAUAUAAUCACGGACGGAAAUUAAGAGGGAGUGUGCAGCAAUCACUACUUUCUUUUUUUGCACAUGGUGCCAACCAUAAAAUAUCCUCCAAGAGGCGAUCCUUUGGUAAAUUUUUUCCUGGCCAACCCAAAUCUCUCUCUCUCUCUCUCUCUCUCUCUCUCUCACUCUCUCUCCCAGCUGCCUUCUCAUUGUUAUUAGCUCAUCAAAUCAAAAUCAUCAUAAUGAUGGUGGUGAUGAUGAUGAUAGUGGGAAAAGUGAGGCUUUAAAGGGAGUACAAUGCUUUGCCUCAGCUUUCCAACACCGUUCAAUAUCUUCAGCAAUUCUUUUGGCAUCCAUUGAGGCACCAAGUAGUCCACGUUUGGUAAACCCCACUGCAUAUAACCCACAUUCACCUUUCCAACCAUUUGGAAAUGGCGUUCUAGGUAACCCAUCUUCCUUUGAAAACAUAUCACUCUCCUGCAAUAACAUAUAUAUAUUUUAGGGAACAUGCUAAACUUUUAUUCCCUAUACAUAAUAAUUAGGGUAAAAUUUUCUUUAUAGACUUCCGUUGUUAGACAAACGCUUUAUACAUAUAUAUUGUCAAAUUUAUGUGUACGACACAUUCAUGCAAGAAUCAAUAUAAUCAAUAUUAUAGUAGGAAUUGAGUUGGCACCUUUAGCCAAAUGGGCACAUUGCUUCUGUAACCUGUUGCUAAGACAAUGGCAUCAAAUUUCUCCGUUCGUUCAUCAAUGAAUUCUAUGGCGUGAGGUUUUAACCUCUUGAUGGCUGGACAUAUCUACAAUAUUACAUAGUAUAAAGUCAGAAAAUAAGGAAAAUGAACUAUGUGUCGACAUUUAUAUAUAUAAUAAAAAGCAAAAGAAGCUAGACUUAUAGUUUACCAAAAAAAAAAAAAAAAGCCUAGACUUAUAACAUUUUGAUAGUAAACAAGAUUCUAAGAGCUCCAUACAUAUUUUGUUCCAGUUAUCGGGAAAAUAUUUAUUAUCAAACAUGUUUAAAACGGUUCUAUGUAACGUCAAAUCACCAUAAUAUGCUAAACUGUCUGACAAGAGAAAAACAAAAUUUACUUGUUCGUGGGACUGCUAUUACAUCAUAAAGCAUAUCUAGAGGUACCAUCAUUUGGAAAAAAAAUACUGUGUAAAUAAUUAAAAGCAAUGGCUGGCAAAUAGUAAAUUAAAAGAAAAAGAGAAGAUUAAAGUGAGAUUGAGAAAUGACUUGAUGAAAAAGCUUGGUACCUCAAUGUCUCCACUUUUGAUCUUUGCCAGUGUACCAACGUCUAAGACAGGGGUCUUUCCAGACAAGGUCUUGAGCUCCAAGGGACCCAAUUUCGGUCGGUAUAAUCCGAGUCGAGAGGUAUUGCCGAGAAGCAGCCGAGACGCAACCAGCAAGAACCGAUCCACAAGUCGCAUGGGCAGCCACUUGAGCAACCACAUGGACAGCCCAAAAGUUGAUUUUCCAAGCAUCUCUCUUGGUAAGACAUGUACCUAAUUAAUUCAAAUAUAAAAAAACAAAAAUAUAAAAUUAAAAUUACACAAGAAAAAGCUCAAAAGGCACAAAAAAACGAAAAAAAAAAAGAAAGGAAAAAAAGGCAAUCAAACAAUUAACAUGGAGGUGAUGUGUGAGUCCCAUUCCAUGGAGGCAAUCAAGCAAUUAAUUGCUUCAUAUGCCAAGGACGAAAGAAUAUUAAGGGCACAACUGUUUCUUUAUUCUGAGAAAAAAAGGUUUAGAAGUAAGAGAGACAUAUGAAGCUUCUGACCAAUGCUACGCAUGCUUUGGUGUUCCAAUAAAGUAAAAGAUGAAAGGAAAUUUUGUUUUGCUAAAAAUAGGGUUUUAUAUUCAUGUUUACUCAACUUUGAACAAACCAUUGGAACUUGAAAUGAUAAAUAGUUUGAGAUUGUUUGGGGGCUUUUUUUUUUUAUUUGACAAAACAAAAACCAGUUAAUGGCUCUAAAAUAGAAAAAAUAGCAAAGAGAGUACAAAUUUCUCAAAAAUGGUGUUUCCAUUAUAUAUAAAUACAGAAUUUGUGUUAAAAAAUUCAUUCAUAGUUUUAUUCUUAAAGACAAGAAAUUAGGACAAACAAUUGAGUGGUGAAAAAGUGAGGAAAAAACCGAAGAAACACAAAUUAAAACUUGUUAAACACAAAAUAAAAAACUCAAGGGCACCAAAAAUCUUAUAGCACUUUAAUGGCAUUUGUUUAGAGAGAGAGAGAGAGAGUUCUUACUGUAUCUCUGACCACAAGAGAAGGCCUAGCAUUAUGAUUACAUAGAUCCAAGCACACCUCCAUGCCUGAAUUUCCACAACCAACAACCAAAACUUUCUUCUCUCUAAAGUCUUCACCACUCUUGUACAAACUUGUGUGCCUUAUGGGCCCUUUAAACUCAGUCAUUCCCUCAAGCUUCGGCACCACCGCCUCUGCAUUCUCACCGGUGGCGGCAAUCAACCACCGGCACACAUACUCCGUCUCAUCACCACCUUUCACUCCCGUUGUCCGCACACGCCAAAACCCGAGCGUGGGAUCAAACUGGGCACUGGCCACGGUCUCAUUGAACCAUGGCCUAAUGUCAUACUUGGUAGCAUAAUCGUCAAGGUAUUGAAUGAAUUGUUGCUUUGUAGGGUAAGUUGGGAAAUCAUUGGGGAAAGGCAUGAAGGGUAGCUCACAAAAUUGCUUCGGCAAGUGAAGGCGAAGGCGGUCGUAGGUCUUGAGCUGCCAUAAGGAGGCUAUGCAAUUGGAUCUCUCCAGGAUCACACUCGGUACACCUUUUAACUUGAGACAUGCGGCGGUUGCAAGCCCUGAUGGCCCUGCACCUACGAUGACCGGCCCACACACUACGAGUCUAGACGACGGUGAUGGUGAUGGCGAUGAUGCUGACGAGGACGAGGACGAGGACGAGGACGAAGACGAGGAAGACUUGUUGCUCAUUUUGUCAAUGAAAUAAGGAUCAUGGGAUUGCUUGCCUUGUAAUUCUCUUGUGUUGUAGUAGUCCAUGGACAUCUAAGCGACGAUAUGUAACAAAUUAAUUUAAUUCAAGAACAGAAAUAGUGAAUUAAAAGUUGAAGAAGCUAGCAGAGGAAUUGUUAGUGAAGGAAAGAGUUUGGUUUGAGAGGAAAAAAAUAAGUGAGAGGAAAACAUUGGGAGAGGAGGUGUAGGUUUUGGGACUGUGGGAGUCUCUUAAUCAGUCUAAGUUUAACUGUUUUAAGAGGGGAUUAAGCUGAUGGUUGGUUAUACAGAGUUAGUGGUGAUCAAGGUGUUUUCUCUUUCUCACUUAUCAGGGAAAGAUUAGGCUUGUGAGGGCGAUUCCUUGAUUUAUGGAGCGGAUUAAGAGGGUCUUAUCUAUUUGUGAGAAUGAGUAAUUCGUUUUUUUUCCUAAUCCUAAUUUUCUGUGUGUUGUUCAAUGGGAGGGUUUAAGCGGAGGAAUGAGCAAACUACGGGACUAAAUCAGCAUUCAACACAAGGAGAGAGAGAGAGAGAGAUGGAUAGAUUGAUGGUGAAAUGUGUAUUUAUAUUCCUUAUUGUUCUCAUACAGGAAUUUAUAUGAGGAAGGCUAAGCGGUGAAGAGAUAUGGACAUGAUAUGAAUAUUAAUAAAACUAUAAAGCAUACUAUAAAAAAUAUUUUCUUAUAAAACAGUCACAAUUCGAAUCGAAAUAUUAACAAUGAAGUUGAUUAUUGUUUGAACAUGUAACAAAUACACCCCUUAGUUUAUCUGAAAUUAGAGGUGUGAAUGGAUGUCCUUAAAGGGCACAAAUUCUUUUACAUAAUCCUAAAAUAAUGAUCCAUAUUAGGAUAAGUAGUCAUUAAUCUAGAUGGAUUUUCUUUCAGCCACUAAUCUAGAUGAUUAAGGGAUGUGAAUUAUUGGCAUUGGAAAAUAUGGAUCGGACCAACUUGGCUUGGGCCUCGGGGCGGUGGAGUAUGAAUUGUAUCCAAGAUACCAUUCACAUUACAUGGGGAUACUUUAAGAGCUGUGGUUGAUUUGUAAUCAUGGAAAAUUAAAGUAGAUAUACUACAAGCAAAAACAUGUUCUUGAAAGUAAUUAAAAAUCAAAAGUGUGAAAAUUAAUAAAUUCUUGGGCUGAAGAAAAAGAAAUAUUUUGAAUUUCUAUUAUAGUGCAUUUGAAUUAAGGAGUUAGCUAGAUGUUGUUUUAGUUGAAAAUUACAAAGCAUGCCGAAUUAGAAUUCUAUACAAUGGAUGACUCGUUUAUAUAUACACAUACUACAUACAUAUAUGUAUAUAUAAAUUAGAGUUUUAUUUAAUUGUGAAAGUGCGGUGGCUUGGCAUUUGAUUUUCAAAGGAUUGGUGUCCAUGAAGAACAGAACUUGGUUGCUGCUCCUACUGCCGGCCAAUCAUAAAUAAAUAUGUAUCCAAGUAAUUGAUUUUUACUAUCCGUCCAUAAAAUUAAUGUUGUAAACAACUCCAUGAUAGGUGAUCCAUUGGGAAGUUCUCGUGUGAGUUCCCAGAAACAAAACCGUGAGGGCGUGGUUGGGGCCCAAAACAGACAAUAUCGUGCUACGGUGGUGGAGCGGGCCCGGGAUGUGGUGGACCUCGGGUCGGGAUGUGACAUAAAGUCUAAAUUUCACCUUAUAUUAGAGAAACUCUUAAUUUCAACUAAAACUGACACAUUUCGUCAAUAUUUCCAACACAUUGGUUAAAUAUCGACAAAUUGCCAUAUGAUAUUCCCUAAAGUUUCAUUUUAAAUUUUCAUAAUUUUCAUCGAAGGCAACCGCUAUCGAUAUCAAUAUAUCCAUUAAUAUUUCUACAAAUUUGUAUAUCAAUACUUCUACCAAUACCGAUAUUUUAAACACUGAUAACAACAAUGAGAGUGGUGCUUAUGUGUCUAGGUACUGGAUUGGAAAAUGGUUUAUUAGAAUUUAGUUAGUUUUUGAUAAUGCAAAAUUAUAAUAAAAAUGUGUACAAAACUACAUAAGUAAGGAAUAUAGACUACACAAUACUGACAAUUUUGCGUUUAACUUACAAAUUGCAAUCUCUUAAAAAAAGAGUGCAUUUUUGCUAUAGUGUAUGUUCACCACCCUAUUUAUCACCGUUAGAUGAGUUUGAAUUUUGAGAUUUGUGCUUAUCCACUAUACGAAUUUCGAAAUUUAAAUUCAUCUAACGGUAAUUAAUAGCGUGGUGAGCAUACACCAUACUAAAUGGUGGUAAGAAGAAAGGGAACUUUAACGAAAAGCACCCGGUACUGUUCACUUUAACGAAAAACCACAUUUUUACACUAAAAAGUCAAUCCUGAUACUAUUCACUUUACCAUUUAUUUUGUACUUAUCAUUAAAACUCAAAGUUUUCAAACCCUUUUGAUUAGUUUUCCUAAGAAAAAAUGCUUCCCUUAAAAAAAUAGACAUGUCUCUGUUUUUUGGAGUUAAAGUUAAUGAAAGCAUUGCCUAGAGAGUACAACCGAUAAUUCAAAAUUAAAAUAUUUUCAGUUUGGAAUUUGAUAAUGGAAUUUUGUACUUACACAAUUGACUAGACUUAAAUGAAUAGAACAAUGGAAGGGAGAAGAACAAUAUAUCCGUAGGAGAAAGUACAUGGGUUUAUAUUAUGAAACCCAAUGUCAAGGACAAAAUUUUGUCAAUGCGGGGGCGUUAAAAGAUUGCGAUUGUGUAAUAACACACUAUGUGUUCCCAAUGAGUCCCAACCAGAUUAAACCCAAAUCUCAAUUUUAAGUAAUUGUUUGCUAACCGUUCCACUUCACUUUUAGAACUACUUAGACAUUAAAAUAACUUAACUGAUUUUUUGACACACAUUUGAUGCUGGCCCAUUUUAUAGGCCCCAAUCUGUAAUUUUCUUUUCUAACCAUCCAAACCGUUUAUAUUUCAAUUCAUUAUUCAUAAAUCAUCUUUGUAAAAAAUAGACAAAUUCAAAUUAUUAAUACAUUCGUUUGUAGUGACGAAAAUGGACAAGUAUAGUUUUGCAUAGAAACACUAAAAAUGAUUGUCAUGUAAUUAACGGUCAUAUGAUUUCGAAUUUGGAUAAUUUUUUAUAGACAUGAUCUAUAAAGAAGACCUAAAAAGUAAAUUGUUCGAAUUGUUGAUAAAAAUGAAAUCACCAUUGUCCUAAAAAAACCGACAUAUCUGUGUAUAUGUGAAAGAAAAAUCAUCCUUAUACUAGACCACUAUAUUUGAUGAACCAAAGAGAAGAAAUCGUUGAGCCUAAAGGUCAACACUCUCAACACACCACCAAAUACUAUGCCUCCCCUACUAUUUUCCUUAUGUUCAACUCUAUUUUUGUUUUGUGAUUGUUGUCACACUGAUAAAAAGAUUAAUAAUCUAAUGCAAAACCCGAGGAAACCAAUGAUUUCAGUAAAAUGCAACUACAAGAACCCAAAAAUUGUAGCUAGCAUCUGCAAGCAUACCUAAUCAUUGGAAAAUAUCAACAAAAUUAAAAGCGUUGUGGAAACAAGGACCAUAAUAUUAUCGUGACUUGGACGUACUCACGAAUUCGAGGGCCACCUCUGGAGAUGCUAUAUGUGGGUUGUUACGAUUCUUAUGAAUUUCUCAUCAAAAGAAAUCAUAUCGACACUCAUUAGAUGAUAUGAAUUGGUUCAAUGGAAGUAGAUUAUUGGCCCUCAAAUCACCGCAGUGUGAUCAAUUUUCUGUCCCACUAAAAGUUUAAAAAAAAAAUUGACGUGUUCAGUUGUUUUUAAUUGGUCUCACACUCUUCCAAAAUAAUGUAUUUUUAACAACGAAUAUUUUUACUUUCAAAUGGAGAAAGAUUAGACAAAAUUAACUCUUCGGCAAUAGUCGUGUGUGUUGAACAUGAUAUGUUUAUGUACCAUUAAAACACCGUAGAACUAACCUUGAGAAGUCAUCUUCCUAGCACGGCAAGGACUGCAAUUGCAGCAAGCUUUACUCGAACACCCUAGACUUUGAAGAUUGGUCUUCUGCACACUCACCACCACUGUAUUACUCGAACCUAUGGGGAAUUCUGCAAGUAUGUGUAUCGGUGGUGUAUGCAGGGACCUUCCCUUGGUAUUUAUACUACUUCAACCCUAGCAUACAUUCCCAUAAUCAUACGCUAGGAUUCCUUAUUGUACAAGGAUAUAAUCUACCAAAUCUCAAUCCAAAUAGGAUAGUAUCAAGAACCCUUAUUCUCCAAUUAUAAAUGGGUUAUAUACCUUUACUUGGAGUCCAAGUUAUAGCUUAUAACUAAACCCUAAUCACACUUACAUUCCACAUCAAUCCUUAUUAACUAUAUUGACCUAUUAGCCGUUGGAUUAGAGUCUAACAUCCAACAUUCUCCCACUAGGUCAAUUAGUUAAUUCAAGAAAGAACUUUAAUGAAUUUGUAAGCAUGAUUCUUUAUUGGCCAAUGGAUUCAGUUAAGCUAAUAAGCUUCUUGCAUACUUCUGUCAAGUAAAGAUUACUCAUUCAGAACUAUCGGAGACUAUGAACUUACAUGAGUGUUCAUGAGCUCUUAUAAUCACUGAACAAGAUCCUUGCUUACAUGAAAUAGUCAAUCACAGACUUGGUACAGAAGUGAGCCACAUAACCAUGAGUCGAAAGCAUCAACUCCAUCACUUCCAGGUCCACUUAAUCAGUCUUAUUUAUGAUUGCUUAAUGCUUCCUAUGAAGCUUUCAAGCUAUGAGAAUAGCUUACAUAUAUUUUUCGUGAAAAAAUUCAGUACAUAUGCCAAUCAAUCUCUCGGCACUACUAAUUGUAGCUGAUAACCUUUUGCUGCUACAUUGUCUCACUGUAAUAUAUAUCAGUUGCUUAUGAUCUUUCAACAACUUUUAUUUCCAACAGAAAAUAAGAAUUAGAACUAUAUUGAAACAAUGUAUGAAUUACUGAAGCAACAUCCUUUUAUUAAACAUUCAAUUCAACCAAGUGCAGCGACUGGCUAAACACAAAACCAAAAUUACUAUUUACCAUCACGAUAAUAACCAAUAUGCAUAACUAUGCUAUAUACUUUUACUACUCCCACUAGUUCAACAAAUCUAGGGUUGCAGUCACUCCCAUACUGACUGUAUGCUUGUGAAAAACUGCAUUUGGUAAUACCUUAGUGAGUGGAUCAGUAAGCAUUGCAUGAGUGUCAAUGUAAUCAACCUUGAUCUCUCCAGACUUCACUUUCUUCCUUGUCAAUGGAUAUUUGGUGUUCAAGUGCUUAGUUCCUAGAAACCUUUUAUUAUUUUUAGAAUAAAAGACAUCAACUUUAUUAUCACACCAAAUUUGAACAGGCUUUGCAAUUGAAUUCAUGAUCUCGAGACUGCUGUGAAAUUUCUCAGCCAUAUAGUCUGUGAUGUAGCUUCAUAACAAGCUACAAACUCAUCUUGCAUAGUGGAAGUGGCAACAAUAUCUUGUUUCAUACUCUUCCAUGACACAACCUCAUUUGACAAUGUGAAUAUAUAACUUGAAGUUGACUUAAGUGAAUUAAGGCAGCAUGCAAAAUCUGAGUCAUUAUAGCCUCAUUAUAGCCUACUAGUUCGAGUUUUGAAUCCCUUUUGUAUACUAGCUAAUAUUCUUUUGUUAUUUGCAAGUAUCUCAAAACUUUCUUGGCAGCUAUCCAUUGUGCAUUGCCAUGAUUAGACUGAAACCUUCGCAAUAUGCUAAUAGCAUAUGCAAUCAAGUCUAGUACAUACAUGUGCAUACAUGAGACUCCCAACGAGAGAAGCAUAAGGUUUACUAGCCAUUUCUUUCUUCUCAAAAUCAGUCUUAGGGCACUGAUCCUUACUGAGCUUUUCUCCCUUUGUCAUGGGAACAUCACAGCCAUUCGAGUCUUCCAUGUUGAACCUUUUGAGGACAUUUUCAAUGUAUGCUUUCUGUGAUAAACCAAGUAGUCAUCUACUUCGAUCCCUUGUGAUCUGAUUACCAAGAACAAAGGCUGCAUCUUCCAUAUCCUUUAUCUCAAAACGUUUAGACAUAAAUCUCUUGGUGUCACUUAGUAGUGAUGCAUUAUUGCAUGUUAACAAUAUGUCAUCCAUGUAAAUGAUGAGAAAAAUAAAAUAGUUUCCAUUCCUUUUCAUGUAAACACACUCAUCACUAGGGCUCUCUUCGAAACUAUAUGAUGAAACAACCUCAUCAAACUUCAAAUACCACUGCCUCGAGGCCUAUUUCAAUCCAUAAAUGGAUUUGUUAAGUUUAUAGACCAAAUUCUCUCUCUUUUCUUAAAUGAAACCCUCUGGUUGCUUCAUGUAGAUCUCUUCCUCAAGGUUUUCAUUCAAGAAUGCAGUCUUAACAUCCAUUCGAUGCAAUAGUAGAUUGAAGUGAGCCACUAGUGCUAUGAUUACUUUAAAAGAGUCUUUUGUAGAGACUGGGGAGAAGGUUUCAUUGUAAUUAAUUCAUUCUUGCUGAGUAUAUCCCUUAGCUACAAGUCUAGCUUUGUAUCUCUCGAUAUCACCCUUAGAGUCCCUCUUAGUCUUAUAAACCCACUUGCAACCUAUUGGUUUGCAUCCUUGUGGUAGGUCAACCAACUCCCACACUUUGUUUUUAUUCAUGGAGUCCAAUUCUGAUUGCAUAGCUUCUUGCCAAUAUGCAUUGUUGAGACUCUCAAUUGCCUUCCUGAAGUUUAAUGGAUCUUCUUCUUGGUUACUGAACUUAGCCUCUUGCAAAUACACAAGGAAAUCAUCUGAUAUUGCAGGCUUUCUUGUAUGAGUGGUUCUUUUGGUUUCCAUGUGUAUAGGCUCAAGGUUCUCUUCUUGAAUGGCUGGUGCAUUGUUCAACUGCACAAGUUCUACUGCAAUAAUCUCUUCUUGUUGAACAACUUGUGUUGGUUUUGCAACUCGGUCACUUUGCAUUGGAAUUGGUAUAACAACUUCAUCUGUCACAGCAUCGCCUAGGUUUUCCUUUUUUAUUGCUUUGGUCUCUUUAUUCCAAUCAAGAUUCUCCUCCUACUCAUCAUCAUUAGUUUCUUCAAUGAACUUGGCUCUUCCAGUUUCAAUGAAUCUUGAAGUAUGAUUGGGACAAUAAAACAUGUAACCCUUGGUUCUUUCUGGAUACCCUACAAAGAAGCAUGUGAUUGUUCUAGGGUUCAACUUAUUCUCCAUUGGAUUGUAUGCUCUUGCUUCUGCAGUGCAUCCCCAAAUUUUCAAAUGAUUUAGCACUGGUUUUCUGUUAGUCCAUAACUCAAAUGGUGUCUUAGGGACAAACUUGCUAGGGACCUUAUUUAACAAGUAGUUUGCAGUUUUGAUUGCUUAUCCCUAAAGAAAGGUAGACAGUUUUGAAUUACUCAUCAUACUUCUCACCAUCUCGAUCAAGGUUCUAUUUUUUCUUUCACUAACUCCAUUUUGCUCAGGGGUGCCUGGAUUGGUGUAUUAAGCAACAAUUCCAUGUUCUUGUAGAAACAAUGCAAAAUGACCAGGCUGUCUUCCAGAUUCACUAAACUUUCCAUAAUACUCUCCACCCUUAUCAGACCUUACUACCUUGAUUUUGUAGUUUAAUUGAUUCUCCACUUCUGCUUUAUAAAUUUUGAAAGCAGCAAAGGCACUAGACUUCUCAGCCAACAAGUAUACAUACCAAAACCUAGAAAAAUCAUAUGUGAAUGUAAUGAAAUACUUGUAGCCAUUGUGUGUUUAUGUUGGAAAAAGUCCACAGAUGUCUGUGUGGAUUAGUUCUAGCAACUUUGUACUUCUAGUUGAACCCUUCUUUUUCUUGUUUAUCAAUUUUCCCUUAAUGCAGUUAGUACAAAUUUUGAAAUCACCGCAAAAUUUGUUCCCUAGUUAAUCUUUGCAUUCUUUCUUUUGAAAUAUGCCCUAAUAUCUUGUGCCAUAACUUGGAUGAGGUGUCGUUUGUCUGUGCUCGUUUGUGCCCUAUUAUGUUAACCACACUUGUUGGUAUAUUGCAGUUAAGCUUGAACAUGGCACCAACCAAUACUCCACCACCAAUUAAAUUGGAACUUCGAAAUAUUGAAAAACCAUUCUCAUUAACAAGCCUACUAACUGAGACUAAGUUCCUUCUCAUGGAAGGUAAAUAAGCAACAUCAACCAAAUCUAGCAAAAAACCAGAAAAUAAUCCAAGCCUAACUACUCCAAUGAGCUCCAUUGCAACUCUAGCUCCAUUACUCACGAAUAUUUUUUUAUUUUUUUUAUUUUUUUAUUACUUACGAACAUUGACACCUCAUCCUUGUUUGGCACCCUUUUACUAAUGUACCCUUGCAAUGAGUUUGUCACAUGAAUUGUAGCACCAGUAUCAAGCCACCAAGUAUCAUAAGAUAUCUCAACCAAGUUUGAUUAAAAACAAAUUGAAAUUUUAUGCACCAUACCUUUGUUUUUCUUACUCUCUUUGUUUUCCUUCCAGCGUUUAUACCUAGUGCACUCAUUUUUCAGAUGUCCUAUCUUCUUGCAAAAGAAACAUUUCAUUCUAACACCCUUAUGAAUUCUUAGAUGGUUAUUGCCCUUAUUGACCCUUCAUGCAGAUCUUUUGUUGUUUUUCUGUGGAAGGUUGUCUUUCUCAUUAAGAGGAUUGACAUUAUCCACUGCAUUGACUUGUUUCUUUCCCUUAUCUAGUCGAAUAUUUUGUUCUUCAUGCACACAUAGCAAUCAACUCGUUCAGGUCCUAUUUUUCUUUCUAAGCUAUGUAAGUACUCUUCAACUAAGAGUACUCGGGAGGUAAGGAAUUGUGUGCAAGAUGCACUAGAAAAUGGUCAUCUAUUUUGAUGUUAAAUGCAUUGAGCUUUGCAGUUGCAUCAACCAUUGAGAGAAUGUGCUUUCUUACAUCACCACCAAGGUACUUAGUGGUUAUAAGAGUAUUCAUGAGUGUUCCAAUUUCUGCCUUCUCGGAUUCUUUGAACUUUGCUUCAAUGGAGUCAAGGUAUGCCUUAGCAUUAUCUGAUUCAGUGAUUACCCUUCGAACUAGAUCAGACAUUGAUCUUUUGAUUACCAGCAACGCCAUUCUGUUAGCCUUAAUCUACUUCUCAUACUCAUUCUUCUUUUUUGCAGUUGUAUCUUCAAUAGGCUUGGUUGAUUCAUUCUCUCUUAAAGCUAGAUCGAAAUCCAUGAGCCCUAGAGUUAUUUUGAUAUCUUGCCUACAUUUCUUACAGUUGGUUCCAUUGAAUGUUUGAAUUGAAUUCAGGGAGCUAAUUACUGAAAGAUUUUCAAAUGAAAAUAAGCAUUCAAGACUCUAUAUUUUGUAUAACUGAAACAACUUAACCUUUGUUCGGUUUUUCAAGCUUAAUCAAUAUCAGUGCAAAACAAAUAAGUUGCAUAAGUAAUAGUACAACAUGAAAGCCAUCCACCUUUGUUUGGCAAUUAACUUUUACAACUCAUGCAUCUUAUAUGUUCUCACUGAGCUAUUAGUAACCUAACCAAUGUCGAUUAGUCACACCUUUAUUUGGGGAUAUAACCUCAUUGUUAUGGCUGCUGAUACAAGCUGAUCAAUUUAAACCUUGAAUUUUUAGCAGUUCUUGAAUGAUUGGGACGAAUUUGUUGUGUUUCAAUCAUUCAAUUACAUCUCAAAAACAUUGAUCAUGAUGUAACUUUCAGCAUGUUAUGAACCUUAAAACCUUUGAUUAUCAACCAUGCUUAACAAUCAAGACUUCUACAGCAAACAAUCUCUUAGUUUUAAUAGGCCAACGAUAAUUCUUUACAUCAAUCAUGUAUGGUAAACAUUUCUAACGACAAUUUAGGGUUUCUGUGGAUGUAUGCACAACAUUCAUGACUCUUGUUUGUAGUUCUUUUAUGCAUAUUACUUAGUCCUAUAUUUAGUCGAGAUUAUUAUAGAUAUGCAAGGAAAGUAUCUCAAGACUUCACACAUGCAAGUAUUAAUUAUAGCAGCAGAAAAGAAACCAGAAUCGAAAUUUAAAGAAACAUCAAUUCAUUCAUGUUGCAUGCAUGAUUUCGAGUAUGUCAGUUCUUUAUGGAUUUUAAUUACAUAAACGUUGGCUCUAAUACCAAUUGUUAAACAUGAUAACUGUUAAACAUAAUAUGUUUAUGUACCAUUAAAACACCAUAGAACUAACCUUGAGAAGUCAGCUUCAUAGCACGGCAAGAACUGCAAUUGUAGCAAGUUAUCCUCGAACACCCUAGACUUUGAAGGUUGGUCUUCUACACACUCACCACCACUACAUUACUCAAACAUAUGGGAAAUUCUACAAGUAUGUGUAUCAGUGGUGUUUGCAGGGACCUUCCCUUAGUAUUUAUACUACUUCAACCAUAGCAUACAUUCUCAUAAUCAUACGCUAGGAUUCCUUAUUAUACAAGGAUAUAAUCUACCAAAUCUCAAUCCAAAUAGGAUAAUAUCAAGAGCCCUUAUUCUCUAAUUAUAAUCGAGUUAUAUACCUUGUUGAUGCACAAAAUCAGCGAGGACUUUGGUACAACAGAAAGUGUUAAGUUUGUGACAUUCGCUAGAUUGCUCCGGUCACUAGUGUGGAUAAGUAAGUAAAUGGAUAGGGACAGGGAAGCAAACACAAGAUGUACGUGGUUCACCCAGAUUGGCUACGUCCACGGAGUAGAGGAGUUCUCAUUAAUUGUGAAGGGUUUACACGAGUACAUAGGUUCAAGCUCUCCUUUAAUGAGUACUAAUGAAUGAUUUAGUACAAAUGACAUUAGGAAAUAUUGUGAGAGAAUGAUCUCUAUUUAUAGAAGAGAGUUUCUAGUUUCAUUCUGACAUUGACACAUGUCGUGUUGUGAUUGGCUUCUGAUGUUGACAUGUGUCGCGCUAUGAUUCGCUUCUGAUGUCGACACGUGUCGCGCUGUGAUUGGCCUCCUGAUUUGAGGGAAACUCUUCUGGGUCCUUGACAGUAUAACGUUGACCGGUGCUCAGUAGUUUCAUGAUUGGUCAAGUAUGGUACAAACAGUGCUCCCCCAAGUUCCCAAGUGAGGGAAGCUCCUCGAUUGGGGACUUGCAAGAUCCAAGCCAUUGAGUAAUCACGAAACUUCUAAGUACUCAAGUGUGGUAUCAUUUUCACUUGCCUUAUCUGUCUCAUAUGUAGAUGUGGUAUCUUCUCUAGAAGUACUUUUCCUCCAUCCAGAGGUGGUAUCUUUAAUCGAUGAAGAUGCACAAGGUAAUGUAUCAAUUUCACUUGAAGCUUACUUGUAGUUUCGGGCUUAGUCAAGUGCGAUACAAACCCUAUAGUAAGAGUCCCCCAAGUCGCCGAGCUAGGAGAUUUGCUGAAGGAGGUAACAGACAAGGUAAUCAAUCAGACUUCCAAACAAGCAACCUGGAUCAGAGGUUCGACUUCGGCUUCCGGUUGAUUGUUCUCAUUCUCCUUGUGUCGUAAACAGCAACAAGGAUAAGGAGAAGCAAAUGGAGAAGAGAUGAUAUGAGAUACUUUUGCUUUUGAAGAAGUAACUUUCCACAGUCUUAUUCUUGAACUUGGCUGGAGGGUUUUCUGGUUUCCUUCAGAGUAUAAGGCCGACUCAAGAAUUUGUAGGUCAAAACAAGUCCAUAAAAUCUAGAGUAUGUUCGACCCUGAUGAUAUGGGAUACUUUUGCUGUUGACAAAGUAAUGGAUGUAUCGGCACGUGUUCUGUUACACUUGUCUCCACAUGCUUCCUUGUAUCCUUCUCAUUUGCCCUAUCUGUUCCUCAGGCAGAUGUGGUAUCUUCUCUAGAAGCAUAAAAUGUUGAAGAUGAGUACUUGAGAGCAAUGCCAGGUAAGUAAUCAGGCAAGGGGUUCCAGGCAGUUAGUUCCUGACUGGAAGCUUGAUUCCAAGUGCUGACUGAUUGCUCUCUUUCUCCUUGUCUUGCAGGUAAGAACAAGGCCAAAGGAAAGGACAGGGAAAAAGCAUGAUAUGGGAUACUCUUGCUUUUAACCCUGAUGAUAUGAGAUACUCUUGCUUUAGUGUGGCUUGUUUGCAGAGGUAUUAUCGGGAGGAAAAUAAGCUGAGUAUUUCGAGAGACCCUGCUGAGAGUGCCCUCUCGGAUGUGAAGAAAAGUUGAGCAUUUUUUUUAUUUGCAGGUCUGCCUGGCUGUGGAGGAUGGAGGUCGACAUAUAUAGGAGUCUCCCUAAUAACAAGUAGUUGUGCUAUUCCUUUACCCUUCUUGGUCAUAGCAAUGUAGUAGGAGUUGCAAGCUUUACGUGUUUUAACUUUGUUAGAGCACUUUGAAAAUGUGGUUUGUGGUAUCUAGAAAGCUGAUGUUGCAUGUGAAGAUUGCAGACAAGCUUUAUCCAAGGAAAUCUGGCUCUCGAAGUUUGGAGAGCGGUGCCUCUUCGGUUUUCGAACAAGCAAUCAUGUCGGGGAUCUGGCUAUCGAGAUUCAAAGAAUGGUGCCUCUUCGAUUUUUGAGAAAGCAAUCAUGUUGGGAGUCUGACUCUUGAGAUUAUGAGAGCAGUGUCUCUUCGAUUUUUGAGAAAGUAAUCCUGUUGGGAGUCUGGCUCUCGAGAUUUGGAGGGCGAUGCCUCUUCGAUUUUUGAGUACGCAAUCUUAUUAGGAGUAUUUUCUCGAAUAUGAGUAAAGGUUGGGCAUUUUUGCUAGUUUGCCUUGCCACGGAGCACCGAGGUUGACACACAUUAAGACUUUCUAGUUAUCAAGCAGUGGUGCUGUUCCUUUACCCUUAUGGGGAAUAGUAGGGUAGCUGGACCUUCAAAAUUUAUGUGUCUAAACUUUGUCAGAGAUCUUUGGCAAAGUUAUCUGUGGUACCCGAUGAGCUGAUGUUGCGUGUGGAAAGUGGUGCCUCUUCGAAAUCCGGAGAGUGGUGCCUCUUCGAUUUUUGAACCAACGGCCUUGUUGCCCUUUCUUUUAUAAGGGCACCAAUUUUGUGUAAGAAGUACAUUCAGAGAGUUAUUGCUUAUAGGAAUUUUCCCCUUACUUUAGAGAUUUAUUGCACCUCAUUUCUCCUUCAUCAUUUCUGAGAAUGUCUGGCCCAUCCGAUCGUCGUUUUGACUUGAACUUUGGUGAAGAGGCAGCCAUGCCUUCUCAAGACAACAUAUGACGUUCAUCCUUCUUAUCCCCUGCUGGUCCUUUUACCGUUGGGGACUCUGUAAUGAAGAAUGAUAUGACCGCUGCGGUGGUGGCCAUGAACCUUCUCACUCCCAAAGAUAACAGACUACUUUUCAAACGAUCUGAUGAAUUGGCUGUUAAGGAUUCUCUGACUCUCAAUGUUCAGUGUGCAGGUUCUGUGUCUAAUAUGGCCCAACACCUAUUUGCUCGAACCCGCCAAGUUGAAUCAUUGGCGGCUGAAGUGAUAAGUCUCAAACAGGAGAUCAGAGGGCUCAAGCAUGAGAAUAAACAGUUGCACAAGCUCGCACAUGACUAUGCUACAAACAUGAAGAGGAAGCUCGACCAGCUGCAGAAAUCUGAUGGUCAGAUUUUACUUGAUCAUCAGAGGUUUGUGAGUUUGUUCCAAAGACAUUUAUUGCCUUCGUCUUCUGGGGCUGUACCACAUAAUAAAGCUCUAAAUGAUCAACCUUCGGUGCCUCCUUAUUCUGGGGUUCUGCCUAGUACUGAGGCUCCAAAUAAUCACCCUCUGGUGCCUCAUCUUUCUGGGGCUCUGCCGACUGCUAAGACUUCUCCUGAGCAACCUUUGUGAAUGCUCCCUUUUGUUUGUUUAUUUUGAUUCAUGUAUAUGUACAUAUUUUUAACUUAUCGGAUAUAUCAAUAAACAAGCUUUGCUUCAUUUCAACGUAUUGUGUUAAAUACACCAAGGCCUUCUUCACUAAGUUUUUUGAAUUUUUCCUUUUGUUGAAUCUUGUAUGUUAAAGCUUUAUGAGUGAAGCAUGUAGGUUGAGGUAGUGCUUCCUUAAUUUCCCGAGUGAGGAAAACUUCUCGGUUUGAGACUUGAAAAAAUCCAAGUCACUGAGUGGUCGUGAGACUUCCGAGUAUCAAGGUGCAGUAGCAUAUGGUAGGAGUCCCCCAAGUCUCCGGUUGAGGGAGUUGACGAAAGAGGUGUCUUGCUAGUAGCCAAGUUUCCAAAGUAACAAAACUUCACCAUUUUCCUUUCUAAGUGGUAGCCCAAAACUCCUCCUUCAUAUAUAUUUGUUAUGAAAGUUGUUAGGCCCAAAGAAAAGAAUGCCUAGACAAUUUUUUUUUUUCAAUUUUCGAAUUUUCGAAUUUUUGAAUUAAAAUUUCCGAAUAUAUAUAUAUAUAUAUAUUUUAAGCUUUAUAGGUGAAGCUUUGUAGGUUGAAGCUUUGUUGGGUACCAUGAAUUGAUUUUGCUUCACACUAUCUUGAUCAAGAUAGUGUGAAGUUUUUGUAGGUGAAGCUUUUGUGUUGAAGCUUUGUAGGUGAAGCUUUUGUAGGUCAAGCUUUUGCGGGUGAAGCUUUUGUGGUGGGUGAAGCUUUUGUUGGUGAAGUUUUUGUGGUGGGGGAAGCUUUUGUGGUGGAUGAAGCUCUUGUGGGUAAAGCUUUUGUGGGUAAAGCUUUUAUGGGUGAAGCUUUUGUAGGUGAAGCUUUUGUGGUUGGUGAAGUUUUUGUGGGUGAAGCUUUUGUGGUGGGUGAAGCUUUUGUUGGUGAAACUUUUAUGGGUGAAGCUUUUGUAGGUGAAGUUUUUAUGGUGGGUGAAACUUUUAUGGGUGAAGCUUUUAUGGGCGAAGCUUUUGUGGGUGAAACUUUUGUAGGUGAAACUUUGGAGUUGAAGCUUUGUAGGUGAAGCUUUGGAGUUGAAACUUUGUAGGUGAAGCUUUGGAGUUGAAUCUUUUGUUGGGUACCAUGAAUUGAUUUUGCUUCACACUAUCUUGAUCAAGAUAGUGUGAAGCUUUUGAGAAUUUGUAGUUGUCCUCUAUUGAUGAAGCUUUUGUUGGUGAAGCUUUGUUGGGUACCACGAAUUGAUUUUGCUUCACACUAUCUUGAUCAAGAUAGUGUGAAGCUUUUGAGAAUUUGUAGUUGUCCUCCAUUGAUGAAGCUUUGUUGAAUUUCCUUUUUUUUUUUUUGGGAAACUAGAAAUUUGAAAAUGUGGGAGAUACAACAUAUACAAAUUUUGCUUCCACAUUGUUGAGCAAGAGAUUGUUAUGCAAGCCACACCUUAUAGUAGUCGAAGGUUUGGAUGAACCAUAUAAAUUGAAUUUGCUUCGAACAGUCUUGGAUUUGCUUCGAAGGUUUGAGAAUUGUAGUUGCCCUCCAUUGAUGAAGCUUUAGUUGGCACCAUAAAUUGGUUUUGCUUCGCACUGUCUUGAUCAAGAGUGUGUGAAGCUUUUGAGAAUUGUGGUUGCCCUCCAUUGAUAAAGCUCUUAUUGGCAUCAUAAAUUGGUUUUGCUUCACACUAUCUUGAUCAAGAGUGUGUGAAGCUUUUGAGAAUUGUGGUUAAACUUCUUUGAUGAAGCUUUUGUUAGCACUAUAAAUUGGUUUUGCUUCACACUAUCUUGAUCAAGAGUGUGUGAAGCUUUUGAGAAUUGUGGUUGCCCUUCAUUGAUGAAGCUCUUGUUGGCACUAUAAAUUGGUUUUGCUUCACACUGUCUUGAUCAAGAGUGUGUGAAGCUUUUGAGAAUAGUGGUUGAACUCCUUUGAUGAAGCUUUUGUUGGCACCAUAAAUUGGUUUUGUUUCACAAUGUCUUGAUCAAGAGUGGUGAAGCUUUUAAGAAUUGUGGUUGCCCUCCAUUGAUGAAGCUCUUGUUGGCACCAUAAUUUGGUUUUGCUUCACACUGUCUUGAUCAAGAGUGUGUAAAGCUUUUGAGAAUUAUGGUUGCCCUUCAUUGAUGAAGCUCUUGUUGGCACUAUAAAUUGGUUUUGCUUCAUACUGUAUUGAUCAAGAGUGUGUGAAGCUUUUGAGAAUUAUGGUUGAACUCCUUUGAUGAAGCUCUUGUUGGCACCAUAAAUUGGUUUUGCUUCACACUGUCUUAAUCAAGAGUGUGAAGCUUUCUACAAGUUGUAGUGUUUGCAUUGUUACAGAGGGGAAAUGUCUGAAUCAGAUGUAAAAGGGCUAAAUAGCUUGAUCUUCGUAUGCCAUACAUUGAAGUUGUUGUUGACUUGCAAUAAGACUUUGUUGGUGACUAUAACUCUUGUUGGGCAUAAGUGUUCCCCUAGUUGAGUUGUUAAGCUUGAUGGUUUUUUAUUAUUUGUGAAUGCUAGGAGUUCACAUGUACAAGUUGUACCACUCGUCUUUUGGUAGGUGGAAUGAAUAGUGAGUUGCUUUCAUCACUUGGUUGGUGGUACGAAUGUGAGUUCCUUCAUCGCAUUUCAUCACAUUUCAUCACCUGGUUGGUGGCACGAGGAUGAGUUCUUUCUUCACCUGGUUGGUGGCAUGAAUGGCAAGUUCCCAAAUGAUAUUAGAAUGCGGGUUGUACAUUUGAUCACCUGGUUGGUGGCAUGAAUGAGAGUACGGGUUGUACAUUUCAUCACCUGGUUGGUGGCAUGAAGAUGAGUUCAUUCUUCACCUGGUUGGUGGCAUGAGUGGCAAGUUGCCAAAUGAUAUUAGAAUAUUGGUUGUACAUUUCAUCACCUGGUUGGUGGCAUGAAGGAGAGUACGGGUUGUACAUUUCAUCACCUGGUUUGUGGCAUGAAGAUGAGUUCAUUCUUCACCUGGUUGGUGGCAUAAGUGGCAAGUUGCCAAAUGAUAUUAGAGUACAGGUUGUACAUUUCAUCACCUGGUUAGUGGCAUGAGGGAGAGUACGGGUUGUACAUUUCAUCACCUGGUUGGUGAGAAUAAAGGCAAGGUGUCGAGGUACAUUGUAGCAAGUGUCGAAGACACAAAGUAUGUUGAACCCUUUCGAAGCACAGUUGGCUUAUGUAUGAAUGUGUUGGAAUGUAUGAUUUUUAUGUAUGAAUGUGUUGGAAUGUAUAAUGUUUAUGUUUAUUGAUAUGAGUGAUGCUUAUGAAUAUUUUGCUAUGCAUGAAGGGAUCCAUGCUUUUGAUAUGUGAUCCAUGUUGGUUAUAACACUUAGUAUCACAUACUUUAUGUCAAAGUAUGCAUGUUGAAGCUCUGAGUUGGAGUAUAAGGGUAGGUUAGCGUAGAUCAAGUGUUCCAGUGCUAGGAACGCAAAAGACUCAGAAGAAGUUGUCUGAAUUCCCUCUUCUUUAAAUAUUUGUCGAAUGACUUGUGUGACAAAAGAUCUCAAGCAGUUGAGAGUCAAAACAUUUGUAAUGUGUAUGCCUUCUUAUAAUAGCAUUUCCUUCAGUACCUAGUCCUCCACUUUGAAAGAGUGAGGCUUGGCCCCAUAGUCAUAAUAGUCGACGGUACGUUCACCCCUGGUUGUCUUGAUACGAACUUUUAUCCCUCUUGUUGUAAUGGGCUUGCUGAGAGUAAAAAUCCUUCCUUUUACCAAGAAAAAGAUACGUUUGGUGACUUAGUGAGUAGCUAAAUGAGGCAGGAGAUGAUGCAAUGGGUGUCUGAAUGCCCAAUAUCUCCUCACUUGGUAGAACUUGACUUCCACUUCCUAUUUGUUGAUAGGGGUUAACCAUAUGGGGGUUCCCUUGGUAUGUCUUUGCUUCGGCGGAGGCGUGGUUAUAAGCCUGUGCCAUCACCUCAGAGUAAGUCUUCCAAGUGUUGGCAUUGAUCAUGUACUUGAAGAAACAAUCAUGUAGGCCUGCUGUGAAGGCCUUGAGGGCGGUCUUGUCAUCUGCCUCAAUGCAGUGAGAAUACUUAUGGCUGAAGCGACCGGCAUACUCUUGUAGUGACUCGUCCGGCUUUUAGUGAAUAAUGUACAAGUCAUCUGCAUAAUGCAAGUGAUCGGUCUGGAAGAUGUGUUAAGAGACAAACAGUUUCGUCAAUUCCUCAAAUGAGUCUACUAUCUCAGGUGGAAGACGGCAAUACCAGUUUAGAGUUCCGCCAGAGAGGGUGGAGGGGAAGAGAAUACAUCGCUCUUCGUUGGUGUGCAUCCAAUAUGCCAUGGUGGACUCAAAGAUGUUAAGGUGUUCAAUUGGGUCCUUCAUUCCAGUAUAGAGUUGUAAACCAAGCUUUUGUUUUGUCUUCACUUGAAGGGGGUGUUGAGGAUCCUUCUUGUGAGAGGGCCAGGCCUGGGUUGGUUCCAGUCAGGUAUCUCGGCCUGACGUUCGACUUUCAACUUGUUUACUUCCUCAAUAAGCUGUAGGACAAGGGGGUCAUGAAUGGAGUUAUAUACCACUAGAAUUUUCUUUCGUAAGUCUCCAUCGCCUCUUGGAAGUAGGAAAGUUUGAGCAUGCGCGUGUGGUUUUUUCUUGGACUCGCCGUACUGACUUCUAGGUCUAGUCUGUCGGAAUACCUCAAAGUCCCACGUACCUUCAUAUUCCUCUGGGACCUGUUAUUCCUUCCCUAGAUUGGCAGCUGGCCUGGGUCCUGGGAGGGGACCAAGUCUUUCAGAAACCCUUGGGUCAUUGAUAUUCGAGCAUAUGUGGAGGGGAUUAUCUCGACGUUGCUUUAGGAAGUCUGGCAGUCACGAUAAACGGCUUUCGAUCAUUCCAACCCUUCUGUAAUGAGGUGUCUUCUUCCACUUUUUCUACUUCGGGUCGAAGCAUCUGGGUUGAGAGAAGUCUCAUGCUGAUCAAUGCUUUGAUGAUUAGCUCGCUUCUCAUCAAGGAUACCCAUGUCGAAGGAAGGUGACCUUCCGUGUUAGGGGGCACCCAGAUGAUGAUUGAUGUUCACAUGGGCAACGAGCUCGCGUGUUUGAGUACGCCUAGUUUCGUGGAGCGUCUCAAAGAGCUUCUCAUACUGCUCCUGGAGGACCUCAUUCUUCAUUGUUAUCUUAUUAUUCUGAACUUCUAGCUUAUCGACUUUAGCUUGAAGAGUAACCCUUUUUCCUUCCUUCUUUGGUUACUUCGCAUUAGGUGCAAGAGGGGUGUCAUUCUGUGUGUUGUAACUUCCUUCGCUCCCUAUGUUGGAAAGGGAUGCCUGGUCAAAAGAAAGUGUACGAAUGGUGGAAACCAGCUUGGCAAAGCUGAAGAGAGUGGGAAUAAUUGUCGUUCCCACAGACGGUGCCAAAUGUUGAUGCACAAAAUCAACGAGGACUUUGGUACAACAGAAAGUGUUAAGUUUAUGACCUUCGCUAGAUUGCUCCGGUCACUAGUGUGGAUAAGUAAGUAAACGGAUAGGGACAGGGAAGCAAACACAAGAUGUACGUGGUUCACCUAGAUUGGCUACGUCCACGGAGUAAAGGAGUUCUCAUUAAUUGUGAAGGGUUUACACGAGUACAUAGGUUCAAGCUCUCUUUUAGUGAGUACUAGUGAAUGAUUUAGUACAAAUGACAUUAGGAAAUAUUGUGAGAGAAUGAUCUCUAUUUAUAGAAGAGAGUUUCUAGUUUCAUUCUGACAUUGACACAUGUCGUGUUGUGAUUGGCUUCUGAUGUUGACACGUAUCGCGCUAUGAUUGGCUUUUGAUGUCCACACGUGUCACGCUGUGAUUGGCCUCCUGGUUUGAGGGAAACUCUUCUGAGUCCUUGACGGUAUAACGUUGACCGGUGCUCAGUAGUUUCGGGAUUGGUCAAGUAUGGUACAAACAUACCUUUACUUGGAGUCCAAGUUAUAACUUAUAACUAAACCCUAAUCACACUUACAUUCCACAUCAAUCCUUAUUAACUAUAUUGACCUAUUAACCGUUGGAUUAGAGUUUAAUGUCCAACAGCGUGCGGGCACCUACCCUUCUCCGAAUGGGUGAGAACCAUUACUCCCAGAAACCCCUCGUCUGUCCACCCCCCUCCACCAAAUUUAUUGAUAAUAAAUGAAAAUAAACGAAAAAUAUACAAGCGGCAGGACUAUGCCAAGACCCACAACGACAAAAACGAUUAUAAGGACAAAAUGAAAUGUCACGAACAUGAGUAAAGACUACAAAAUCUGGAAUCGUAGACCAACUGUAAUAAGAAUAACUAUUUGCCUCAAAUGAAGCUAAACCUGAUUUCCUUCUCAAAUGUAUUUUUUUUUCAACAAAACAAAUCGCAUUUGAUGAAAUCUCCAACGGCAAUUUUUUCAAUCCAUCAUAAGAAACUACAAGACUGCAUUAGGAGCCUCAAAAGGAUAGAAAAUAACUAAUAUUUGUCUAUUUUAAUCCAUAAAUGUUUCUAAUUUCUAACCCAAGCUAUAUGCAUGGCCUCAACGAAAGCAAGAAUAUUUUUGCAACAAUUGAACAAACAAAUUUUGUUUGAUGCAAAAGCACCAAGCCCAUCUUCCGAUGAGCGAAAAAUCACCACAAAUCCUGACAACGAAAUAUUGUGAUAUGAAAAUAGAUGAGGUUCAAAAGUUUGUCAAGUUGUAUGACCACAUCAGGGGGUUUGUGACUGUGAUAACGUAGGGAUCCUUGUAGAAACAUAAAUCUUCUCAUUUAAAUAUAUAUAUAUAUAUAUAUUUUUUUUUUUAUGUGUUACAACAUUUUAAUAUGUUUGGAGAACCAAAUUUAUAAUAUGCACAGGUAUUUAAUUAUGUGAGUUUAUGAGUUGGUGGGAAGGAGAAGAGAUAGAAUACACAUAUGUGGCAUAUCUUAGUUCCGUAGGCCCGUCAAGUGAUGCAUAUGGUCCUUGUACAAACAUAUAUGUAUAUAUAUGCAGACCUUGGGGCUAGGGCAGCUAAGCACAUUUCUGAAGCACAUUGCUUUCAAACAAGAGCUCAGCAAUAGUGUGAAAUUUAUCAUGGAUAAGAACUUGAUGCUGAUAGUGGGUACGUAGCCUUGCUGUAUGUUAUUCAUUAAUAUAUAUAUAUACACACACAUAUAUAUGUGUGUAUAUGUAUGACUUUCUUUUGACUUCUUCUUCUCUUCUUCUUGUAUGUCAUUCAUUAAUACACACACACACACACAUAUAUAUAUAUAUAUAUAUGUUUAUAUGUAUGACUUUCUUUUGACUUCUUAUAUAUAUGUGUUUAUAUGUAUGACUUCUUUUGACUUCUUCUUCUGUUUUUCUUGUAUGUCAUUCAUUAAUAUAUACACAUAUAUAUGUGUGUAUAUGUAUGACUUUCUUUUGAAGUUGGGUGAAAUAUGAUAAGGCCGUAGAGUUUGGUAUUGGGUAAUAUCAUUGAACUGUGGGGACUGCUGCUAUGCCACUGAAGUUGGUGCAUGGCAAAUAGCAAACAUCUCCAUUAGGAAAACUGGUGUUUUCUUUUUUGGAAAAAUAUGAGGUAUAUUGAUUAAUUCCCUAUCUAUUAGGCCAGGUUUCUAGUAUGAAUAGGAUUAUGAUUACUUUAUUUUUUAUUUUUAGGAGGACAACAAGUGGCAAGCCACGGUUAUCCAUCUCUUUCGAGGACUGGAAAAACUCACAGAGUCAUUUCAGCCUUUUAGAUUGCUUUCCUGUUCGUUUGAAGAUUAGGUCUUAAAAAAUACAGCUCCAUAUGAAUUAAGUCUUGAUAAUAUUUAGUUUUUUUUUUUGUUGUGAUGUAGUCUUCUUGACAAGUUUUAGCAUUUUUUCUUCGUGUAUGUAUAUUCAAAUUUAUGUAAUCAAUUUCUAUUCUUUCCAUCUUGAAUUAAUUUGCUAAUAAUUCAUACACAAUACAUUGAAUCAUCUAAGUAAAUGAAGCUAAUUCGAGUAGCGAGGGAGAGCAAGUGACCCUUUAUCACGGUGGUGGAAAGAUGUUGAGUCAUUGCAUGGCGACGUGAGUUCGAACUCCGCUGGUUGCUAAUUUAAAUUCUAAUUUAAUAAAAUCUACCGUUUGACAACAAAAAAAAAAAUUAGUGAGCGAGAAAAAAAAUUGAGUUAAAACAUGAAUGUGAUCUCGACUCAGAAAAAAUCAAAAUGUUCAAAUUAGCUUCCUCCGCCAAAUUAAAUUCAUAUUUACAUAAAUAACUAUACGGUUGUGUCGUAUGUUUAUACGCAUACAAUAAUGCAUAUUUACGAUUGGCUGGUUACUUCAUUUUCUAGGGUGUACGUGCUUUGGCUUGAUAUGCAUGUCCCAAUCCUGAACGAUGCUUCUAAAAUUUUCUAAGCCACUACGGUGUCUGGAAACUUAAAAUUUUGUUUUGAAAAGUGCCUUAUUAUUUGAUAAGGAGCAAACAACCAUAUGUGCUUAAUUAAGAGGCUUGAUGAUAUCGUGCUGGCUGCCUAUAAAAUUCUCCUAAUCACACCGGCAUCAAAAUAUUUAUAUAUCUCAGUAUUCAAUCUACAUGCAAUAUCUUUUGUUCAAACAUAACCUAAAAUCUAAGGAGAAGGAAAGCACUGCAAGAGUUUUUUUUUCAUGGGUAUCGCAGCCAUACUGUCAUAUAUAUAUAUAUAUAUAUAAUUUUUUUUUUAAAUAAAUCUUUUGUGUUAUAAUAUGGUGAGAAAGACGAGUUUAUAGUGAUUGAAAGACGAGUUUAUACGUUGUAGUAUAGUAUUAUUGUUACUUAAGGCUCGUUUGAUAACUAUUUUAGAAUUUUCAUAAAAAUGAAAAUUGAAAACUAAAAUAAAGCUAUUUUGAAUACUGAAAGAAGUAGCUUUCAGUUUUUUAUUUUUCACUUUUCAAUUUUUUUUUAACUGAAACCAAAAUAGUUAUUAAACGGCCCAUAAAUAAAACAUGUAUUAUAACAUGCAUGAAUAUAAGUACUAUCACGUGACAACGUUAUACUCACAUCGAGGCCGAGAUGCCCUUGCCCUUCCUAAAAUAGGUGGAGAUUGUGUUACUCUUCAUAUUACCAAUUAAUUUUAUGAUGAAAUCUCACAUUUUUUCAUUAACAUUCAUAUUUACAAACUAGCAUGCUAAGCCAUCAAAUUAACUUUAUCCUUUUUUAAAAGAAUCGAAUUAACCUUUUUCUAUUAUUAUCAUGGCACUUAAACUUAAACUACUCAAAUCAAGUACGAUGUAUAGAAAACUAAAACUAGUUUUUUUUUUUUUUUUUUUUUUUAAGACGGAAAUGCGAAGAACUUAGUUAAAAAGGCAAAGGCAUGCAGAAAGCUAUGCCUAUAUAGAAUUAAUCUUUGCAUGAACUAAAUAAGGGAACCGGAUCCCCUCCUGAGCAUAGGGUGGGGAUCCUUCUGACUAGGCUAUCUGGGUCAUUGAAAUUUGAUACAACGAUUAUAAAUAAAGAAUCUUCUAAAAAUUAUAAUUAUUGUAACCGUUAGAUCAAAUUUCAAUAAUCCAAAUGAUCCGAUCAGAAGGAUCCCCACCCUAUGCUCAGGAGAAUAUCCGGUUCCCUAAAUAAGAAUGAUAAUACCAGCCGAAAGUAUAAAGUGAGCAGAAUAGUGGGUUACAAAUAAGUAAUAACACAGAGGGUAUAUAGUAAUAGCUAAUAAAGCGUUAACGCGGGAUCGUCUUCACUCGAGAGUGUAUGCCGUUUGAGAGGAAGAGCACAUAGAUGGCGUAGGCUAUAAUAAUCUAAAUUCAUGCGUCAAAGAGUAUUAGUAUACACCAGAUAUUCGGUGUCAUCUAUCCACAAUUCACACACACUCAGAAUUAUUAUCGGGUAAAAUCUGAUUAUUUCAGAGAUCACAAACUAAUAGUUUGUAAUAAAUCAUAUAUUUUCAUGUGAUCUUACAUUAUUUCCAACUUUCCAUCCCUCAUUCACUGGAGCCGACUGAAUAGACUCCGAUCACUAACAUCUCUUAGCUAAGAAAGCUAGGCAAUAAGAAAAUCUGUAGACCAUAACACCAUAUAUAUACAUCGCGGGACUCCUGCUGCCCUCCCCUUGAGAGAGUAGAGGUCGAACGAACCGCCUAAAGAGGUAUAGAGAUCUGAAUGCGGGCUACCUUGAAAACGAAAGUGUGAAGCCCCAACGAAAAGGCAAAUUCACCAGCCUAUACUUAAUAUGAACACUCCUUUGAGAAUUCAUCGCUAACAAUGUAGAGGGAUACAAUAACAGUAACCUCGCUACUAACCUAACGAUUAGGCGAGAUUAUGAUGCCCAAUUACCGCGAUCCCAAAACUUAUAACUCAUUAUUCAUUACACAUACUUAAAAUGGUUUACACAAUUAAUAUAAAUAGAAAGACCCCCAUUUUUAAUAUGUGAAUAUAUGGAUUAACACUUACACAAUAAUCUAAAGAUCUAAAAACAAAAAUCCCGUGGUAAUGAAUCCUUUUCCAUAAAACUAAAACGAAUAGAUUAAAUUGUGUCUUGUGGGUAAUGACAUCUUGUGUGCCAGGCAUCGCAUGUGAGAAAACGAUACUCUCGUGUGAGUAACCAAGACCACAAGAACCUCACCUCACAUGUUAAUAUUUUUAAAUUUCGUUACUCUCUCUUUACUGAUAAGAAGUUUAAAAGAUUGUCGAGUUCGUAAUAAUGAGCAAAAUAAAAAACUGAUAGAAGACAACACUCAGCGAAGGAGCUACUCAAGCAAUCCACGCAAGCGAAAGACGAAUUUUAGACGAAUAACAAACUUUGAGGCCAAACAUAUUGGAUAGACUCAGCCAUGUUCAAAGCGCAGACCCCGACAUGAGUAUCUUCUAAAUCCUCAUUUUUACAAAACAACUGCGUAUAACAACGCAUCGCAAGAAUGAAAAUUCCAUAGCUUCAAUCAACUUUUACAUGACUACUCAAAACAAAGCUUUUAAUGAAUAUACUAGCAUGGAACACACUCUUGAGAAGUAAUGGGCUUGAAGAUAUAUGUUUUUGUGUAUUGACCAAAUGUUUAUACGAGGUCAUGUCAUAGCAGUAUCAUGCAUGAAAGAAAGCAAGUAAUAAUAAUUUUAAUCUUAAGCCAAUGUUUAUCACUGAUUUUUCUUCGUCAAUACAUUAUAACUCAAAAUACUUUCGAUGAGGCGUAGGUGAACACACCAUCUCCACAUCAAGGUAAUGAGCGAUAAGGUAAAGGACAUUGUGGAGCCUGUAACUCAUUAGGUAGAAUAGAUGCAAUAUUUUGGUUUGAUGCCAUUUGCGUGGUUUAUCUCCCAGAGAAAAUAAAUAAGAUAUUUUACAGUCAUUAAUCUUACGUAUUAAAACAUAGCUUAGAACAAUUGAGUAAAAUCUCCUUUCUCAAGUGUCAUUGAUUGUCAUUAUCUAAAUUUACAAAUUAAUGCUGUUUGGAGAGAGAGGUCACAUAUGCGAAGUGCGAGCUCUCCUAUCUCUUUACAACAAAUAAUUAUUGAUGUAAGCUUCUGGUGUAUAAUUUAUAGGUCAUAAGUGUACCAAGAGGAUGGUGAAGUUUGCAGGUAUAGCUACUUUUUUUAGCCUAGGUAUCUAAAUUAUCCCGUCACACUCAGCCUCCCAAUCCUGUAACUACAAUUAUGUUUAGGUCUCGAUACACCUCAAUAUAAAUCUUAGGACAAAUAUACACUCAAAAUAGCAAAAAGAACUACACCAACUAUCUUAGAGUAAAUUCCUAAGGUCAUUUCCAAUCACGGUAAAUGACUAAAAUUGAAUAUAUAUAGUCCUUACAUCUUAGAAUUAUAGUCCUCAAAAAAAAUUUAUUAUUUGUACACAUAAGAAAGUAUUAGGUAUAAGUGUAAAUACCUUUAAGUAGACAUACUCAAAUUAUGCAGGUCUUGCGCGUGAGAGUAUAUAUCUACAUAUCUCUCACCUCUCAAUAGUCAAGUAUUCUUUCACCUUACUUAUUCGAUAUUACUUAUUAAAGAUGCCUACUUUUAAAACCGUUUUAUUAAAAAGAUUUAAGUAUUAUCGCUUUUGUUAAAAGUUCUUUUUUAGUGUUAUUAGAUAUAAUUAAAUACAUGAGCGCAAAGGAAUAAGUCGUCAACAAUUCUAUAGUCAGCAUUGUGCGAGAAUUAUCGAGACACUUAAUUAUAAUUUCAAAUGUCUCAGAAGAGCUUUUGCGCAUUGACGACCUAAAAAAAGGUGUAAACCUUUCAUUAGAGUUAAAACAUCCUAGUACUAUAAAUUGCAUAUCUGUUUUAUAUCACUUAGAUCAUAUGAAAAAACCACCACUUUCAUCUACAAUUAGAAAAAGAUCUAGAUUGAUGGUGCCACCACGGUCACAUAUACAUCUCACUUAAGUUUAAUUAAAACCUGUUAUUUAUAUUAUUUUAUUCAUAUCUUAAUUUAUAGACACCAGAACAUAUUUCCCAAAAUGGCACUUCAUUUUUCUCCUAUUCUAUGUUUUCAUAAUAAAAAAGGUUAAAAAGGGGGGGGCUAACCAUUGGUUACAUUUGACACGUCAUUGCGCUGUUUGCGCGCCGUCGGUCCUAUUAACCAAUAGCCACUAACAUCCUUGGGCCCAACUUGUAUGACUCCAAUAAUUUAGACAAUUUUUACUUUAAGGCCACAUUUAGACAGUUUUCAUUGCUUGUUGUUAUCUAUAGAUUAUAAUAUUCAUUAUUCGCGACUACAAGCUAAUAGGUCACGAGUAUUAUUGUACCUUUUGCACAUGCGCAUUUAAACAUGAUGCAAUCUAUUGUUAACUAAGGAUCAGGAAGAAAAAACUGAAAUUGAUAAAGUCAGAAUUUAUAGAGUCGGUACACAAUAGCGAGAGUCAUUCCUGGGUCGAUAUUUUAUUACACAACUAAUAAGAUAAUAUUUAAAAGACCAUAAAUGGAGAGGCACAGUGAACAAAUAAUAAGGAGAAUCCCAUUUGUGGUAAUUAUGGUACGAGCACCUCCAAUUCCAAGUUUUUCACACUAUUAACAUGAACAAUUGAUAUUAAAUCUAUAUUCAGUUAUAUACCCAAUUCAUCGUACUGAGUAUUGAGAACUUCAUACUUUUAGGAAAAAAUUUCACACAAAUCUCACACACCUUCUAAUUUCAUUUCUUCCUUACUGUAGAGUCUCCACCUCCAAUUAAAUACAAUAUACAUCACAAUAAUUUCCGCGAGAGCAAUAUAAUAAAGAUAGCUUGACACCCUCUCGCACAUACUCAAUUUUUCCCUAUAAUAUCGUGAUAACGUUUUGAGUAAUUUCACUUUAGUAAUCUAAAUUUUCUAUCACACACAAAUCUAAUAAAGAAGGGUGGGGUUGGAUCACUACUCCAUCGUUGGCGAAUUAGAAAAACGUCCUAUAAACUCACCAUCCAAGUCUUUCAAUACUGCCUGGAUUUCGCAUUCCGCUUUUCAUAAACCACACUUACAAACAAAUUUAAACUUCUAUUUAAUAAUAACAAAUAACAACAGAGAAAGCCAUACAUAUUAAAAGAGAGAGAAGCAAAGCUCAAAAAGACAAUAAGUAGACCAAACCUGAAAGAUAGGGAAGAGAACUGUUUAUUGCAUUCUACUAGUAUCCAACCCCAGAUAUACAUAUAUAUCCCUGCGAUAAAUAACAAAGUGGAGAUGUCACCGCUCUAGUAUUUGAUAGUAACUGCCUGAGUGAUAAUUAGAGAAAAUCAAGAGAGAAUAGUGCGAUAGAUGCUGAUAAAGUUAGUAGCAAAAAUAAUAUGAUUUAAAUUAAGGGAUAAAAGACAAAGAAGGUGCGAAAUCACAGCGGAGAUCAGACCCAUCUACGAAUAUCUCUCAAAUUAGAGUCACCAUCUUUUUUUAUGCUAUGUAAAUAUCACUCUAUCACUGCUAUCUCUCUUAGUAUAAUGAUCCCACUCACUAGCUGUCUCUAUCCUACUCAAUCUACAUGAAGCGGGAACAAAGAUCCAGCAGAACACAUAUAUAAACGACAAAUAACCACCAGUUCACCCAUUGAUAUGUAAAAUCAUAGUGUAAAAUCUUCGAUACUCCUCACUAAAUAAGUUAUGGCAGUAAACAAGGAAAUACUAGUUAGCAAAAUCGUAAAAGUUACAAUCCAUAAUUAUCCAUUGGAAAAUCAAGACCCAUCGCGUGUCUAAAUCAAAUUUAGCCCUCUAUACUGUUUAAACCCUCUCUACUAAAAGUAAAUAACUGCAAAUCCGAGAAGCUGUUACAGACUGCUACAUGAGAUUCUAAUUGUGAUUUUAAUCCUAUUUUUAGGUCAUUAAUAAUUGUUCCUGGAUACACAUUGACACCAAAUAAGAAUAUCAUUAUGGGACUGAGAGCACACAAAAACCUAUGAUUCAUUACGAGUGUCAAUAUGUAAUAUUAAUUAUGUUUGUUAAGUUUGUUACUUAAAGUACUUAAACGAUUUUAUUCAUAAAAUCAAUCUAAUACAUCGAAGAGAAAUAAGUGGGAGCAACUGCCAGAAAAAGGUGAGGAAAAAGGAAAGACAUAAAGUAAUGACUAUAAAAGCACUAACAAUGGAAAAUCUAUACGAUAACUAUGGAAGAACUGUAAAUUUAAGUAAUAGUUAAGAGUAUAGCAACAUCAGAAGAUGAAAAGUAAUAAUAAUAUAGGUGAGGGUAAUGGGUAAAAUGAUUAAAGAUUAUUUAUAAAUUGAAAUAAUUAAUAUGUAAUUAUGUGUGACAACUUAAUAGGAUCACAUUAGAGUUGGUAAGUGCCUUGUAACCCAAAGGUUUGAAUGAAAAUAACAUCAAAUCUAGUGAGAUGAAAGGUUUUAGAGCUCAUAUGCUGAUAAAUUAUACAUUUACUGGGCUUCUAACACGUUUUUUUGAGAUAUAGCACAAUAAUUGCAAGUAUAUUUAGGAGUAAGUUGUAAGAUAUGUAACUAUAUCCAGGUGAGACCUGUAGGUAAUUGGAAGAAUAUAGGGUGUUGUAUCAAGAGACAAUGUUUUAACUAAUAUCCAACAUUAGUAAUAGAAGAGGAAAAUCUUUGUAAGUGUGAUCCCAAUCUCUCUAUCAAAGAUAAGUUGGGUGCGGGAUUGGUGCCCUGUGGGCUGCCUUAAUGCUCAUAUAUUUAAAUAGGUGAGAACCCCAUAUAUCAAACUGGUUCCAAUAUCCAUACGAUCUUUUGAGACGAGAAGCCAAAUUGAUAACACAUCGAUGCAUCAGCUAUUAAGUAAACAAGAGAAAGACACACUACAGAUGGCCUGAGUACCUCCAUCACAGUGAGUGAUUCGAAUUAAUAUUGAGAUACUUAAUAGAGAGUAUUUGAUGUGAAGUGCUUUUCAGAAUCCUUAUGAAAUAUUUGUCCUACAAAUGUCUUAAAGAUGUUGAGUGAUUAAAAUAGAUACCUUUAGGAUAUGAGACUCUAACAAUGUGAAUAAUAGGAGAGGGAUUUAAAUUGAGCUAUUGAGCUUAUAAUUAAAUUGAAACUACUCUUCUCCUAUUCUAUUUAACGCAAUGAGUAUGUUCUAUAAUGAUCACGAAUCUUUAUAGUUUCUUUCUAAAAGUUCAUUGUAAUAUUUGAUAUUUAUAUGUACGACUUUUUUUCUGUCUAUGCGUAACAUAUCAGCCGAAGGGUGACCUGGGCUACUGCAAUCAAAAGCACAGAAGUAAGGUAUAGCAAAAUCGAUAUUUUUGGAGUGUACUCGGUUGUACAGCGGUUAAACAAGGUAAACAGAAAGAGCUCCAUAUAAAAUUAAUCUAUUAUGUCGACUUCUACUGCGGCAACUAGUGAAAAAUUUGACGAGUGUGUAUUGAAUAAACAGAUAUAAAUGCCUAACAGAUAGAGAAACAGAAAACAUUUAUUGUGAAUAGUUGUAAAUAUGAACAGGAAAAAGCCAAAAGCUUAAAAAUAGUAAUCUUAUAUCCUUUAUGCCAACCUAUUUAAAUCUUAGUGCACAUGAAUCCAGGGGCUUAAUUGAAACUUCCAACACUGCACGUUUUAUAUUCAUUUUAUAAGCGAUACUUUGGAUAUGAGCAAAUAAUCUCUAAAUUUAUUCAAGUGAAAGGGAAUAUUCUCUAGAUGUGAGAGAAAACUUUCUUGCAAGGCAGUGCAUUUUGAGUUGUUUAUACUUGUAGAUCGUCAAAUCCACUAUAACAUUUCAAUUGUUACAUACAUUAUCCUGUAUCCUCUAUAAUGUGUGCAGGCAAUAAAAUAUUAUGUCUUUGUAAAUAUAUAAUCAAAUUAUUGAUAACGUUAUUUAUAUUAUAGAGAUAUCACUUAAAUAAAACUAUAAUUUAUGGGAAUAAAAAAAUCUAAAAAUGAAUAUAAAUCUCUCCAAUAAUUAAAUAACUGUCAUAAAUUAAUCACACAACAUAUCACAUGACUUUUUAAUUCAAUAACCCAACUAAAAUAUCAAAACACACGAGUACCCUUGAGACCCAGAUAGAUUCCAAACAUAGACUAUUUGAGAAGCGACGGUCUGUGCUGGCCGCGUAUGAUUAUAUACACCUGAGAAUGAGGUGAGGCGGACAGCAGUAAAUAUGAUGAUGUCGAGAAACCAAUGUGAAGUUUGAUAUCAUUAUAUUAUAAAAAUAAACAAUCUAUAUCGUUAGUAUAGCUAGAAUGACUAUCACGAAAUACGACGCGGAUGGCAUGAGAACACGAGGCUUAAUUGUACAUGAUAUCCGCAUGAAUUCGGACACAGUGACAUUAAAAGGUAAUAAAGAUAAACAAGCUAUUAAUGAUCAGUAGAAGUUUAUAUUAAAGAGAGUGAAGGUAUAUAAGAAUUUCUAUUUAAUGAAGACAUAAAAAUAGUUUAAGAUAAAUAAGGAAGAUCUAAAAAAGACAACCUUCUCUCUGCUCUUUUCUUUACGGGUUAUUGUAUUAAUUUAUUACCAAUUCUGGCAUCAGAAAAAAAUUUACAAAAAAAAAUAAGAAUAAAGCUGAAAAAUGACACGGAAUCCUGUCAGGACAGAUAAAUAGAAAAACGUACAGCAUCUAAAAAAUCCAGGAUGUUGAUACAACUUAAAAGAUAAGAGACUGAUAGGGUCCUUCUGCGAGAAAAUACACAAUAUUUCUAUAUAUGAAACCCGAUAAAAAUAAAUGCAUGGUGAGAUCAACCACCCAGCGUGACACAAUUGAAACUUACACAAAUACAAUAUAACCAGAAAAUAUCAGGAGGACUUAAUAAUAUAACAAGGCAAACACACAACAGCAUCAUCAUAGCAUAUCAAAUAAUCAUUGAGUAAUCUUGAAUACAUAAUAAUACAUAUAUACCAGCUUACACGCAAAUCGGAGAACUAACACCUAUAGUGACCUGUAGCGCUGUCAAUCUCACAAGAUAUUUGUCAAAUUCAAAAUUCGAGAAUGUCACACUCAUAACCGAAGAGUCUACCUAAAGAGAGAUUCUGUAAGCGAAGAAACAUGAUUCGCUUCAAUAAUCUAUACAAUAGCAACACAAUAUUAUGCCCAUUCAUCCAAAUGCAAAAUUCUAGGCGGACAUAAUGGCUCAUCUACAGUGUAUGACAAGAGCUCAUUCAACAAUUCUCAUUCAACAUAAGGAUAAUAAGCUAAUCAUCGAACAAUAUGCAGCAAUCAAUGCACAUAAUCUCAUAUCAUCAUGGAAAUGCUAAACUUCAUCUUAUUAUAUAUUAAUGUACAUAACACAUAUGGCACAGACAAUAAAAGUCACAUAUAAAUUUUUAUCACGGUUAUGCUGAAAUAGCGUUAUACACCAUAUUUAUCACGUAUGCUAGCCAUUACAUAUUUAAUAUCAACGUAUGCUAGCUCAUCACAAUUCAUCACAUAUGCUAACUCAUCCACAUAUCUCAUCAACCUAUGCUAGCUCAUCACCAUAUUUCAUCAUAUAAAGAACUAUAGAUCAUUAAGGUGGAUAGAAAAAGUUUUAUCCUCUACACUUCGGUUAACAGUGAACAGUGUACACGACCUAUCCGAUAGCUCAAUAAGUAUACUGCACAGUGGAGUGCGAGAACCACACUCUCGAAAGUGGUUCUUACUGUUAACAUAGACUUAGGGUGAAAUAACGCUUACAAAUCAAGUACUCAAGAGAGCCUAAAACGUUCUGAAAGACUAAAGCGCGACUGAGGUUCAACUAAUAAGUCAUUUCGGAUAGCUGAUGCUCCGAGAGACGCAGGACUAAAUAGGAAGAUUCUGUCCACCCAACACCGAGCUUGGGUGCAUCCAACCACUGCCUUAAGAACCAAGCGCGCAAGUCACGUUAUUCGUAGUCCGGGUGGUGAGCGAGACUUUUAUAACAUUUAACUUUAAACGUGAUAUGAAGAACAUGAGCCAACAUGAGGCCACCGGUGCAAUGGAAGACCUCAUCAUCACAUCUCCUACUAGCAAUCGUGGUGUGUCUAUGUGAUUUGAAUUAGAGGAGGACUUGCACUAGAAAAUCACACCAUCUAUUUCAUACGAAUAACACUAUGUAGCUGGACUCAUAGGGAAAUCCAAAUCCGGGCAACGAACCGAGUCGCCGUGAAAUUGCUUAAAAUAAUAUCCAACCAAUGUACACUCGUUCUCAUUACACAAAUCUGAAAUACGUCACAAAAGGGGAUCUCUCCAAACACAAAGCAGUAAAUACAGUAUAUUGAGUGCAAUGCGACCAUUCUCACACCUAUACAUUAGAGCGGUCACCCCUGAACUAGUAUCUAUGAAUCACGAACGUUCGCGACAGCUGCCUGAAUAUUUAGUAACCAAUCUUGCGUAUCUUAAAAAGCAUUCAAUACAUAUAUUAAUGCGCAAAUAAUAUAAACUUAUGGCACAUAAAUGACGUCUGAAAGCACCAUGUUUACAAUAGAACUUGAAGCAAAACGGAGAGAAAUAGUGAUCACAAAUAAACAUAAAUAGUUAGGUAGGUUAUGUUGGUAUAUGUGAAAUCUAUUCUCACUUUAUUCCAACGGCUACGAAACAUAAUAUCACAAAUUAAAGCAUGGAGCUAUAAAAAUGCACUAAUAUAUAAUGCGAUCUAAUUAUAACUCUCCCAAAGAACUAUAAUAUUUCGACGUCGGAAUAAUAACUACACGAGAUUAUCCCAAUGACAACAUCAAUACAAAAAAGUUUAAUUACCCGAAAUAUAACUACAUUAACUCUAUAGCAAUUCUUUCUAUCCAGAAAUAACUAACAGAGAAAUUCCUACUACAAACAUCAACUGAAUUAUGACCCACCCCCCCCCCAGAGCGAGGAUCCGGACCCACAAUCCUGUUGUACAAUCGAUAAGAAGCGGUUAUUAAUAUCUGCGACAUAAAUUUCAAUCAUAAAUGUUCUCAUCAUAACUUGAUCAAUUUCCCAUAAAACAAUAGCUUGCAUAUGUCUUCUAAUUAAAUAUCACCAUUUCUCAUGGUUUUAUGGUAUAUGGAACCGACUAUAGAAUCUAACGUUUCGUUAGAUUGCCUACGUACCCCUAACAAAGGAUCAAGGGAAACCAUUUGACCUAUUUCGCACUUAGUUACAAUCACAAAAAGCAUUUGACAACACUAAUAAUUAUAAUGCAAUAACCAAGUAAAUAUAAUAAUCACAUAGAAUUGAGUUAGGAAAUUAUAAAAUCAUUAUAUAUAUAUAUAUAUACAACACACACAUGAUAUGUAACCAGUGAGAAAGAAACAAUCAACUAACCACCUGAUGGAACUCAAUACUUAGAGCAUAAUCAGUACACCCACUACCUACCACUGUCACAUAAACCACUAAUCACUGACAACAUCGUUCGACUCUCUGUGGUCCACCUGUCCCAAAAUUCUGGCGAGAGAUAAAAACAACACACCCAAUCAAACUAGGCAACCUUUGAAACACCCGCACGACAACCCUACGAAAAUGAUAAUAUUGUACCUCAAUAAAUCCGACUAUGAAAGCUCCAUUCAAUGAUUGGGCAUUGUUCUCUGCCUAAAAGGGAGUCUAUUGGUGGUGGCAAUUGGAAGAAAUCAUUUCCCAAUUGAUGAAUUUUGGGCAAGGUCUCCCCCAUCACCCAUCACUAUUUUUGUACCAAAAUACUAUCAAAUUCCCUCUAAUUUUUGGUGGAACAAGAAGAGAAAGGGCCAAGGUGAUGAUUGGGAGCAGUUUAUAGGUCCAAUUUGUCGGAAAAUUGGACGAGAAACGGCGAGGAGCCGCCGGUUUAAGGAAACAGGUUAAGGAAGACCCGUUUGGGUUCCCUCCUUUUCUUCUUCUCUCCUUUCCUCCUGCUCUCCUUCCCUUUGGUCCUCCUUUCUCCUCCCUAUUUCCUCGAUUGGUCUCCCCUUUUUCUUCCAUUUUCUCCACUCAUUUGUUGCCCUCAGGCAGCCCCUCCUUCCUCCCUUUUUCUGCCACACACACACCCAUACACCAUGCAUAUAUUUCACUUUGCAUUAAUAAUAAUAAAAACAUAGUGUAAAAAUAAUUAAAAUAAUAUUUCAUUCCAAAUACCUUUGGGUUCGUAGCUCAAUAAAACUUUAACUGUAACUCCAAAAUCACUUCUACAUGUGCCUACCCAUCCUUAAGAUCGAGCUCUAUCCGAAUAUGUCAAGAAGAUGAGUCUCGCAUGACACGACGCGGUAGUCAACACAAGUCAACACUUUGCCUCGAAAGGCAUCUUCAUAAACUCACGUAUUAAAAUUAUAAAAUCAUCAUUUUUAGGGACGGGCUGUUACACACACACACACAUGGGUACGUUCAUCAAAACCAACCAAAAAAUUAUUGUACCAAAACAUAGGUACAUUUAAAAAAAAAAAAGAUAUUAGACUUAAUAACAUUAUUAAAUUUCUUCUAUUAAACUUGACAUGGAUAUAUCCUCAAAUAAAUAGAAUGUACCCAUAUAAGUAUAAAAAAAAUGGAUUAGAGAAAAGAUUGAAUGGAUUUUAUAUAAAAAAAAUAGGUACAUUUUAUAUUAAAAAAAGAGUACAUUUUUCACAUGACAAAUUGAUAUAUUUAAGAAUGGGUACAUAUAUGAUUCAAAAAUUGAAAUUUUUUUAUAAAAAUUUAAUAGGUACAAACUUAUUCUAAUUUUAUUUUUUAUAUUUUGGAAAUGUUUGAAUUGAAAAUUAAUUAGGAGUUUAAUAAGGGUGUGAGUAUUAAAACUCUAAAUUAAUUACUAAUUUUUAUUAUAAAAAUUAUGUAACUUACAUGUAAUUCAUUAAUAUAUUAAUGUCAAAGAUUUUAAUCAAAAUCUAAAAAAUGAUAAGGUCUUAGUCAAUGAAUAUUAGAAAAUAGGGACCGGAUACUAAUUUUUCCAUUUUAUAAUUCCACUAUAUUUAUUUAUUUUUUAUUGAAAAAGAGAUCAGUUGGUGACUUUGUCAUGGCAGUUCACCCUUUCGGCGAUCGGAAAAACUCACAUAGCCAUUUCAGCUUUCCACUAACCACCAUCGUGCGAUUUACUAGCCUCAUAAACCAACCAGAAUGUGUGGGAAUGUAUGCUUGAAAUUCAUUCUAACCACUAGACCACCCCGUAAUGGUUAUUCCAUUAUAUUGAAACAUAGCUCUUUGUUUGAUUUAUUAACCUGGAAAGCCAACAUGUCCAUGCAUAUAUUACAUUAUCAUAUCAGUUAUAUUUUGAUACUAAAGACCUAUUAGAUUUAAAUCAUUUUGGACAUAAUCAGGCUAUUCAACAAGUAGCUUCAUCUAUUUAUUUUUUUUCACUUUUGAUGAAAAAAAAAAAGGUUGAGAUUUAGUUCAAUUUGAACUAGUUUAUUUUGUUGAGAAUGAAUUUCACGUAUAUGAAAUGAGAGAUUUUGCAUGUGUUUAUAACAGAUUGGACUACUCCCUAUAUUUCCAAUUGUUUUUAUGGUGGAACCCAAUUUUUUUCAUGGUAUCAGAGCCAGGUCAUCUCACGUGUGAAGUCUCACGGCCACACGCAUUACACAUUACCCAAGUUGUGUUGUCCACGUAUUAUAAGAGAUUUGAACACUCCUCAUAUUAAUAAGUAAUUUUAUAAUAGAACUUCAACUUUUUCACAUUUAUAAAAUAAAAAUUCCAGGAAAGAAUUUCCGCAACAAAUAUAUAUAUAUUCUACCUUGAUGAUUGCAAACUCCCAAUUUAAUACGUUCAAAUAAGAGCUUUUUAAACGCUUUUUGAACACAAUAACACUUUAUAUUCCAUCAAAUAUCAUUGCGCAACAAGAGAUGUAUCUAUUUGAUAGAGACCUAUUUUGAUAUGAUAAGAAAAAUAAAUACAUGAAUAUAUUCAUAUGAAAACAUCAAUCCCAGAGAUUUUAUUAAUUAUGAAUAUAAUUCUUCCACUCCCUCCAUGGAACAACUUUGUAGAAGAGACAGAAUCAGUGUGGGUCACGUCCUCCACUCCCUUCAAUAACCUUGGCCUUUUACACUCCCAAAACCCUACAUAUAAAGCUCAACGUUUUGAUUAGACAGUUGUGGGGAUGCAAUUAACUUUCAUUUCCUUUAUUAAAUUAAAUUAGCUAGUAUCCCACUAAUUUCAAAAUGCUUAUAUAUACCACUUCAAGCAUGAGAUGUGCCAACAGUGGAUAUAAUUUUAGGGUAAAUUACAUAGUAACCCCUCAGGUUUGAGGUCUAUUACAACCUCAUACAAUAUCUUUAAAACAUUUCACUUUCAUACCUCACGUACUGUUUUAUUUCAAAACAAUACCUCUGUUGCAUUUUUCAUCCAUUGAUCCGUUAAGUGCUGACGUGGCUGCCAAAUGUAUGCCACGUGGCAAAAAAAAAUUCUAAUAUUUUUUUUUAACACUAAAUUUUCUUAAAAAAAAAGGAACAAAAGCUGAAACAAAUGCCUGCAACCCCCCAAACCCAAGAAGAAAAAAACCACCCCACCUCCCUACCAAUUAUUCCCCCCACCCUCCCCUCCCCUUCCCCCCUCCUGCUAUCAUGACUGACCCCCACCCUCCCCCUCCUCCCGUGGCUAACCUCACCAAUUAUUCCCCCCACACUAAGAAACCCACAUCUCUCCCUCUCCACCCACCCUCUUCCCUCAUCUACACACUCCACUCCUUAAAUCCAACACUCAUUCCUCUCAUCUUCACUUCAUGAACCCGGUGUAAACGAGAUCUGAGUUUUUUUUUUGUUUUUCUCUGGGUUGCAGGUGGGGGGUCGGGGGAAGAAGAUGAAGAUGGGGGAGAAGAGAGGGGAGGAGGAGGGGGAAAGACGAACUGAAGAGGUUUUUUAUUUUUUUAUUUUUUGGGUUGCAAGGGGAAGAAAAUGAAGAUGGGGGAAAAGACAAGAGGAGGAGGAGGAGGAGGGGUGGGUAAGACGAACUGAAGGACUUUUUUUUUUCUUUAUGGGUUGCAGGGGGAAGAAGAUGAAGAUGGGGAAGAAAAGAUGAGAUGAGGAGAAGGGGGCAUAAGGUUUAUGGGUUUGGGGGUUGCGGGGAGAAGAGAGGAGGAAGAGGGGGAUAAGGUUUCAGCUUUUGUUUUUGGUUUUUUUUUUUUUUUAAUUUAGAAGAUUCAGGUUUUUUUUUUAAAUUAAAAAAAAAAUUUGCCACAUGGCACAGAUUUGGCAGCCACGUCAACGCUUAACAAAUCAAUAGAUGGAAAAUGUAACAAAUGUAUUAUUUUGAAAUAAAACAAUAGUGAGGUAUUAAAGUGAAAUGUUUUAAAGAUGUUGUAUGAAGUUGUAAUAUAUCUCAAACCUGAGGGGUUACUAUGUAAUUUAUCCAUAAUUUUAAGAAAUUAAUUUGGAUCCUCAAUAGGUGAGGAGUUCCUCCUUAAUGCUUCGUUAUUGAUAUACGAAAUUUGGUACUUAUGAUCAUAAUCAUUUAUAUUAUAAAUCACAUUAAAAAUACCAUAUAUGCAAAAAAAAAAAAAAAAUUAAAAAAAUGAGAUCGUUGGGUCAUUGAACUGUGUAAAAAUAAUGGUCAGAUGGUAUAAAAAAGCAUUAUGAACCGUUUAUCUAUUUACUACAUUUGAUUUUUUGCAUAAAUGAUCUUUAAUUACAUAGUAAUUUAUAAUAUGAAUGGUUGUAUUUAUAAAUACAAAAUUUUGUAAAUCAGUAACAAAGCAUCUUAAAGAUUCCUACUUAAUUUUAAAGGACAUUUUGGAUGCAGUCUCUAACUACUAAUGUUCUUUGACUCAAACCUUGGUAGUUUUUAAUUUUUUAUCGAAGUUCCUGACAUUAAUGUAAUAGUGUAUUUCUAUGUAGGUUAUUAUAUUUUUAAAUUAAAAAUAAAAUUUUUAGUUAUUUAUAUUAAUGAGAUUUUAAAUAAAACCCAUAAUUUAUGAGAUUAAAAAUAUUAAAGAUGAAUUAUGCUCUCCAAUAUUUUGUGUGUGUGUGUGUGGGUACAUUCAUUAAAAUGAACCAAAAAAUUAUUGUACUAAAGCAUGGGUACAUUUUGCAAAGGCACAAAAAAAUAUAUAUAUUAGACUUAAUAACAUUAUUAAAUAUAUUUUGUUAAACUUGACAUGGAUACAUUCUCAAAUCAACGAAAUAGAAUGUACCCAUAUAAGUUUAAAAAAUGGAUUAGAGAAAAUAUUGAAUGAAAUUUUAUAUAUAGAAUGGGUACAUUUUUUACAAAUUGGUAUAUUUAAGAAUGGAUACAUAUAAGAUUAAAAAAUUUAAUGGUUACAAACUUAUUCUAUUUUUUUAUAUUUGGGAAUGGUUGAAUUGAAAAUUAAUUAGGAGCUUAAUAAGGGUGUGAGUAUUAAAACUCUAAAUCAAUUACUAAUUUUUUUUUAUAAAAAUUAUGUAACUUACAUGUAUUAAUAUAUGAAUACUAGAGAAUUUGAUCAAAAUUUAAAAACUGAUAAGAUCUUAAUCAAUGAAUAUUAGAAACUAAAAACAAGAAACUAAUUUUUCCUAUUUUUAAGGAGCCAAGCUUUCCUCUAAUUUCAAAAGGGUAUGCAACUAUAUAGGGGAUUAUCUGAAAGAUGCUUAUUCCCUAGAAAACAACUAGCUAGCUGAUAGCUCUGAGAUGAUACUAAACCAAUCAUUUAAUGUACAUGAAUGAUUUGCAAUAACCUCACUAAUAAAACAGAUAUUAUAUAAAAUGUAACAUCAAAUAAUUUGGAUGGAAUUGGAACUAAUGAUCUAGUAUAAUUAGCUUAUGCACAAAAUUAUAUAGUACUACUGUUCUGUAUUGUUUUUUCCUCAUCUCUUUUUCUGUGUGAUUAGAUUCGUUUUCUUUUGUAGUGACCAAAAUAUCAAGUGCUACAGUAGCCAGGAGCAUUUAAACUUUUUUUCUCCAUAGGGUUACUGUGCCUCUGGGAUGCAUAUCAUAUGACAUUUGUUUGUGUGAAAGAACCUUUGAGUGGUCAAUUAUAUAUGCGGUUUUGAAUAUGAAGGUUUAAUUUUUAUAUGCUUUCACUCGAAUCAAAUGAAAUAAUGCUUUGGCUACGUAACUUCUAUAAUUUUCUCAAUUUAAACAAACUGAAUUUUUAAAUGACGUUAAGUGUACUGCAUCGGCCUCUAACAAAAACAUUAUAAGCACAUAGAGCAAAGGUUAUUGGUGGAGUCGAGUUAUGCUCAACCUAUACAUAGAUAAGCUUGUUGUGUGUAUGUUAAGACAACACUAAUUAAGGCUAAUGACUAUUUAGCCCAAUAAGAUUCUCUUAACAUGCAAAACUUGUCAAAACUCUUCAUUAAGAAAACGAAAAAGAAAAGGAAAAGAAACCUUGCGAUCGAGGAAUUGCCACCAUUCUUUAAAACCAAUCUCUUUUGAGUUCAAACAAAAUAAAAUGUCACUAAUGAUCUAACCUUCCAUUUUGGCACAAUGUUCUUGUCAUUUACUAUUUAUGAAAAGUAGAAAAGAGAAAUAAAAAUUAAGAUCACCAAAUCUUAAUUACUAUUACUAAUAGCCUAGGGGAAUCACCUUUCUACAACAAUGGCUUCUUUUCAAUUUCUUAGUACAAGAAUUGCUUUCAUGACAUGCUCAAGCUGUCCACAUUGAUUAGGAUUCAAAUUAACAUCAUCACAAUUAUCUCCACAACAUUUCCUCAAGAGAACAAUUGCACAAUAUGCAAACCGCCCCACCAAUGUUUUGCUUUGACAAACAACAAAAACCCCACAAGGGAUUUGACUAAUUUCAGGAGUCUUAACCAAAGAAAAAACCAAAAACUCUUCUAAUUAGUGGAUGACACACCCCACCAAAGUUUUACUUGCUAAUUAUUCAACAAGAAUGCCUUAAUAAAGGCUAUAAUAAAAGGCACAUUAGUGGGGAAAGGAGGCUCUUAUCAAAACACCUGAAAAUUGCUUGUUUGCCAAGAUGUGAGAAAGUAAAAAAAAAAAAAAAAAAGAAAAGGAAGAUAGUAGUGCGCUAGCCCACCGUAUAGGCUGUAGGACUUGAAGUUUGUUAUUUAAAGUAAAAAGGAAGUCACAAAUUAAAAAGGGAAGCCGACAUAAGUUUUACAAAACUAAACCAUGACUUGGAAUGACGAGAUCAAGUAUUUUGUACUUAUUUUGUGUGUGGUAUCUAUCAUUAAUUGACACGUGAUUAAUUUAUAAUAAUAAAAUUAAGGAGUGUUAAAUUUAUUAACACGUAUCAGCCAAUAAUAAAGAUCACAGAGAGACCACGUACAAAAUAAGUGCAGAAGAUUUGAAUUGUGUAAUUUCAUCCAAUGUUUUCAUGUAUGAUUCAUAACAUCUUUCAGAUUGAAUUGUUCUAUUUUAUUUAGCGAAGUUUUGGUAGUUGGGAUUAAGGUUUUGUCGAGAUUAUAGCAAAUAUUUUGCUUUCUAAUGACCACAAAGACAACAAGCCCAUAAAUUUAAUGAGUACCUAAUCUAGGGUAUAUUACUUGAUUGGCCCAAAUAUAUAUUGGAUACCAAGUUCCUACAUAUGCUUAAGGCUCAAACCAUGACUCUGGCAAAAAUUGAGGUAGUGGAUUCACGUAUGUUUAUAUUCAUCCAAAGCCCAUAACAUGAGAUUGAGAAUUCUUUUGUUCAUUUUGGAAAUAUCAAGAAACCCAACAAUUUUCUUUUGACAAAUAACAACCAGUCUUUAUUUUUUUUUGUAACUUCAAAAAGCCAAUGUUGCUAGGAAAUUUGGAAAAGAGUAAUGCUUGGGACACUAAUUUUUUUAAACCAAAUGAUGUGUCACUAAUAAGAAACAAGCACAUUAAUCGACACUUGGUUAAUAAUUUAAUCAUCUCCAACCACAUCAUUUAGUUUGCAAAUUUGAUUUAAAAAAUUUGGUCUCCCUAACAUUAUUCUUUGGGAAAAUGUAGUUUUUAGGGGCUCAAAACACUUUUGUCCUCCAUUUUAAUUUUUCUAGAAUUGUCAAGUUUUACGCUGGAACAACUUAACUAACCCUAUGACAAUUCUAGAAAAAUGGAAACCAAGAAAAUAGUUUAAUAUUUGAAUCACAUUAUUGCUAACUCAUUGCGAGGCUUAGCCCAUCCCUUCCUCUUUAGUGUAGAUAAUAUCGUUUGUUUACAACAUGCAAAUAUAAAACUUGGGAGAGUCUCGAGUUUUUUCUUCUUCUAAAUUUCUCAAUUUUACUCGGCGCAAGGUGAAUUAGGUUCGUUCCCUUGGAGUAGAGGAACAUAAAAUAUAGAUACCUAUAUCAAGAAGAAAAAUAUUAUUAGCAUUUUAGCAAGGUUGUCUCUGAGAUUUUAGAAGCUUUGUGCGGAAUUUAUAAAAGGGCCCCUUUAAGAUAGUUUUUUUUUAAUUUUAUUUAUUUUUUAUUUAUUUUUGAAAGUAAGAUAAUGUAUUGAUGCUAGAAAGCAAUAACUUAAAUUAAAACAAACUUUAGGACUCACUAAUUGUAAGUUUACAAACGUCAUUAAAUAAUAAGUAAAAAGAGUUACAAAUAUACCUUUACUAAAUAAUCAAAAGUAGUCAAAUCUUAAACAACCAAACAAGAAAUAAAACUUCAAAAACUCUAACUUUGAAGUUUCACUUGAAUAUAUAGCAUUUAUAAUAUAAUAAAAUUGAAAAGAAAAAAAGCGUUUUAUAGGGUGUUAUACUGCACUCCAAAUUUUAUAAUUAAAAAAAAACAAUUUACAUUUAUAAAGAAUGUACAAUGAGAUUUUAAAAUGCUAAUGAAAAUAAAUUUUUUAAUAUAUAGCAUUAUUACAUAUAAAUAUUAAAUGAUAAUUUUUUUUGGAAGCCCUUCAAAUUUAAGAGUCCAUAUUUUCUGCACCCAAAUCCCUAUGACUCCUCCGUGACCCAUUUAAAUAUGCAACAUGUGUUCAGGCACUCACUAAUAUUAACUCUGUUAAUAUUUCAGUUAGCAUUAACCCCUGUUAUCUGCUAAAAUUAUCAAUCUCCCUCUGUAAGUAAUUUGUUCUUAUUUUAUACGUGAAUGGAUUGACAUAGAUGCAGCUUUUGUUUAUGGUUUUAUUUUUUUUCACGGCCUUUGCCCAGAUUUUGGUCUUGAUUAAACUAAUCCAAGCUGGAUUUCAAAAUUCUCAAUCUUCAUGUCCAAACACUGAACCAUGGAGCCUGGAUUUUGAUCUUGAUAAUUAUGGAAGCCGAAGCGAGGGAGAAGGCGAGUUGCGACAGAGGGAAUUGGAAGAGUCCAAGCGUCAUUUGCAUUUUGCAAUUAUUUUCUCAAAAAAUUUAGCAGAUAAAAGAGGAGAUAACAUGGGUUAAUGCUAACUGAAAAAUUAACAUAGUUAAUAUUAGUAAGUGGUGGACACGUGUCGCAUAUUUAGAGGGGCCACAAGAGUGUUUGAGUGCAGAAAAUUUGAACUUCAGAUGAUUAGAAGACCUUUCGUUCCCCGAAAACCGACUAUAUUUUUUAGACCUAUAUUAUCAAGCAAAUGCAAAAACAAUAUGAAAAGAAAACAGUGAUUAUAAUAGGCUUCGUCAAAGACCAUCACGCUAUAAGAAUCCUUCACUUGGCCAAGCACUGGUUGACUUUUGAUCUCUACGUUGUCCUAACAUACAUCGAUCCUUAUAAAAUUCAUGCCAUAGUUUACAUAGUAAACAAUCAAAUAAAAGUCAUGUCACGUCAUCUUUAUUUCUUGACAUUUAACCGAAAGUAUAUCUCCAAAGUAAUUAACUAUAUUUAAACAAGAAAAAAGAAUUACAUGGGUUUAAUGUACCUUGUGACAAGUAGAAGACAUCAAAAGACAACACCAAACAUAGAAUCCAAAUUCCCUGAUAUUAUCAAAGUUUUCAUCUUUCUUUCUUUGUGUUUGUCCCACUAUUAUUGGGGGGAGUUGGUGGUGGGAUUUGGCCCAAAAGAAACGUUUUAGAAACUUUUGCAAAACAAAGAUUGUACGUAAUGAUAUAACAUACUUUCUUUGACAAUCUCGAUUAACUUAUAAACUUGGUAAAUGAAAUUAAGACCAAAUAAGUUCUUGCCAAAACUAACGUGUGCAUCAAAUUCACGUUACUUAUUCACAAGCUAACGUGGACACCAAUUCACAUUACUUUUCUGAAUAUGGAAAGGGACAUGAGAACAAACAGAAGAGAAAAUAACUGGUGAAAGCCACCAAAAAUUAAUGAGAGAAGAAGACGACGACAUGCAACUCCUACUAAACCCUAAUAAAUGGGGGCAGUUGGUUGUUUAGUUUGAAAUGAUUAAAAUCGCAAGUAGUAGAGAUUGCCCCAUUCCUCUAAGAAAAGAUAUAAUAUUUGUUUUUUUUUUGUUAAACGAUAGAUUUUGUUAGAUUAGAUGUUAGAUUAACCACUGACCGGGUUUGAACCCACGUCGUUAUACAAGAACUCAAGACAUUUUCAUUACUGGUGUAAAGGGCCACUUGCGACAUAAUGUUUGUGUGCAGUGGUAACAAUAUAUAUACUACACAUUUUCUAAAGAGUACUUGAUAAGUUUGCAUUAAUUUUAAGUAUUAACAAAUAAAACACGUAAUUCAAUAUUAAUAGAUUAUAAACCUGUAUGAAAGUGGUUUAAAAAUAAUCUAAAGCGUUUUCAGCUCCCAAUAUAAACGUUUUUAAAUGGCAAGAAAGUUCAAAAAAAAUUUGUUUAAAAAAUCACUUAAAUUGUUUUAUUUUAAAAGUAAAAUUUUUAUUAAAUUUUUUAACAUGAUCUAAUUAAAAAGUUUAACACUUUUACGUAAACUGAUCCUAUAAUGGCUAUGGAUCUGCUGUCUCCAACUACGUGUCUUUUUUGUGUUUCCUUUAUAUUUUUAUGACAUGUGUCCUUUAACUUAACCAAAACUUAACACUGUUAAAUUUUAUUAUUUUGUGUUGAAUAAAAAAAUUAGACCAGUUAUAUUAUCUCUUCCCCCAUCUUCUUACCGACGACCAAGGUACCCACCCUUCGCCAUCUUCUCAUCGACGCCCCGGCGUCCCUCCAUCUCCUCCUCUUCCUUCGUCUCCCUUUGCUCCUACAUCCUUCUCAAUUUUAGCCCAAACAAUUGCUCUCUCCAACUAAAAUCAAUGACACCGACUCCAAUUUGAAGGCCUACAUACCUGACUAUAUGAAUCCCUACUGGAUCCAUUACAGAGCGGAACUUACAAUUGUUGACCUUCAUCGCCAGAUUCAAGGUGGUACAGAUUAUGUAAAGCAUGGUGGUAAGAUCCUUGCUACUAGUAUCGUUGCAUCUGGUGGCUAUGCAGAUGAUUUGGAUAAUUCAAAUUCCUUGAUUAUACAGGCCAAGUAGGAAAUGUGAUGAAUACUGAUUUGGAACCUGAAGAUUAAAAGCUUGAACUGGGAAACCUUGCUUUGAAGAAUAAGUCUGGAUGAAAAGAACGGGGAAAAGAUUGGAAGAAAUCAAGAGCCACACGGAAAAACAGUGAAGAAUUCUAGAUUUAUUAACCGAACAGUCGGUCUGAUUAUUUUGGUUUUUUUUUACUUUUAAAUAUUAAAUAAAAAGUUAACAGAGUUAUAUCUAUGUUAAGUUAAAUGACAUGUGUUAAAAUAUUAACAAAGAGACACAAAAUGAGGCACACAAAAUGAGACAGCAGUGAAGCCUCCUAUAAUACCACCUAAUAGAGUUACAGUGACCUUAAAAUUUUAUCAAAUGUCUGUCAUUGAAUUAACUUAAAGUACAAACCAAUGACCAGUCCAAGCUAUACACCUCUUUGUUUUCAAAGUUUUCACGCACUCACACACUCACAUGUAUAUCCUAUCUUAUACCAAAUUCAUGCGGAUUUUUAUUACAAAUGAUCUUGAAAAUUGAUAAACCAAUUCAAGAUGAUCAUUGAAAUUAAAAAUUGAUCAAUAUAAUCAUUAAAUAUGAAUGCCAUAAAUCAACAUCAUCCAUAUUUAAAGACUACACUAAAUUCAAGCACCCAUGUUUAAAAAUUACAUUACUUAAUUUUCGAUUCAAUUAACAACCAUCUUAAUUAGGUGUGUCGAGACAUCUUGCAAUAAAAAACCAACUCAUAUUGUUUCUUAUUCACUCUCAUGCACUUGCAUUAUCUUGAGGGACAAGGAUUGUCUGCCCUUCAUUUCCGGUGCUCUCUCCGUGCCCACCUGUUUGUGUGAUCACGGUUAAGCCACGUCAACAUUUUAUAUUACUAUUUAUUUUUGUCUUAUUAUAUCUAUAAAAAAAAAUAAUAUAAAAUAUUAACAUACGUGACCACACAAAACAGGAGCGUACGGAGAGCGCACCGGAAGUGGAGGGCAAACAAUCCUUGCCCUAUAUUGAGUCCCUACAUGGCCUGCACGUGUCCCUAGCGACAUCAAUGAAAUAAGGUGAGUGAGCCUAGGGCAGUUGAAGUAAUUAAGGUACUAGUCGACAAUGCAGGUGGAGAGUUACUUAUGGACCCAUCAACUUUCAGUACAUGGUACAUUUUCCUCUAUAAAUGUGGAAUCUAUUUGCUCUUGCUAACACAUUCAGUAGCUCUGAGUUUCUUUCUUCAUCCAUUAGCAUUCUGUUCCAAUAUUUUCAGUCUCAAUGGGGUUCUGUCUUCCUCACAUCCUUGCUUUUCUAACUGUAAGCUUUCUAAUUUUGAAAUAUUACUUUUUGAUUUCAGUUGAUUUGUGUUUGCGUCCGUGAUGGUGCUGAUGAGGGUUCAAAUAUUGUUAAUUUGCAGCUCACACUGGUGGCAUGCCAUGCUGCUCUACCACCUCAACUUUACUGGAACUCUGUCUUGCCAAACUCAAAAAUGCCAAAAGCUAUCAGUGAACUUCUCCAGCCUGCAGGUUAGUAUUAGAGUCUCAGAGAAGCUCAGAUAUUGUGUAUUCCUUAGACAAUAAUUCUAUUUAGACAUACACAAUUAAGAUCACUACUGACACACUCUCUAAUACAGGCGAGUCUAACCAUCGUAUAUAUGUAAAAUGUACAUGUAUUAGAGAGUACAUGUCAAGAAAUGCGUUAUAUAUUCUCUAAAAGUGAUAUAAUCCAUUUGUAAUAGCAACAAUUUAGUAUUAUAAAAGUUGAAGGGAUGGAAUAGCUUAAAUGUUCUCAUUGAUCAAAAUUGGAUUGUGGUCUUGGUAUGUAUAUACACUUAUUUUCUUACAUGUAUGUCACUAAAAGCCACAAUAUAAUAAGUCAAUUUCAAAACAAUCGGUCAACUUUUUAUAAACUUUGCUCCUAGUAUAGUUGACUGAAAUUUCUAAAGCCAUGUCGUUCGUUGAUGCGUUCCUGAUACCUUCAAUAAAUUGACUUCACAAUUGUGCAAAUGUGCCGAUAAACUUUAUGACACUUUUAGCUAUACAAUCUUAUGUUGUUAGAAAAUAUAAUUUGACUUCACAAUUAUGAAUGUGCUGAUAAAUUUGACUUCACUUUUAGUUUUAGAUAUAUGACCUCAACGGCGAAUUCCCAUAUUUUCUAUAUAUGAUCCGAAUAUUCUCACAAAUUUUAGCUUAACAAUUUUGAUGUUCUACCUCUUCUCACCUGUUCUCCAUUAUGUUUGCUAAAAUUUGCAGAUUUCACAGAGGAUAAGAGCACCUCUGUUGUAGUAGGAAAGGGUGGUGUCAACGUUGAUGCAGGAAAAGGAAAGCCCGGAGGCACCCAUGUCGAUGUUGGGAAGGGUACUGGAGUGCAUGUGGAAGCCGGAAAAGGAAAGCCAGGCGGUGGCACUAACGUGAACGUAGGAGGCAAAGGCGGUACUGGGGUGAACACCGGGAAGGGAACCAACGUUGGUGUUGGCAAAGGAGGAGUGUCCGUAAACACAGGGCACAAGGGAAAGCCCGUGUAUGUUGGAGUAAAACCAGGACCAGACCCUUUUAACUACCAGUAUGCAGCCACCGAAACCCAACUCCAUCAAGACCCAAACGUUGCUAUUUUCUUCUUGGAGAAAGACAUGCGUCCUGGAACAACAAUGAACUUGCACUUCACCACAAAUUCAAACACGCAAACUUUUGUGCCGCGCGAAACUGCGGAAUCCAUCCCAUUUUCGUCCAACAAGCUGCCAGAAAUCUUCAACCAAUUUUCAGUGAAAUCGGGUUCCGUGGAAGCGGAUAUAAUCAAGGGUACAAUUCAAGAGUGUGAGAAUCCAGCCAUUAGAGGAGAGGAGAAAUAUUGUGCUACCUCUUUGGAGUCCAUGAUUGACUUUAGCACUUCUAAGCUUGGAGGAGGAAAUGUUCGAGCAAUUUCGACAGAAGCCGGAAAAGGAGCUACAUUGCAGAAGUACACAAUAACUUCUGGAGUGAAGAAGUUGGCGGCGGAUAAGUCGGUCGUGUGUCACAAGCAGAACUAUCCCUAUGCUGUCUUUUACUGCCAUGCAACAAAAACAACAAGAGCUUAUGUGGUGCCCCUGAAAGGUGCUGAUGGGGUGAAUGUUAAAGCAGUAGCAGUCUGCCAUACAGACACAUCGGAGUGGAACCCUAAUCAUUUGGCCUUCCAAGUUCUCAAAGUUAAGCCGGGAACUGUUCCGGUCUGCCAUUUCCUUCCCAGUGAUCAUGUUGUCUGGGUUCCAAACCAGAAAUCUACCUGAUUUGACUGAUCAACCCUUGAGUUCUACGUAUGAUGAUGUGAUCAGCUCAAUCAGCAUAGUUUGAGUGGCAAGAGUUUGAAAUUAAAUCGACCGUCGAUUACUUCUUAUUGUCACUAUGUAUUUCAGCCUAUAUAUAUACUCAUAAAUGAAAGCAUACUAUCGUGUGGACUUGUACCAAAAAGCAUGCUAGUGGACAUGCUCUACUACAUUCAGUAAUAGUUAUAUAUGCUUUGAUUCUGUGGUGCCAUCUGUCCACUGGUUCAGUUUUAAAUUGUCGUGCUAUUAUAUGCAUGAUACACGGGUUUCAUCUCCUUUGUCUUAGGAGAGGGAGGGAGUUGAGUACGUUGCAUGUCGAUAAUUAACAAAUUUUGUAUAUACUUAUAAGGAAGUGGAACCUUAAUUUCUUUUACGAUCUAAUCAAAGCAGUUACCCAGGGACUGCCAAGAAGCUAAAAUCCCAAACCAAGGAGGGCACCAGAUAACAAAGGGAAGUUUCAUUUGUACAAAUAAAAAUCCACAAAAAAAUCUCGCCACAAAAGUACAAAUUCAAAAAAAAAAUCAGGCCACUAUUGCAUGCUUCAAAAUUAAAGAAAAUUUCAGGCCACUGCAUGCUCUUGCUUUCCGGGUUUUCCCCACAAAGUUUUCUGUUGACAGGUAGGCCGACAAAAAUAUGAGCGCUUCACACCAGGCAAUGGCAAGGGCUGCAUGUUUUACACCUAAUCCCAACAAAUUUGGUAGUUCACCUUCUUACUUCCCCAUAAAUAUUGAACCCAUAUGCUACUGUUUACCAUAUCUCUCUGAGUUUUCAUGUUUCAUCCAGUAAUUUUCGUUUGUGUUGCAAAAGUUGAGUCUUAAUGGGGUUCCUUCUCUCCAGAAUCUUUGCUUUUCUAACUGUAAGUAAGAGCUGUAAUUUUGAAUCCUCCCUGUUACUAUAGUUAAUUUGAUUGAUCUUAUGUUUUUGCUAAUUUUAUUUUCUUUCUCUCUUACUAAUUGUGCGAGUUUAAUUUCAGCUCACACUGGUGGGUGUCCAUGCUGCUUUACCUUUGUCACCUCAGCUUUACUGGAAUUCCGUCCAGCCAAACUCACCAAUGCCGAAGAUAUCAGUCAACUAGUCCAGACUGGUUAGUAUCUAUGUACAACCUCAGAUUGGCUUCAAAAACUCAUUUCCACAACCAAUCGUCCUUGUGAUUUACACAUGUUUUCACUUUUGCACAAGAAGAAAAAGAGGCAACAACCGCGGAACAAGUUUGGCUGUUGUUACUAGCCUAGCGAUUGCUAAAUACGUGACAAAAAGUUAAAAAAGCGCACCAAAAAGUAAAAAAUUAUGACAUACUGUUUGUCACGCUUCUAGGAAUAGCUACACUAGAAAUAGCACCCUGGCUCCAUAGCUAUUUAUGUUGGUAAAUCCGCAGACUUCAUUACUGUUGGCAAAGGGGGAGUUAUUGUUCAUAACCAAGUUGCAGAUGUUGCAACUAACGUUCAAUAUCUUUACCGGGAUGAUUCAACUGAAGGCAAGAUGCAGAUCAAAAAGUAAAGACAUAAAGAUGCUGCUGAAAAUCCAACACUUGAAGACCCAACUCGAGUAAUUUUCUUCUUGGAGAAGGACAUUCAUCCUGGCACAACAGUGAAUUAUCACUUAUCCGGAAAUUCAACCAGAGAAACUUUCCUGUCCCGCAAGACUGCAGAGUCCAUCCCCUUCGGCUCAAGCAAAUUGGCAGAAAUUCUUAACCGAUUUUCAGUGAAACCGGGGUCUUUGGAAGCCGACAUAAUGAAAGAAACCAUCCAAUAUUGUGAAGGGGUGGCCAUGAGAGCCGAAGAAAAAUAUUGUGGUACCUCUCUAGAGUCGAUGAUUGACUUCACCACCUCCAAGCUUUGAAGAAAUAAUAUUAAAGCAAUCACGACGGAGGUGGAAAAAGGAGCUGCCCCGCUGCAGAAUUACACAAUAACCCCUGGAGUGAAAAAGCUGGCAGGCAACAAACUUAUUGUGUGCCAUAAGAUGAUCUAUCCAUAUGCCGUUUUCUACUGCCAUGCAAUUGAAAAAACAAGGACUUUUAUUGUGCCUCUCAAAGGCGCUGACGGGACGAAUGCUAAAGCAGUAGCAGCCUGCCAUGAAGACACAUCUGAAUGGAGCCCAAAACAUUUUGCCUUCAAAGAGCUCAAUUUUGAGCCAGGAACAACUGAAUCCCAUUUGCCAUUUUCUUAAAAACGAGAAUGUUGGUUGGGUUUCAAAACAAAAACCUACAUGAGUUGAAUCCGCCGCUCGGGUCCUCUACUUGAUUAUGUAGCCCAUCAAUAGGAGUAAUUAGCCCGCUCCAUUAAUAAAAACAAUCGCAUGAGACAGAUGAGCUGUUUAUGUCUGAGACUGCGUACUCACUUCAUAACAUAUUCUUAUUACUCAUUAGCAACGCAAAAUUCCCUCUUGUAAUAGAGACGAAAAAAGUACCACCCCCCCCCCCCUUCCCAAAAUAAAAGCAAAGAAAAAAAAUAGAUGAGUAUAUUUUAUUGUAUCUCUUAAUCUUAUCCUACCUCCCAUAUCAAUAAUUUGAAUGAAAAAAAUAAGAGUAAUGCUAAAGAAACUAAAUUUGAAGAUUAAAAUUGCAAACUAAAUGAUGUAUUACUAAUAGAAAUAAGCACGUCUUUUAAGACUUAAGUAAUAAACCAAUCAUCAAUUUCCAUGUUCUUUAGUUUUCAAAAUUUAGUCUCCAAAUUGAGACUCCCUAGCAUUACUCAAAAAAAAAAAAAAAAUAUCAAUGAAUAUGGAAAAAAAUAUAUAUAAAACGGUUGAUCUCUAUUAAACCUGCUAAUGACCCGAAGCAUAAAGUACUUGCUACCGGUGAAAUAAACACUCGCAUUACUCAAAAAUUAAUAAUAUCAAUGAAUAUGGAAAAAAAAUAUAUAAAACGAUUGAUCUCUAUUAAACAUGCUAAUGACCCGAAGCAUAAAGUACUUGCUACCGGUGCAAUAAACACUCGCAUUUGAAGAACUCCUCUAUUGUAUUUGUAAUACAUAAUGGUAAUAUGUAUAUGAUCAGAUUUGUUUAUGCAUAGUUACCCUACUUCCUCUUGUGGAACUCCAGGUUGAGGAGUUAGGAGAUCUACAAGUUUGCUAAAGUGAACCACUCUAUCACACUGAGGAUUUGUUUGAUAAUGAUUUUGUUUGCAAUCUGGGAGAAGUAGUUACAAAUCUGCUAAAGUGAACCACAACAGUCAAUCACAUGACUAAGGGUUUGUGUGAUAAUCGUUUCGCUUUUUUGUAGUUUUCGCCUUUAGUGCUUGCUAUAUGGGAAAAAAAAAAAAAUAUAUAUAUAUAUAUAUAUAUGGAAAGAAAGAAGGAUGAAGGAAAAAUGGUAUAGUGAAUGUAGAUGAAAUAUACAAGGAAUGAUACACACUAAAAACAAAAAAUUUUAAGUUAUUUUCAUCUUCAAAAUUAUGUUUUCAUUCGUUGUUCUCUAUUUUUGAAUCACAAGUUUGAGUGACCAAAAUAGCCUAAGGGUAUAAAUGACAUUCGCAAAAUAUAGGAUGACUCAUCAUCACUCGGUAAGAAGUUGGUUAGUUGGAUCAAAGGUUAAUGUACCUUAGUUGAUAAGCAAAAUCACGAAGACUAAACUUAAUAAUUGAAACAUAAAUGGUCUUAUUUCUAAUUAUGUGCAAAAUGACUUUUUUAGAGGCGUUGUUUUUCUUUUUUGGACAAAGGUAAUUUUCAUUACCAAAAGAGCACAAUUACAGACAAAGAGGCCCAAAUACAUUGUAAACACAAAACAAAAAGUGAACCCCCAACACUAAACAAAAGCUCAACCCGAGAGAAGGGCCCAAAACAGAAAACCUUACAAGACUAACUUCCUCCGUCGUCGUCAAAGAACCGGCAGCCGACCACAAUCCAACAACCUAGGCCAAAGAUCUCACCAAACACAGCGCCAAAGAAGAAGGCUCCAUCUUCCUCCACCAAACACCACACAAAUUGAAACCGCAACCACCAAAGAAAGAAGCCAGAAGGAAAGAACUUUCCCCUAGCAAAAAAAGCCGAAAACGGCAUACAAUUGGAAGGUGGUGGUGUGUACACCAUAUGAGCAGAAGCUCUGCACACCUUCCUAGAAAACCUCGAAACACAGGUGGAAGAGAUGGUUGCAGAAUUGAACAUGUGUGAGAAUGAUGUAGGACAGAAGCAAAUGGAAAAGUAAAAAAAUGGCUGGAUUAGAGUCAUGGAGGUGGAAAAACUUGAGAGAGAAGAAGAAAAAGGAAGGUUGGAAGUGGGACUGUCAGAUCAAGACUGAUGAAAGGUUAGAGCGGAGGUUGCAUGGGGAUUACCAAAAAAGACGGCCAGAAAAACAUGGAGAAAGCCAAUCUCAUAGCUCGAUGUAUCCAGGACUCAAUCUACUAGUCACUCCAUUAAUGUUGAAUUAAAUACUCCAAUUUAUUUCCACACAAAGAAACAAAUCAGAAACGUAAGAAAAAAUUAAGACCACCGCAUGCUCUGCAUUUUCGGUUUCAUCUGGUAUGGAUUAUUGGAUUUUACUGAUAGAUCCAUGUUUUAAUUUGUGAAAUGUUAAGGAGAUUCUCUCAAAGUGACAUUUUUCAUGGACUUUCUGCCUCCUCAUGGUUUUGACACUAUUUUAUAAUGUUGGCACGAAAAUUUUGCUAAAAACACUAAAUGACGUAGAAUCCACGAAUAGUCUUACUUUUGAGAGAAUUUCCUUACUAUUUCUAAUUGAAUUUGAUUCAAAGUUGGGAAUAAAUGUGGAACAUCACACUAGGCAGUGGAAAGGGGCACAUGUUACACCUUAUUGAUGCACAAAACCGGAGGUCUUGGAACAACGUAAAUCCGAUCGUGAAUCUGCAUGAAAUGUAAAUAACACAAGAUGUAUCGUGGUUCAUCCCAAGGUUUGGGCUACGUCCACACUGAUUAUGUAUUUAUCUGAGAGGUGAGGGAAAGAACCUCUGAAUAUGAUAAGGGACGUGAGAGGGGUGAGAAGGCUUAAGAAAUGGCAUCCCCCAAUUGUGAGGGUGAUGGGUCCUUUUAUAGAAUAAUGACUCCUCACUUAUUACAUAUUUGCCAUUUCCUUUAUCACAUAAUUGCAUUUAAGUCCCCCGAGUAUUUGUACAAGAUCUAAAUACGAGGCCCUAAAUAUGGUAUAAACAGUAGUCCCCCAAGUCUUCGGUCAAUAGAGUCUUUUGGCUGGAGACUUGAAAUUCAGUUCAUGUGUGGGCCGAAGUAACUAGAUGUUGUCUUGAACUGAUGCUCGAUAUGAGGCGGUGCUCCAUCUGAAAUGAUGCUCUACUAGAAGUAGCACAUGCUGCAAGGUUGCUCGGCUCGUGGCUUAUGUUGCCUUGGUUGGCUCGGCUUGUGGCGUUGGGAGGUGAGGGAGUCCAUUUUAUAAAAUAAGGGUUCGCUCCUCAAUACAUAAAUGAUGGGCUAGAGUUGAUACUCGCGGCGAGGUGGUUGCUCAAUAGGCGGCGAUACUCUCUAAUGGUGGUAAGGGAGUCCCUUUUAUAGAAUAAGGGCUCGCUCCUCAAUACAUAAGUGAUGGGUUAGGAGUGAUGCUGGCGGCGUUGCUCUCUAAUGAAGGUGAGGGAGUCCCUUUUAUAAAAUAAGAGCUCGCUUCUCAGUACAUGAAUAAUGGGUGAUCUCUAAUGAAAGUGAGGGAGUCCCUUUUAUAGAAUAAGAGUUCGCUCCUUAAUACAUAAAUAAUGGGCUAAGUCCCCCAAGUAUUUUUCAUGAGGCCCAGUUGAGGCCCAAUAUAUGGUACAUAGUGUAGUUCCCCAAGUCUUCGUUCAAUAGAGUCUGUUGGCUGGAGACUUCAAACUAAAUCCAUAUAUGGGCCAAAAUGGCGGUUGUUCGGAUAUGGUAUUUGUAUACCUUGCACUGAAGCUUUGUAGGUGAAACUUUGCAAACUAGAGCUCUGUAAAUGAAGUUUUUAAAGCUAAUUGACAUAAGUGAUGUUCAUGAAUGUUUAUGUUGAUUGACAUGAGUGAUGCUCAUGGAUGUUGUCAUGAGUGAUGCUCAUGAAUGUUAACAUGAGUGAUGCUCAUAAAUGUUGACAUGAAUGAUGGUCAUGAAUGUUUAUGUAUGAUUGUUAUGAGUGAUGCUCAUGAAUGUUUAUGUAUGAAUGACAUGAGUAAUGCUCAUGUAUAAUUUGGAAUACUAGGCGUACUUUUGAUCACCUGGUUGGUGGCAUGAAGGAGAGUACGAGUUGUAUAUUUCAUCACCUGGUUGGUGGCAUGAAGGAGAGUACAUAUUGUAUAUUUCAUCACCUGGUUGGUGGCAUGAAUGGCUAGUUGCCAAAAUGAUAUUAGAGUACGGGUUCUACAUUUUAUCACCUGGUUGGUGGUAAUAGCGGCAGGUUGCCGAAUAAUUGUGGAGUACUGGGCGUACUUUUGGUCACCUGGUUGGUGGUAAUAGCGGCAGGUUGCCAAAUAAUUGUGGAGUAUUGGGCGUACUUUUGGUCACCUGGUUGGUGGUAAUAGCGGCAAGUUGCCGAAUAAUUGUGGAGUACUAGGCGUACUUUUGAUCACCUGGUUUGUGGUAAUAGUAGCAGGUUGCCGAAUAAUUUUGGAGUACUGGGCGUACUUUUGAUCACCUGGUUGAAGCUAUUUUGGGCUUAUGGGCAUUCGCCCUCCACAACAUGCCAGCCCAUUUAUUUUGGGCUUUUCCGGUUUUUUUUUUUUUUUACCCUCUGAUGGGGUUUAUACAAAUGUCUCUAAAAGAUAAGAAAAAUAAAUUACAUCAUACAUCUGUCAAAAAAGUAAAUCACAUCAUUAUGGGGGGUGUUUAUUCCUUACUUUUGCUUUCUCUGAAAUAUUCUCCCAACGACAUGAUCUUUUUUCUUUUUCUUUUUUGUUCCUUUACCCUGAUCUCUCCACCUCCAGGCACACUCACUUGCUUUUGCUUUCGUUUUUUGAUUUGAUUUUCCUUUUCUGAUCAAGUACCUGACAGCUUGGAAUAUAUUGUAAUCAAGUGACCAGAGAGUAGGACUAGUGGAUACCUCUCUUCUGUUUUUCUUUUCCUUUUGGCAUAAGGUAGACAAAAGUAAUAGUAGUAGACUUAUUAUUGAGAAAGCUUAUCUUCUUCAUGAGUGUCUCCACUGGUGGAUGAGAGGUAGCCUAUGUAAAAGUCUUCUUCUUGGCAAGAUCGCUAGAAGCGCCAGAAGCUUUUGUGGAAGAAUUAGAUGUAGCAGGCUGCGAAAGAAAUAAAUGCAGCAGGCUGCUGUGAGCUCUUAAGCUGCGGGUUGGCGAUAGCAUGGCUGCUACCACCACUUGAAUACGAAAGAGUAAGAUCCAUCUGAACGAAAUUCGCUCAUACCCAAGGCUUCAACAACUCCACUCUUAUCAUCCAUUGAAUUUCGAAGAAGACAAAGCAAAGACUCCCACAUAUUUCUAUUAAGAGAAUCCCCAACAAAAACUAGUCGCUUUCCUCUCAAUAGUCCCAACAUGUUCUUACCAUCUAACCUUGGAAGAUUGCAAUGUUUGAGUUGCCAUCUAUACUUUUCGUAGCAAUUAUCCGGCCUCUUAUUAAGAAAACAAUUGAAGGAUUCAUCAAUAAAAGGAUAAGAACCCGGAGCAUAAAGCGGAUACGAAUCAUCUCUCACCCACAUUCCAUCAAACAUGUCACAAUCAUCCCUCGAAAAUUCAUAACCGGGCUAAGUUUGAUUACUCUGCUUCUUAGAUUCAGACAAUGCCUCACUAGCAUCAUCACUCUCUAUCGAGGUCAAUGCCACUGCUUGCCCCAAAACCCCAUCAGAAUCUUUAGCAAAAGAUUCAUUUUUUCUUGAACCCUCCAGUUUCUCGGAAAAUCCCAUUUUCCCAGUUACUUGAAUCGUAGUGUUCUGGGACGAAGUCUGAUUGGAUUCUUAGGGUAAGAAAAGAAUUGCGUUUGGCAGUUGGGCACUAGCCAUAUCAGACUGCAAACCUCCACUCUCAUCUAAACGUAGGAAAUAUUCAGCUUUCCAGGAAAAUGGGUUUCCCGGGAAAGUUCAAAAGGGGUUUUGAAGAUGUUCUUGAAGCCAAAAGGGAAAGAGUAGCCAAAUGGGUUGAAAACCAGGAAGAAAGUUCAAGCGAUGCAGACGAACGAGAAGCCAUAGGCAAAGGCAGCGGUUUUUCUGGAGGGGAAGAAAAUUGGGGAAGAAAGAGAGGGUUUGGAGAAGGCCUCUGGUCUUGGGAUUGUGGGGGAAUGCUGGUGCUUUGUGGGUUUUGGGGUUGUCUGGGUUUUUGUGAUUUUGCAGAUUCACAGUGGUGAGAUUUGAUGAAAAAAUGAAAGAGAACUGACAUAGUUUUUAUGUCGUUUCCCACAGACGGCACCAAAUGUUGAUGCACAAAACCAGAGGUCUUGGAACAACAUAAAUCCGAUCGUGAAUCUGCAUGAAAUGUAAAUAACACGAGAUGUAUCGUGGUUCACCCCAAGAUUUGGGCUACAUCCACACUGAUUAUGUAUUUAUCUGAGAGGUGAGGGAGAGAACCUCUGAAUAUGAGAGGGGAUGUGAGAGGGGUGAGAAGGCUUAAGAAAUGGCCUCCCCUAAUUGUAAGGGUGAUGGGUCCUUUUAUAGAAUAAGGACUCCUCACUCAUUACAUAUUUGCCCAUUCCUUUAUCACAUAAUUACAUUUAAGUCCCCUGAGUAUUUGUACGAGAUCUAAAUACGAGGCCCUAAAUAUGGUAUAAACACACUUAAUCCCAACAAAUUUGGCACUUUAGUUGACUUCUUCUAUAAAACUUGAACCAUUCUCCUAUUGUUCACCACAAAACCUGAGUUUUCUUGUUUCAUCAUUUUCAAUAGGGUUCCUUCCCUUGAGAAUCUUUGCAUUUUUUACUGUGAGUAAACUGUGUAAAAUUUGAAUUUUCCCAAUAUAUUUGGCUUCGGUCAGGUGAUGUAGUGGCUUUGGUCGAUUAUGAUAACACUACUAAAAACAUUAUAUAUGAUAUAUGUUUUAUGAAAGGUUUUAUGGCAUGAUAGGUUUUCGGAAAACCUAUUACAUUUUUAGUCAAAAUGGUCCCUGAGAUUUGCAUGACACAUCACUUUGAUCCUGGAGAUUGAAAAUCAAUAGAAAUGGUCCCUGAGAUUGUCUACCAUCCAUUAUUUUGGUCAUUCCGUUAAAAACUUCAUUAAGUGUUCUGGAGCUCUUGGCCGAAAGUUUGGACAAUUUUCAAAGUUUCGUAACUUAAUCGUUUAUUAACCAAAUUCAAACCAUGAUACAUCAAAAUGAAGAUAGGAACGUUGAGAAAAAUAUUAUACCUAUUUAGAAGCCCAAUGGUUGUCGUAGAUGGCCGAAAAAUAGCCUGAAAGGUGACUGGUCCACCGGAAAACUGAAAAACUCGUUGGAAACUGGGUAAACUUUAAACGUUCAUAACUUCUUCAAAACUCAACAAAAUCGAGUGAUUCAAAAACAAAAAUCAUACUUCUCGACAAGAAAAAUAGAAUGAUACCUUUCUUGAUGGCUAAAUCAUCGUGCUUUGGCUGAAAAACGGCCCGAAAAUUAUUGUCUUGGUCUCGAGUUAGCCACUUUUAGGCCGUUUACGGACCAAACCACGACGAAUUAGUUAUCGAGAAAGGUACCAUUCUCUUUGUCUCAUCAAUAAUUAUGAUUUUUGUUUUUGAAUCACUCGAUUUCGUUAAAUAUUGAAGAAGUUAUGAACGUUUAAAAUUUACCUAGUUUCCAAUGAGUUUUCCAGUUUUCCUAGGGACCAUUCACAUUUCAAGCUAUUUUCCGGCCAUCUCGGUAACCAUUGGGCUUCCAAAUAGGUAUAAUCUUGUUCUACACUUUCCUAUCUUCAUUUUGAUACAUUAUGGGUCGAAUUUGGUUAAGAAACGAUUUAGUUACGAAGUUUUGAAAAUUGCCCAAACUUCUGGCCAAGAGUUCUGAGACACUUAACGGAGUUUUUAACGGAAUGACCAAAAUAAUGGAUGGUGGACAAUCUCAGGGACCAUUUCUAUUGAUUUUCAAUAUCAGAGACCAUUUUAACUAAAAAACCUACAUAUUAUUACUAUUGAGUUUUCAUAAACUUUGGGGGUUAGUACGUUGAUGAAUAACUGUUUCUGUAUUACUUAUAUAUCAACUUGGUCCACUCAUGUUUUGUUUUGUGCCCCCUCAAGAUUUAGAAUCGAGGCAUACAAUCCUGACGUUAGGGUACUCCCGCAUCGGCAUCUUUAAGUCCUCUCGGUGUAGGACCCAUCCCUUUGUUCAUUCAAUUUUAUAUUAUUCCUUUGUAGUGUCUUGGGUUAGUUAUAUGCUCUGAAUACGUUCCACAAUUGCAUAUUCAUUAUAAUUAAAUUUACAACUUUUAUUUAUGUCAGUUAUUUGUUUUUAGUUCUCAUGCAUCCUUUUAUGGUUUCGUCACCUUCGAGUGUCGGCCAGUACGUGUCUACCCCGAUGUUUGGAGGAUAUCAGGGUCGGGCGUGUCACAUAGGUACAUAAGUAUCGGUUCAUAAGUUUUGGUAACAAUAUAUCGAUACAUAACUUUUAAAACGAAUGUAUCUGUACAAAUGUAUCGGUACGUAACUAUAGUAUUUAAACAUACAUAUGUACGUAAUAUGCAUAUACAUAUAUAUGGAGAAAUUCACGCACAAUAAAAAAAUAUAUGAUAAUAUAUGACUUCUUUUAUUAUGGAAACUUAACAAUAACCAUCAAUGAUAAAUAACAUUUUUAUUAUUUAUGGGAAUCAAUAUAUAACCUACAAACAAAAAAGUCAAUAAUUACUACAACCUAUUUAAUAUUAAAAAAUUAUAAUUAAAUGCCAAGGAUUAGAAUGAUUUUUUAACAAAAUUUAAUGAAAAUGAUUUGAAAAUUUUGAGUUUUACCGAUAAGGACAAAAUAAAGGGUAAAGUGAAUAAUACCAUGAUUGAUUUUUUGGUGUAAAAAUAUGAUUUUUCGUUAAAGUGAAUAGUAUCAUGAGUUUUUUUUGUUAAAGUUACCUAGUUUUUAAUCUUAGACAAGAUUUUAUUCAAAAAGUAAUCUUAGACAAGAUUUUAUUCAAAAAGUAAUCUUAGACAAUGAUUAGAAUAUAAUUUUAAUUUUUUUUUAACAAUCUACUGUGAGAGACAGAGAGAGUAGGCUAAGACUAUAAGAGCUAGUAAUAAUGUAGUUCAAAUUUACUUUUAUAAAAAAUCAAACCUAAAAUUUAUCAUUUAUAAGUGAAAAAAAUAUCACUAAUUGUAGUAUUUAUCUUUUAAACAUUAUACACAUAGGUAACUAUGUACUUUUCCCGUGUGAUACACCAUUGGAAGUGCUUUUCGGAACAGCGUGCAUGUCGCUUUUGAGAUAAGAUCUUGUCCAAAUGUCCAUGGCUUCGUGACAGCUGUGAGAAAGUGACGAUCAACCUACAUGCAAGUUGCUUGAGGGAGCACAAGUGCUCUGCCAACUUUGAGUAACUGACGAUCACAUACGGAAAAUGAUUCCGGAUCAUUUUCUUAGGAAUUCUGUAAUCGUAUAUUAUGUGAUCAGAAAUUAUUUAAAAUUUAAAAUUUAAAAUUCAAAUAUAAAUAGUACAUAACGAAAACUAACUUCAUGAUAUAUGAUGAACAAACAUAAUUACUAUGUAUGAUGAACGAACAUAAUUACUAAAUCCCUUGGAAAAUGAUCAGCCGAGGAUCAUUUUUCCGUCACAUACAUGCAUGUUGGCAGAGCACUUUGAAUUGGGGCCCUAAAUAAGUCUUCGAAUUGGCUCUAAAGUAGUAAAAUGUACUGACACGUGGCGCUUUAUACAUUAAUAUGUAGAAAAAAUUCUGCUAAAUACAUGAAAAAUAUAUGGGUAAAUUACAAAAAAACUACCAUAAUUAUUGAUUUUACGACAUUUUUAUACCUCAUGUCAGAGCUCUGUCAGUUUUUCUGUUACUUUUCUUGUUAAAUGCUGACGUGAACCUCGGCGUCAAUCACAAGAGACUGAAACCGUUUGUAGGGUUUGUAUGGACGACAACGACAAGGAGGCUUGAGCUCACGGCGUCAAUCAUAAGUGUCUUGAGAUUUCAAAAUUGGGGAAAACAGAGAAAAUGAGAUGGAUUAGGAUCUGCAGGUACAUUAGUCGAUCAUCCCCUCUCCAAAGCAUUUCCGGCGACCUGCCAACGGGGACCAGCGGAGUGGCAGCGAUUGAAUAGAAGGACGACGAUGGCGGUGAAGACGGAGACGAACAGCGCGAGGCAAUUGAAGAAACGACAGAGAGUUGGCUCUGCAAUGACGCCAUUGGAGAGAGGGAAACCCUAGGAAGAGAGCUAAGAGAGGAGAAAUGUACUGGUUUUGAAUAGCCUGAUACUACAGUGAGAGGAGAGGAGACACGUGGGUGAUUGAAAGGUGCGAGGGAAGCUCGCGUGUGUUUGAGAUUAGAAUUAGGACAGCUAGUUGUGCGGGAAGUUGAGGAUCGCUUUGGCGCCCCGAAGCUUGAAUGCUGCUCGAUCGUAAGCCUUGGCUGCUUCAAUCGCCGUGUCGAACUGGAUCCACUCAGUUUUGUUGGGAAGCGAGAUUAUGAGUGCUGGCUUUCGGAAUGGGUUAGCGGGUUUAGGUUGCAGGGAAGGGGAAAGAGAAGGAAUAUGGGUUUUGGAUUUGGGUUGCGGGAAAGGGGUCGGGGAAGAUAAGGUGUUUGGUUUUUUGUUUUUUGUUUUGUUUUUUUGUUUUUUUAAGGGUAAAUUAUUAUUUUUAUUAAUUUUUUAAUAAAUUGUGGAAUCCGAAUCAAGCCAUAUCAUCAUUUAACCGAGAAAUUCACAACCAACCCAAUGAAUGUAUAAUGGACCAAAUUUUAGAGAUGUGGUAUGACAUUGUCAAUUUUAAUGGAUAAAGUAUGAUAGUGUAGUGAGACGAGGUAAUUUUUUGUCAUUUACCCCAAAUAUAUUUAUGCAUCAAAUACAAUUAAAAAUUAAUAUAAAAAAAAUCAAAUACAAUUAAAAAUUAAUAUAAAAAAAAUAGAGAUAUACAAGCAACAACUACGCCUGUUCCACUACAUCAGCAUGCUUUCUAUGUCAUGUAUUUGACUUUUAUCCUAUUUAUAAGAGAAAUAAAUAUAUUAAAAAAAAUUUGGAGCCCCAAAAAAUAGGACGUCCUAGGCGGUCGCCUUACUCGGAAGAUUAUGCCGCGUAUCAAAAUAAAACUAAGACAACGUUGUCCACAAAAUAGAAACAUUGGGUUGGGUUUCAGGUCGUCUUCUUAGAAUCGCACGAGGCCCCUCUGAGUAGUGAGUACUAGUAAGCAGUAACAUACUAACAUGGAGCAAUUCAAAGGGCAGCCUCGGCUUCCGAAAUUCGCCUUGCCGAAACGGUACGACUUAAGGCUGAAGCCAGACCUCAAAGCUUGCAAAUUCAGCGGCUCCGUCGCCAUUCUCGUCGACAUCGUCUCCGAGACCCGGUUCAUCGUCCUCAACGCUGCCGAGCUCUCCGUCAAUGCCGUUUCCGUCUCUUUCACUCACACAGAUUCCUCCAAUGUGUAUUAUAUACUACUGAUCUCAUCUGAUCAUCCAUGCAAUUAACUAGGAUGCCUAAUUUGAAAGCAGACACUCCUCGAUUAAUUGUUUUAAUUUCCUUUAAGUGCUCCUGCUGUUCUGUUCAUGCUUUCAAAUAAUUAAUAACUGGAUGGAUUGAUUAUAUAAAUUCAAGUUAUGAAGCACCGAUCAAUUUAUUCAAUCCUGAAUCGAGGAAACACCAAAACACAUAUAUAUGUACUCUCCGUCUCCGAUACGACCACCCGAAACGAGAGUGUUUUUUACCCUACACAUUAAACUUUGAAGUGAGGGUUGCGUUCAGGCUUCUAUGGAUCCACAUGCUAAAGUAUUGCUGACGGAGGUGGAAAUUUUAUUAGAGCUCAAGAAUUUAUCGGGGUUUACUGCUUGUUAGGAUUUCUACUUGUUGGGAUAGGAAACAGGUGGAAUGACGGAAAAGAGAGAGAACAGUUUAGUGGGUGACUUUUGAAUUCUUUAUCUUUAUCCAAAAAUUAGUUUUACAUUUUUAAAUCUUUUCAAAAAUUAAAGGGCAUCAUUUAAUUUCAAGUUAACCAGGGUAUUAUACAGGACACGUGGCAAGCUCAUUAGGUGAUGGUGAGUAGAAAUGUUCCCAUUUAAUUAAUGUAAUCAUUUCAAUAUUUACUAUGUUUUAAAAUGAUUUGUUAUUAUCACUGAUUUGGUAAUAUUCUUUUUUAUUUGGAAGUGUUCGAAUCUCGUGAAUAGCAAAUUCGAUACCAAAUUAGGUUGCUCAUUGUAUGACUUAGUCGAACUCCCCCUCCCCUAGUGUAAAAAUAUCGAUGUACUAAAAAAAAAGAAUUUUUAUUGACACUCCAAAAAAUAUCAUUUGUACUCCAAAUUUUCUAUAAUUAAAAAAAAUACAUUGAAGUAUAAAAUGAGAUUUAUGGAGUGCUAAUAACAUUUUCCAUUUUAAAUAUUUUUAAGGUUAAAAAUAUAAUUUUAAUAUUUUUCAAUUGUAGCAUAAAUUUUGAGUUUUCAUGAAUGGCCGAACUCCCCUCCCAAAUCCCGGCUCCCCUAUCCUUGCUACAUUUUUUUUUUGAACAAACGAUAUUAUUUACAUUGAGGGGGAGAGGUGGGUUUAGCCUCACAAUGGGCUAGCAAUAAUGUGGUUCAAACUCACUUUUGACGAGACUCGAACCUAAGAUCUGUCACUUACAAGAGAAGAGAAGAGAAAUAUUAUUAAACCGUAAUACUAAGUGGCAUUCUUGCUACAUAUUAAGAUGCUAAUUUUUUUUUUUUAACAAACGAUAUUAUAUAUACACUAAGGGGUACGGGAGUGAGCUAAGCCUCACCCUCACAUUGGGCUAGUCAUCAAUAAUGUGGUUCAAAUUCACCUUGGCAAAAAUCGAAUAUAAAACCUAUCACUUACAAGUGAAGAGGAAUAUCACUAACCGUAAUACUAAGUGGCAUUAAGAUGCUAAUAAUAACAUUAAUUUUCAACUUUUACUGCCUUGUUUGGAGUACAAGACAAAAGUCAUUGACAUAACCGGAGGAAUUAAAGGCUUAAGUGGCUAUUGAGAUGAGAUUUUGCUUUUGGAGUUUGGGGAGACAUUCCGAUUGGAAGGGGAGUUUUGGCUAUUUUAUUUGAAGGAAUUCUGGAUGACAAGAUGCAGGGAUUCCAUAGAGUGUAAUGCUCCUUGAGUUCCGGAUUCGUUAUCCUGUUUGUUUAUCAACUUUUGAUUUUUCAAUGUGCCUAUUAUAUUUCAGUGGUAAAAUUUGAUUUAUCCUGUGCAGUAUGUAUGAGCAUAACGGUGAGAAGGAAUAUAUGGCUGCUACACAAUUUCAACCGGUUGAUCCCAGGCGGUGCUUUCCGUGUUGGGAUGAACCUGCUUGGAAGGUCGCUCUCGAUUUUUCUCUCUGAUAGUUGAAUUAGUUGAAUAAAUCUUGAUAUAUGUUUGUAUCUAGUCAUUUUGUAAAAUCAAUAUGGAUACUUUCGCACUGCUUAACCGCAGCUUUGAGUCUCAGAAGAAAGAUAGGUUUUUAUGGGAUAAGAAAUCAUUCCUUAAGUUAUUGUUAGAUUGUUUUACUAGGAUUGUUUGAAUUGACCCCAUUUAUUCUUAUCGAUUGGAACUUUGAUUGGCAGGCUACAUUUAAGAUUAGACUGGAUGACGUUCCAUCUGAAUUAAUUGCACUGACCAACAUGCCCAUUAUUGAAGAAAAAGUGGAUGGACAUCUGAAGACUGUUUUGUAUGAAGAGUCACCUAUCAUGUCGACAUACUUGGUGGCCAUUGUUGUUGAGUUGUUUGAUUACAUUGAAGAUCAUACAUCUGAUGGUAAAACUCAUACACAACAUCUCUUGUUCUGUAUUUGUUAGUAACCGUUUCUUGACAGUGUCAUAUUCCAUCUCCUCACAGGAGUCAAAGUGCGGGUAUAUUGUCAAGUUGGUAAAGCAAACCAAGGGGCGUUUGCUCUGAACUUUGCUGUCAGCGCUCUUGAAUUUUACGGAGAGUAUGUUUAUGGAUCUCAAAAUAACUCAAUGAAUCCUUUCUCUGAUUUUUGUCCCCUUCCGUGCUUAUGUUCAAUUGUUUAUCAUUUGAUAUGAAAUCAAUGACAAAAAAGUUCUACAGUUACUUUGCUGUGCCAUACCCCUUGCCAAAAUUAGAUAUGGUUGCAAUCCCUGAUUUUUUUGGCGCCAUGGAGAACUAUGGUUUAGUUACAUACCACGAAACGGUUUUGCUCUUUGAUGAACAUAACUCUUCAGCUGCCAACAAGUAAAUGGUAACAUACACAUACUGAAUGUCAAUCUUGUUUUCAUAAUUUAGCUUCAUUCUAGCUAUUGUUUUUUAACCUUAAUCAUUUCAUUUUGUUUUUGUGGAAGGUUGCAACUGUCGUGGCACAUGAAUUGGCACACCAAUGGUUUGGCAAUCUUGUGAUGAUGGAAUGGUGGACGGAUUUAUGGCUAAACAAGGCAUUUGCAUCAUGGGUAUCACUUUCUUCAUUUGUUGUACUUGUUAUUUUAUAUGCUUUUAGACUUAAAAGUUCAUGUUUUGACGUCAUUAGGUGAGCUAUUUAGUUAUAGACAUCUUGUUCCCAGAGUGGAAAAUAUGGACUCAGUUUCUUCGCAUUGAAGUUAGUGGGGGUCUUAAGUUGGACGGGCUUGAACAAUCUCAUGCCAUUGAGGUACUUCAAAUUGGACUAGGUCUUCCACAGAUUUUUUAUUCUGUCUGAAGUUUUAUUUUUCGCGGCAUAGGACCUUGAUCACCUGCAUAACAGGCUUUAAAUAGAAAUAUGCACGUAUACUUUCACAUUUGUAGUAUUUCUUGUACACCUUAUUCCCUUUUUUUCGCUAGGUGGAUAUUAAUCGUGCUUCCGAGCUUCAUGAAAUAUUUGAUGCAAUAUGUUAUGAUAAAGGAACUUCUGUUGUUAGGAUGCUACAAACCUAUCUCAGUGCCAAAUGCUUCCCGGUUGGUCUUUUGGUUUGUUAGCAAUUGUCCUUGACGACUAAACCAACAAUCUUAUUUAUGAGAUUUUUUUACAUUUAUUCCAUGGAAAUUUCCGAAAAAUAAAGGCUUCAAGGCAUGCAGGAUUAAAAGAGGAUAUAUCCUGAAAAAUGAUUAUUCUUUGAGAUUUUUGUUCACUCGUCUUCUGGUUCGUAUUGGUUAUCAAAUACGUUUCUCAUGAAAGUUACAGAGUUAACCGCCUGCUAUUUUUUCAUGCGUCCAGAGGUCACUUGCUUCGUACAUAAAAAAGUAUGCUUCAUCAAAUGCAAAGACAGAAGAUUUAUAGGCUGCCCUUUAGGAGGGAUCGGGUGAACCAGUGAACAAGCUAAUGAAUUCAUGGACACAACAAAAGGGUUACCCUGUUAUAUCUGUCGAAGUCAAAGAUCAGAAAUUGGAAUUUGAUCAGGUUUUUCCAUAUGUUGCCUUCCUUGAAAAUCUUGUUUGACUAUCAGACGAAAUUCUAAACGAACAUCUCAGAGGUCUAAUGCACUUUUUUAAAGUUUUUAAAUCGUUCGUUUAGGUUUUAUUCCAUGGUACAAAGAUCUAAUAAGUUGAUUAAUAAAUGGCAGACACAAUUCUACUUGAGUGGUUCCCAAGGCAACGGGCAAUGGAUUGUGCCAAUAAUAUAUUAUGUUGUGGCUCCUAUGAUGCACGCAAGAGCUUCUUGCUACGAAAUAAGUCUGAAACUCUUGACGCAAAGGAAGUUUUGGGUUGCUCCAUUGCAAAGACAAGAUCGAGUUGGAUAAAAGUCAAUGUGUAUCAGACUGGUUUUUACAGGGUGAAAUAUGACGAGGAACUUUUAGCUGCUCUUGGAUAUGCUAUAGAAAAUAAACACUUGUCUGCAACUGACGGAUAUGGUAAUCACGUUUUUAUGCUCACACACUUGUUUAUCUCUUCGAUAGUGAAAUUGGAAGUAUUCAGUUCAGCUUUCAUCAUUUCUUUUCCUUCAACAGGAAUUUUGGAUGACUCGUUCGCCAUUUCUACGGUUUGCUUGCAGUCUUUUGCUUCAUUGCUUACCUUGUUGGGUGCUUACAGAGAGGAACUUGACUAUAUAGUGUUGUCAAAUUUGAUCACUGUAAUGAUCACCUCUGCAUUGUGUUAAUUUUCUGGACUUAUAGCCUUAGUGUAAUUCAUGUUUUCACCUUUCACAGAUAUCUUAUAAGCUGGCAAGAAUUGCAGCUGAUGCUGUACCGGAUCUACUGGAUCUUAUUAAUCAGUUCUUUCUUAGCCUUUUUUAGUACUCUGCAGAGUAAGCUUGUUCUCUUUUUUUUUUCCCUCAACUAGCCAAGUACCUAAAAGGUCAUACCCAGUGCACAAGGCUCCCGCUUUACGCAGGGUCUGGGAAAGGUGAAUGUCGGCUAGCCUUACCCCCAUUUUAUGGAGAGGCUGCUCCCAAGUACCUAGCUAGAUAAAAAUUCUUUACGCAGACAUUGGUUCUUUAAUGAAUAAAAAUGGGUGUCCAGUUGGUACUGCCUACAAUGAUAUCGUUACAUUAUUUCAUGGCAUAUCGACAAAUUGGUAUUCAUGCAUACUGUCUAGGUAAAUACGCUUGUGUGAUGAUAAGAGGGCUGGAGCAAAAUGUUUUAACACUCCCAAACUAUCCACAAUUUUGCUUCUUUCUUUUCGUUUAUUUAUAUAUUUAAAUUUGGUUUUGUUUCCAGGAAGCUUGGCUGGGAGCCUAAACCGGGUGAGAGCCAUUUAGAUGCAAAGUUCAGAGAAGAAGUUUUAAUUGCCCUUGCUGUGUUUGGACAUGGCCCGACAAUAAACGAAGCAAGUAGGCGUUUUCAUGAAUUCUUAGAUGACAGAAAUACGCCUCUUCUUCAUCCUGACAUAAGAAAGGUUUGUUUUGUUGUAAACCAUUAAUUAAACACCUUUUAAUUCUCUGUUGAUCAUCAUUAUUAGUAACUCUUAAUUCUUGCACUGCAGGCAGUGUAUGUGGCAGUAAUGCAAAGAAUGAACAUGUCUGACAGAUGGGGCUACGAAUAUCUUCUUAGAGUUUACAGAGAGACUGAUCUGAGCGAGGAGAAAUCUCGCAUUUUAAGUAAUACUACUGAUUAAUUUGUACAAUUAAGGAUGUUGAUCCAACAUCUGAGUUUGUUAUGUCGUUGGAAUAAUAAUGUAUCUGUUUGUGCCUGUAGGAUCACUAGCAUCUUGUCCAGAUCCGAACAUAACACUGGAAGUUCUCAACUUUUUGUUGACUUCUGAGGUAUUUCUGAUUUUGUCUCUCUUAAUUGCAGGUUUAAAUUGUAAUUAGGUACCACAACAUUAGAGUAUCUCAAACCAAUUGUGAUUGACGAUACUGGGUUUAAUCCCAUCGAUUGCCAUCGAUGUAUAUAGGUACGCCAUCAGGAUGCUUCCGCUGUGCUGUCCUCAGUUAGUAGGGAAGGACGGGUAACAGCUUGGACGUGGCUGAAGGUAACUCUCAAUACCACUAGUUUCUAAUGAGCAUGCAUACUAUGAAAUGUACGUACCCACAUUCUAUGAAAUGUACGUACCCACAUUCAUGGAUUUGGUUUCUUUCCUGGUCUUGUUAAUAUGGUUCAUUUUGCCUUCGGGGAUGAUAUCCGAAACACAGGAUAAUUGGGAGCACAUCUCAAAAUGUGUUCUGGAUUUCUAAUUAUUCAGAUUGUCAGUGAAAUUGUUUCACCGGUUCGUUCUCUCUCUCUCUCACUCUCUCUAAACUUUUAAUUGUUCUCGUAUCUGGGGCCUUGUAUCCUUGUGUAAUUACCUUCCUUGCUACGCAGCUAGCGUCAUUUGAGAAGGUUAAAGAUGUAGAUGAGUUCUUCAAAGUCCAUCGUAUCCCCUCGAUAACUAGAACCUUGAAGCAGAGCGUUGAGCGGGUGUGUUGAGGAAAACUGAGAGUACACUGAGGAUCUAACUCAGAAAUUUCACUGUAAAUAGACUUUACCUUGUGGAAAUAUUCGGCAAUCGUCAUGUCUUGUUGGGCCACUGAUAACAACUCGUUCUCAAGGAACUGGAGUCUUGUAUCGUUCCUCUUUGAAAAGAGUGUGGCGAAGGUAUCCCACGCUUUUUUCGGUGUCUUAGCCUUCCGUAUGUGCUCCAACAUGUCAUCCUCGACUACGGUUUUUAGGGCGAACAUGGCUUUUCCUGCCUUGAUCUUCCACUUUUGCAGAGCGCCGUUGGUGUCUUAUUCCGGCUGCGUAACUUCAUUACCGUCGACGACAUCCCAAAGAUCUUGGCCUUGUAGGUAAGACUCCAUACACGUCGCCCAUGUGUUGUAAUUGUUGUUGUUCAACUUUUUUUAUUCCUCCAACAACUUGAAGAUCUCCCAUCGUGUCGGCAGAACUUCGAUAAGCCGAACAAAACUAGUCAACAAUCUUGCGAAGUACUAAACUUCUCACGAUUCUAAAAUGCUUCACUAGAGACGGUCUCUAAUCGUACCGCUCUGAUACCAAUUAUUGAGGAAAACUCAGAAUACAUAACUCUAACACAAGUGUUGAAAAGACAACACAAGUAAACAAAUUACUUGUAUUAUACACACAAAAUAUUACAACACUCACAAAGACAACUUUAAAAGCAAUGACACUCACUUGUUUUUUAGAGACACACUUUAAAUCACUCACACUCCUACAAAACUAUUCUUACUUCUUCUUGAUUGGUUCUUUCUUGAUUGAUUGGUUACAUAGCACCACACCCAUAUUUAUAGGCAUGUUUGCCGACCUCACUAGCACUUUCUAGUGCAUAUUCAUGCACACACUGCACCGACAUACAAGCCCUUCUUAAUUGCCGACUUUAUUACUUGGCUAAGAAUGCCCAUCUAGAUUAUUCUUUAGUGUUUUAGAUUACUCUAGAAUUUGGUUUGUUAACCAACUUCUUAUUCUAGAGUUAUGUAGGAAUUUCUUCACAAAUAAACUAGGCUUAAUUAAAUAUGGGCCUUUUGGGCUGGUGUUGAUUCUUCAACAGGGUGCGAAUCAAUGCCAAGUGGGUUCAGAGUGUUAAGGGUGAGAAAGAUCUUGCCGAUGUUUUGAAGGAGUUGGCAUACAGGAAAUACUAGCUUUGAUAGAAAAAAUGGGUCUGGAUUUUCCUCGGUUAUUAUGCAAGUUACAUAUUUUCCAAAAGAAGAAUAAUGGGACAUGGAUAAAUAUAAAUGCACUGUCAAAUUAUAAUACUAUAUUUUCGAGACACAUAGUUUUUUAUCUAUUUCAUAGAGGGACAAAACUUAUCCAUAUGGCAGGUGAUGUCAUGGUUGCUUUUUUAAUUGUCGUAUUUGCAUUAUUAGAGUUACUAAACUAGACAGCUAUAUCGGCCAAUCGAUAUGCUGACCUCACUCGGAGUGCGUUGGUGUGAAAGUUGAGAAUGCAAACCCUACGUGCUAUAACCGAGAGAACUAAAAAAUCGAAUGAAACAAGUGACUUGCAUGUGAAGAAAGUGACAUAUUAGGGUUUAGGUGUCGAAGGGGAUGCAUGCUUAUGAAAGGGACUGCAAGUUUUGCACAUAAUUAAUCCCAAAAAUUGGUGCGUUAGUUCAAAUUACGGUUAAACUUUCCACGUCCGAAGAAAUAUUUAAGCAGUGUCGACAGAGGUGAAAAAAGGAGUGCCUGGAGUGAAGAUGAGUAUCAUUUCCUUUGUCGUCGUCUUUGAGGAAUUCAGGUGGGCAGGGGAGAGAUCCGUCAACACAAGCAAUCAAACGGUGGCUCUUCAAAACUAGAACGAUCUCAGGAAGCAGAAAGGAAGACGGUCAGCAGCAGGAGGAUUGGUAGAAAUGGUUGACGCGGUGGGACACGCUUGCAAGGGUAAGCAGGAUCGGAAAAAAAGACGGUGUGAAAGAGGCGUAGGCAGAGAAGACGACUGAAGUGAACGGCCUCGAUAACUCAUCAGAGGCAUAAGGUGUGUAUUAUAUUAUCAUGCUGUACAAUGAAUACAUUUGAUACAUGUGAUAUAUUGAGUUGAUGAGAUACAUUUGUACAAUCGAAGACUAAAAACAUCUGAUACAAUGAAUGAUGAUUCUAUCGUUUUAACACCUGGCAGGUGACGAAAGAAUUGUUUGUCAUAAGCUCGACUACAAGUACGCUGUCUCUGGAAAGUGAUGACAACAUGAACAAUAAAGCUAGCAGUUUUCAAUGUGCAGAGACAUCGAAAUGGAACCCAAAGCACGCUGUCUUCAGAUUUCUCAAAGUUCAGCCACGAACCAUUGCCAUCUGCCAUUUUCUUUUCGAGGACACUAUUGGUCUGGUUCAAGAAAUCAGGAGCUUACUAUCCUUGAACCCGUCAGUUCUACCUGGUCACUUAGCAUAGUGUUUCUAUUCCAGGUGGUUCUUCUGUGCUCACUACAUUCAGCAACAGAUGACAUUCUCAGAACUGAACAUUUUGGACAGCCCCAACCUUGAUCACUACGUUAUGAAAACCAGUGCAUUAUCACAUAGUGCAUCAUAAAACUUUGCAUACAAAAGCUUGAAGCAUAGCCGCCCGUAGACCACUUUUGGAUGCUAUUUUUCCUUGGAACAUACUGAGAGAGGAUCUCACAAGUUCAUAAACCUGAGCGACCGCUCUGCAAAUUUUCUUCAAGAACUUCUAGAUGAUGUGAGCCGAUGGCGGACAUAAUUGCAAAAUUGAACUUUGACUGACAUGCUCAUAAGUCACAGUGCAGUCCAGCAUCUUUCCAAGGAAAGCAUCGGUUAGCCAGAAUACAUAGUGAAUUUCCCUGUGUAUUAUAUAUAUCAUCAGAACAUGUAAAAAAAAAAUAAGAGCUGCAAAAUGACUAGAAAACAUGCCGUAGAACAUUUCUUUUGACAACAAGAAGUACAUAGAUUGGUAGUAAGGCCAUCACUCACAGCCAUCCAAUGCAAGAAAGUUUUGCUUUUUCAGAUCAACAGCAAGAACACACCUUGGUAAAUCUAUGAUUCAGGCACAACAGCUUUACCUUUAUAUUAGUCGCCCUGAAAAGGUUGCAAGGAACCCCACGAUCUUCCAACUUUCAGUUUGACAUGCAACGGAACUGGACAACGAGUACUUAAAUUAGGUACAGCAAACAAAUGUCCUCAAAUUAUCGAGCAUUAAGCAAUGUUCCAGAAACUUUAGAAAUAUACCACGAAGCGAAAUAGCAUUUUCCAUGCUCCUCUGUAGCAGCAAAGCAGCCUCCUUUAUCACAACAGGAUCAACUUCCAGUACUAAUUCAUCAUGCACCUGGUUAGAAACAACCAACAAACAUUGUUACAUGAGUUGCCUUGUAAAUGAAGCAAAAUUAUAUUUAAUUAACAAAGCUAACAAGAUGCUAAAUAUUUUAGUUUCUUAAUAUCUUCCUCUACAUUUCGAAUUGACCAAAGAACAUAAAAUUAUAGAAUUGUAAACAGAAUUUCCAAAACCAACCUGUAAUAAAAUUCGGCAGCGGCCCUUCAGUACGUGUAACUUUGUUGCAGGGUGAGAAGAAGAAUCAGGCCUUUCAACACCUUCAACUAUCACGGAAUAUAUAUAUUUAUCACUGCAAUCUUAAUUAUGUCAGCAGCAGAUCCCUGUAAAAGGAAGACAUCAGAGAAAAAUACUACACUUCAGUGAUUACCUUUAAACACCCACACUCCUCAUCCCCACAGAAGGGAGGGAAAAAGUCAUACCUGACUGACAUAUAGAAUUCACAGCUUCUCUGAGCCUUUGACUUUUCUUUACUAUUCCCAAGUUUUAUUUUUGACAAAAAGCGCUUUCUUCCCUUAGGGUUUUGAUAAGUAUUUAUCAAAUAUAGCCAAAAAUGAAUCCUUAAUUUCAAAAAUGUCAUUUUUUAUAAAAAAAUUUCAAAUGUAUCCAAAAUUCCACUUAAAUAGACGCAAAUACCCUCAAAUUUAACAAUCAAAUAAAUUAAAGGUUUUUUAGCCAAAAUGAUUCGUGACAUUGACAUAACUCAUUAAUAUGGUCCUUAACAAUUAAUGAUAAUCAAUAGUAGUGUUCUUGAAUUUGUUAUCAGUAAUCAUUUUAGUCUUUCUUUGAAUUUAUCCAUUGUGAUCAUUUUAGUUUUUUCGUGAAAAAUCUAUCAAUUACUCUGUUAGCGUGAUGAUGUGGCACCAUGUGGGUUUCACAAAUACAAUCAUAUAACGACAUGUGGAUUAACUUUAAAAACUAUUUUUUUAUAUUUAAAACUAAAAAUGAUAUUAGUAAGAAAAAAGACGUUGACGGCAUGAUUGAAAUUCUACUACUCGCACUUGCGGUAACCGCAGUGGGGCUCAAUGUCAGUGAUGAGGGGUCGAAGGGGAUAGGGUUGUGGUGGAGUGUAGAAGCGAAGGUGAAAUUGGACCGAAGCUUGAGGCAACAGUAGCUAAAACGCCUUUAAUUUAUUUAAUUGUUAAAUUUGAGGGUAUUUGUGUCUAUUUAAAUGAAAUUUUGGAUAUAUUUGAAAGUUUUUAUAAAAAGUGACAUUUUUGAAAUUAAGAGUUAAUUUUUGGCUAUAUUUGAUAAAUAAUGCACAUAAUGAACAGUUGAAUAGCUUCAAAGAAAUGUUUACAGCAUUGUAUUACAAGGGAACUAACAGACUCUUCUGGAAUCCCAGUCCAUCUAGCCGCUAUCAUGGUGAAGACAUCACCAUGGGAUUACUAAGGAGUUCAAUGAGUGCAGAGUCUUUAGAGAAUGUGCCAUCAGCCGCAAUUCUAUCUGAGAAUAAUCUGCAGUUACAACAAUAAAACAAUUAACGUACACCAUAGAGUCAUAAAUCCCAUCCCCUUCUCCUAGUUAAUAUCCCACAAAAAAUUUCCUAGUCUGAAUAUAUGACAAUUCUGUACCAACCCUCCCCCACAUCCUCAUCUACUCGAGAAUUUUGUUGACUUUUAUGGUAUAAAUAUAAUAAUUGUUAAAGUUCUUUGAAUUAGCUGGGUUUCUAUGCAAGUAAGAAAUCUGAGAGAAUAGAGAAAGAUGCAAUAUGAAGAAAUGCUCUGCUCACUCUCAAAGUCUGAGAGGUGAUAUUUUCAUAUAUAUCUCACAGAACACACGCACUAAGGCAUAAGUACAUAACUGCUAGCCUUAGCUGGAUACACACAACCAACAAUACAAUCUCAGCCUUACACUUGUCAUAAUCUAAGACUAAGUGAAUAUACAAUUCAAAACAAGGCUUAUUUACUUUAACUUUACUUAGCUCACAGCUUAUACACUAAUAAUAAUAACACACAAAUGGCCUUCAAAUACAAGAGCAAGCUGAUCGUUACCUGAGUAGGAAUGAAGUAAUCGCGAGCAUUGAUGUUCAAUUGAUCAACAUCAGUUUCGUUUCCAUUUCCAUCCUUAUAUAUUUUAAAGUCAACCAUAUGUUCAACACACUGCAUAAAUCAAAAAGAACAAAAUGUGAUAAGAUAGUAAUGAUUAAAUUUUGUUAACGACUGAAGGAGAGGGAAGAGAGAAUAAAACGACGCAUGGGAAACCCAAACCUGGCGAUUUGGUUCCUCCAUUAAAGGCGACCAGUUGCUGUUGAUGUUUGGAGCCAAUGACCAUGUAAUGUGUACUAAUUCUGUGUCCUCACAGAGCCUACCCAGUGAACAAAUUGAUACCAAUGUACAGUUUAAAAGUUUUGCCAACGUACGAUGCUCCUUAAUGACGGGAAUUAUGGGAUGCUCAUCCCUGAAAUGAAAUCGAUUAUAGGAUGCUCAUCCAUCAAAACAAUGAGAGGCUGAUGCCACAAAAUCAAGAGAUUCAAAUGUGCAAGCAAGAAUACUUUAAUACCAUCUCCUUCAAGUGUUCAAUAUUCAAACAAAACAAUCUAAAUGGGAUGGAAGCCUCUAUGGAAUCAAAUAACUAAAUGGUAAUCCUAUUCGCUUGAGUAUUUAUAUUUCAACAGCUUAUUCACACCUGAGAGGGGGUAAGGUUACGAAGUACGAUAGAAGAAUAGAAGUCUCGCUAAUACCUUAAUAAAUCCAAGCAGUGCUUGUCCGUACUUGGGUGUUGUUUCCCCUUGUUGCGGCCCUCUGGUAUGGGCAGCUUUUAAGUGUGUUGUGAUUGACUCAUAUUUUGAGCUGACAACAAUGAAGUGACCUGUGUUUUUUUGGUGGAAAUAUCACAUGAUGUGGGCUGCAUGAAAGUUGCAGACAAGUGCUGCAAAGUAAAAGCAAAAGUGGACAACAAGCCAAAUGUUUUUCGGCUAAUAAACUAAACAAAGAAAAGUUGUGUUGUGAUUGACUCAUAUUUUGAGCUGUCAACAAUGAAGUGACCUGUGUUUUUUGGUGGAAAUAUCACAUGAUGUGGGCUGCAUGAAAGUUGCAGACAAGUGCUGCAAAGUAAAAGCAAAAGUGGACAACAAGCCAAAUGUUUUUCGGCUAAUAAACUAAACAAAGAAAAGUUUGGUGCACAUCAUCAUGAGUAAAGACACAAUGAUAAUGCUUGUAAGAAAAUAGAAAAAAGUGGUUGCUUUUAGUUUAAUGAUUAUGAAGAAAUGUGAUGAUGGAUUGGCCUUUAUUUAAUGCAAGGAAAUGCUUGCUUUAUGUGUGCUUGCCGAGAGAGAAGGUUUGCAUCAGAAAAGCAUCCAAGGUGGAGAAAGCAUUUGGUUCUCCCAUGGGAAAGGUUAAACAUGGGUUGAGAGAAAAUCAAGAGAGCUAGAGUGAAAAGUAUUAUAGUGAAAGAACUCUUGGGUAGAGUGAGGCUCUUGGGAAAAUGCUAUGAGUGGGUGUGCAAGGGAUUUGGGAUUGAGUUAUGUUGAUUUAACUCAUGUGUACUUGUACUGUUAUUCAUAGUGAAGAGCAAUAUCUCUUCGGGGACGUAAGCAUGUUUUUGCCGAACCUCGUAAAUUUUUAGGUGUCUUUAUUUCUUGUAUUUUAUUUUGUUCAACUGAGUGUGAUUUGGUGAGGUUGUAAUCUGAAUCUCGUUUCCGCACUAACGAACACGCCAAGGCACAACAAAGUGUCCAUACAUAGAUUAGCAAAUCUGGUGCCGUAGAUAACGAAAAUUUCAUGCCAGCCAACUUAUAGGCUUCCUUCUCAAGCUGCCCUAGCUUUUUUCCUAACACCUUGCGUGCUUGUAAGCAUCCCUCCAUGUCAAGACCCACUCCCCAGAGCUCCAUGUCGGCAAGAAUAUUAACCUAGCAUACAAAUAAGCAAUAAGCUAUUGUCGAAGUGGUUGGGUUGGGUACUGGUUCUCAAGCACCCAACUAAACAGUGGUCAUGCAUUUAAAUCCAAAACAAACAAUAGCAAUAAUGUAAACCUCAAAUAAAAUGAAGCUCCCUCAAAAAAAUUAAGUCAGAUGCUAUGAAAGUAACUUACCAAUGGGAAUUCAAAAUCUAGGAGGGCUUCAGUGAGGUCUUCAGCAACAAUUAACUUCCAAAGAACAGAACAUAAGGCUCAUAUUUUUGCAGCCCGAUGGUAGCAACCGUUAUGUGCAGCUCUUCGCAUCUGAUUCUUCCACCUGCCAUUCCGAUUAGCAGCUGAUGCAGCUUCACUAGAUAACCUUUUCUUAACUUCCUAUAAAUCGUUCUAAAAUCUUCAAAUGCAAAUUCAGUAACGAUGAACAUGUAAAUAUUGAAUGAAAGAAUUAUAGUUAAACACUUCUGCCUUUAAGAAAUGCUUUGAUUGAAAUGAUGAAGUUUCUUUUUUGGGAGUUUUAACAAAAUACUCCUGGUACUGUUCACUUUUAAUGAAAAACCAUAUUUAUACAUUUCCCUGGUAUUAUUCACUAUAUCUUUAAAAAGAAUUUUCAUUAAAAAAGAAGUUUUUUUGGAUUUUUCGUUAAUUUUCCUUUAUAUGAACCGGAGGCAACAGGAGAGUUUUCCCAACAGAUGGCUAUGCCAUGUAUUUCAAAGGGCGCAACAGAAUUCAAUUCCGAUCGUUUGUUGUAGUGAAUAUCAAAAUAGAACUCUCAGAUGGAUCCCCAGAGAUCCAAGAAGGAAUCAAAACCGCCAAGAGUUUUAACUCCAUGAAUAGGGCCUUUCCCACAAGCAUUGCUUUUAUAGCUAGAGGACAAAUUCUCCCUUUUGUAGCGUUUCUGUUUUUCAAGAGCAAGAGAGUCAUCAGAUGCCCUAGUUCUAUCAAUUAAGCUUUAUAACUCAACCCGGUCAGUCAAAUCAGUACUUUUCGUUUAAUCCAUCGCAGCAGUAAGAUAAUCCAGCCCUCGAAGAUGUACUUUAGAAUUGUCAGCACUAGACUUAAUUUGCAUGACACCAGUUCACUUUACUUCUGCAGCCUUUUCAGAAUGAACCCUACCUUCCAAAGAUGCUUUAGCAGCGUACUCUGUGCUGCGCUCUACAUUAGGGAAGCUACUAGUGGAGUUAUCACCAGAGGAAUUUCCUUCUCCUUGCAUACUGGGACUUCCACCACCAGUUAAAAAUACCGGUCCAGAAAACCGUGGGACAUACAUGUUGGUGGAUAGUCGCCAAAUUAGUGGCCAACUUGGCAUUCACUUUCGGCUAGAAAAUUAAACAAAGAAAAGUUUGGUGGACAUCAUCAUGAGUAAAGACACAAUGAUUAUAUUUGUUGAAAAAAAAAAGGAAGGUCACGAUGAUGUUUGUAAAGGAAUGAUUAUUCCUUUACUUUGGAUUUUUUUUAUUAAAUGCUUUUGUAUGGAUAAAGGUUUUCAGCCGAAUGAGGGAGGGAAGGGGGGAGCGGCAGAUGAGAGAAACCAGGGAGAGCAUUCGGCUCUCCCAUUUGAAUAUGAGCUGCUCCUUCCCACCAUUUGUAAUAAUCUCAUUUUGUUAGUAAUCACUCAAUCAAAGAUGUUGGUGCUACUUGUUGUGUUUGGUUCAUACAUUUGUGAGUAAUUAUGAGUCAUGUGUUAACAACAAUGAAGUGACUUGUGUUUGCUUUCGGUGGAAAUAUCACAUGGUGUGGGUUGCAUGAAAGUUGCGUGCUGCAAAGUAAAAGUAAAAGUUUGGUGGACAUCAUCAUGAGUAAAGACAUAAUGAUAUGCUUGCUUUUGCUUUAAUGAUGAUGUUUGUUUUUUGCUUUAAUGAUGAUGCAAGACACAAUGAUGAUGACUAUGAUGGCUAUGAUGCAAGAACUAUUUUGUGCGCACCAUUCUUGAUCUUCUUUGCUACGCCUACUUGGAUGCGCCUUUGAGCUGAACCUUCUGCAGUCAUAGUAUCAUCUUACCAAUAUUAGGAAAGAAUGCAGGAAAAAUACGCAAUAAAAUCAAAAUAACUUUAAGAAAUAGUAAAAUAAGUUAUAAAAGAAAAGUGGGCAAAAACUCAUCUUCAUAAAAUAAAGUACAUAAACUAUAGAGCUAGAACCAUCCAUAUGAACAAAUAUUAUCACAAUCCCGCUGGCAAACAAGCAUAUGAAACAAAUGCAUCUGAGCAAACUUACAUGCAUUUAGAAAGCUAAUUGUUGUACAAUACUUGACUGGAAAGAGUACCGUUGUGCAUUUCAUUGAAAGACCAGAAAGAGAUUCGCGUUCAGAAAAAGGUCUUGGAAUUAGUUAUCACACACUAAAAUUUUCCUUCUUAGGCAGAAUUCUUUUCUGUAGUUACUGGUUUGUAAUGUUACAUAAACUCAAUUCCUUUUUUAAAGGUCAAAGAGAAUGCAUGGAGUAAGCUAAGAAACACACUUCGGGUUUUCAGAAUGUCUCCAAAGCAAAGAAAUGCUAAGAACUAAGCUAAGAAACAAUUAUUUCUUAAUAGUCCUGGUAACCAUCACAAAUCAAACAUAGUUUAGAAGAACAUGAUCUUAUCAGGACAUCAGAUGAUAUUAAGAUAUCAUUUACCAGGAACUUAUCACAGGAAACUGAGAAGCCGUGUACUAAAAUUAGAAUCUUAUAUGCAUCACCUUGUUCGUUCCAUGAUGAAAAUUCAAAAAGAGCUUUGACUAUUUCAGGGAUGGACGCUUCAGCAAUUGCUAAAGGAGUACGCAAGCCAGCUUUAUAGAGUGCCCUCGCUCGAGAACCCUACAGAUCAGCACAUACCAUUUACAAAUAAAUAAAUAAACAUUACUGUUGAGCAUAUGUCAGGUAUCAAAAGGAGGUUACGAAUGUGACUGUAGUUCACAUACCUUGAUAUAUGGAAUUGUAGUAAGCUCUACAAUCUCUGCUCUCACUCCAAAUGAAACACGAUUUUGAAACUUGCAAACCAAGCCCUCUAAAUCAUGCCAUCCACGCCUCUCACAAACACAUGGUUAACCAUCGAUGCAAACCUUUCUCUUGUAAGGCCUGCACCAUACCUCUAGCCAUUUUGAAAGCUUCACGUACUCAGUGAUAGCAGCUUCCUUCACCACAUAUUGAAGAGUUCACAUUUAGCAAGGCAGAAGUCAACAAAUCUCACAAUAUCCCAUAAAUAAAUAAAUCUAAACUGAUAGAUACUUUUUUUUUUUUUUAGAAACUUCGACGGUACAAGGUAAUUUUAUUGAUAACAAAAAAAUAAGUUACACCUAGUUUGUGGAGACAUAAACCUUACCCCUAAAAAACAGAGACAACAAAAAGGAAUACACAAAAAAAAAGAGGGAACCUAAACCUUACCCUUCUAGAAACAAAAAACGAGAAUGAUACAAAGAAAAAGGAGGGGGGACAUAAACCUUAUCAUUCUAAAAAAAAAAAACAAGAAUGAUACAAAGGAAAAGGGGGGACAUGAAACCUAACCCCUCUAGAAUCAAACCUAAAGGUCUAAACUUGCAAAAUAAGUCAAAUGACAUCAUAAAGUUAGGAGAAAACAAGAAAGUGAGACAAAUCUGGAUGCCGACAUGCACAUUAAUUUGAGAAGUGGUAAUCAGACAAGUCAACAUAGUCUGAAAACAUAGUAGCACGAACAACUAUCGAAGGAGAAUCAUGCCAUGUAAAACUGAUGGAUACUCGAAAAAGAAAAAGAGCAAAAAUUUAAAUUACAAGACGAAAGGAACAAAAUGUAUGUCACCUCCCAUGUGCGUGUGUAUAGAUGGUUGAUUUCGUCAUAUCGAGUUCAUUGAAGAGGUGAAGUCAAAGUUGAUUUGAUGCUUCAAUUAUAUUGUUUUCAUUUCGAUUCAGGUGAAUAAGUAGAAAGUUUAUAUAAAAAUAAUAUUAUUUACUCUAAUUCUAUAAAGUUUAGUAAGCAGUUCUAAUGUGAAAAUCCAAUUAUGAUUUUUCUACUUUCUUUUCUUUCAUUUUACUUACAAAUUAGUAAACGAGCUAUAAUAAGAAUAUCACCAAGAGAGACUUUAUCCUCUAUAAAGAUACUAUAUUUUAAGCCUUAAUGAGAAAUGAGGAGAAAAAAUGUGUGUGAUUAAUAUUUAUCGUUUAACAUGUUGAAAUUAAGUAUGCCACAUAUAAACAACCGAGCUUUAUCGUCCUUACUUGAACAACUAAACAGUAUUCCACGAUUUCUUUCGCUCAAAGUAAAGCAUAUAUGCCCCUAAUAGAAUCCACAUUUUUGUAUUCUUAAUUAAAUUUUAAUAAGAACAUUUAAUACUACGAUCUAAUGUUAUUAUUCUUCACUUGUAAGUGAGAGUUUAUAUUCGAUUUUCACUAAAGACAAUUUUGAACCACAUUACAGCUAACCCAUUAUGAGGCUAAGCGUAUCCUCUCUCAUUUAUUUAACAAAAAAAAUUAUAUAACAAAGUUAGAAAUCAAAAUGAUUUUUUUUCUCUUAUAUUCAUUUUUAGUAAUUACAUAUGCCUUAAAAAUAAACUAAUUGACACAAAAAAAAAAACACAAUAACUGAUCAAAUCAAACAUUUCUAUAUAUAAGUGUAUUCUUCUCCAAAAAAUACAAAAGAAUGAUAGAGACAUCAAAAAACAAAUGUUUUUAUAUUAUAUAGCAUUUAAAAACAUAUGUUAGAUUAGAGGGAAUAUAGAAUAUAGAAUAUAUAGCCUCUCGCUCAAAAAAUAAAAGUAAAAUGUAAAAAAGAAAAAAGAAUUACAGAGAGACAAGUACAGUCGAGAAAUUCUAUAAAUUGGAGCGAGGAGAGUAGAGGAAGAGUCCCGCGCGGCAUCUCAGCGAGCGAUCGAUUUAGGGGUUUUCAUCAGAAACCAGAACAAGUUUACAAACAAAGCGAAUCGGCUUACAAGUUCACAAACAAAGCGAAUCGGCUUAGGGUUCGCACUCUUCCUGUUCUCUGGAGAACCAGCAUUGCAUCGAUUACUGUCUUCGGCUCUGCAGAGAGCCGCUGUAAGGUUCGAUUUUGCCCCUCUCAUUGUUUUAAUUCGUUAAAUUUUCACUCGCGAAUUGUUUCUUUGAUUGGUGGUUGUAUCUGGGUUUUAUUCGUUUGAUUUAAUUGUCAGAUUUUUUGGGUUGGUUGAAAAGUUUUGGAAUUUCAUGCAUUUGGGGAUUGUUCUAUGUGUAAUUAUCUGUGGUUUUCAUCAUUUAAUUAGUUUUUUUCCCCCUUCGGAGGUCUUCGGGAUGUAAUUUUGAUUGCUUAAAUCGGAGGCACAAGAUAGUGCAGUGUUAGUGUUCCAGGAUAUUGGGAGUCUGGGAUUCUAGGGUUUGUUUUUGUAUCAAUUGAAAGAUGUUUUAUUAAUUAAAAAAAAAGAUGUUUUAUUAAUUUAUGGAGAGAAGGUCUUGAUUUGUUAUCGAACAGUUAUUUAAGUCUUAAGAUAAGACAAAUUUAGUACUGUCCUGAAUCAGUUUCACUUCGCUUGAAUGUAUUCCUCUUUAUUCCUUUGAACUGCAGUAGUGUUUUCUGCUUAAGAUAAACCGGGAUUGGUAACCGUAGUGGAAAAAAAAAAAGAUUUUUUGGGUGUAAAUUGUUCUCGGGAAUCAUUAUCUUCUUACAUUAUUGACUGGCAAUUGUUCUAUCAAAAUAUUGGUAAUAGGUUUUUCCUACUUUUUCAGGUUAACUGUGAGUCUGCUUUUGAAGAGGCCUGGUGGGGGAAUAUGGAACAAGAUACACGGACUGAAAAGCUUGAAUUUACAUGGGGAAAGAAGAAAGGAAAGGGAGGGAAAAAUAAGGACGUUCAGUUAUGAAUCUUUUACUUUUGAUGGUGAAGAGUACACGCUGUAUGAUUGCGUUUAUCUUUACAAGGAAGAUGAACCUGAGCCUGAGAUUGGAAAGCUAAUAAAAAUAUGGGAAACUGGUGAGAAGACAAGGAAAGUUAAAGUUCUAUGGUUUUUUCGUCCUUGUGAGAUUUCAAAUUUUCUUGGAUGUGAAGAGGUACUUGAGAAUGAGUUGUUCUUGGCAUCCGGUGAUGGUGUGGGCCUUGCGAAUCUUAAUCCAUUGGUACUUACAUUUUGAUUUAUGCUCUUAACUAAUUUUAUCAUUUGUAUUUGUUAGAAAUGGAAUGAUUAAUUGAUCACGUAAAGGUGUGGUAUAUAGUUUGUUAGCCUAAAUGAAUAUAGUCUUUCUGAUUUUCAAUCAAUAAUGAUGCAGGAACUUUCCAUACUAUAUAUCUUUGCAAUGCUAUUGUUUCUUUUCUUCGUUCUGCUGCCAAGUUUGUCUUCAAUUUUUCACUUCAUUUUUCACCGAGUUGACUAAACCGUGCAGUUUCUUUUAUAGAUUGGUUGACGUGUUUGAAUAUAAUUUACAACAAAUUCUACUUCUCUGAUAUAGUAGGACCGUGAAACAUUGUUAAGCUUCUUAGUGUUCUAUUUUUUAUAUUUCUUAAAAGACUCUAAUUGGCAAUCCUUACAACUUUGAUUUCCAGCAAUACAAUAAGAUUUGCAUUCCCCUUGUGAUGACAUAAAUUGUGUCAGAUUACAUGUUGCCCCUCUCUCUCUCCCAGAUUACAUGUUGCCCCUCUCUCUCACACACACACAAUUACAAAUACAUGCUAAGGCUGAACUUGGGUUUUGAACUUUUGGUAGUAUUUGAUAGAUGUUAUAUCCCUAAUAGACAUGGUAAUAUUACAAGUGAGAAAUGGUUUCAAUUGGUAACUACAACAACAACAACAACAAAGCCUUUUCCCACUAAGUGGUUUCAAUUGGUAACUGAUUGUAAAUAUUCUUGCGCUAAAUGAAACUAAGCACUUAGAAAAAUAUAUUAUGUGCAUGUCUUGGUUAGUAGGAAUUGUAUUUAGACUUUAUAAUAUGAUAGCAUUGUAGCACAAUCUUAACAAGUUAAGAUGUGGACCAACGGUUAUGUUAUGUUCUAACACUGCCCCCCAAUCUUGGGACUCUCUUUAUCACAAGAGUUCAUUUGUGGAUUUCAAGCUUUGUUGGAAGGUACAAUUGCAGAGACUUCAACAUUGAAUUCUCAUGCUUUGAUACCAUAAUAAAAUUUUAUGUUGUUAAGAUAUAAAUCGACAAUUAUUUCAUAUUCUACUAUUAAAGAUCAAUGGUCUAGUUGCUGAAGUUUUAUAAUCAAAUCAGGAAGCCAUUGCUGGAAAAUGCAAUGUUCUUUGCAUUUCAAAAGACAAGGAAAAUCCUCAACCAUCAGAUGAAGAGCUUCAAAUGGCCGAAUUUGUGUUUCGUCGAACCUUUGAUGUUGGGCUGCAAAAAAUCACUGACAAGAUAGAGGGAGCAAUUGCUGGGAUUGAUGGUAUGUAUAUCUAUCAACUCGGACCCUUGUAGUUUGACUUAUAGUUGCAUGUUUAUUUUCAUAUUUUGAGUCUUAUAUCUUUGUUUAUGUAAUUGUUGCAGUUAAAUUCAUGUUUAACAGAAGGGAUAUUCAGAAGCCUGGUGGCGUUCUGAAAGUUGAUUUAGGAAAAAAUGAAGUUUGUGGGAAUUCCAUAGCAAGUAAUGAAACAGUGGUUCUAUCAAACAAAAAUUCAUUUAAAGAAAAUAUCACUUUAGAGACAAAUGGAAAUAUUGUUGAUUCGUCAACACUAGAAAAGGGUGAUUUGGUUAAGCAUAAACCAUCACUUGUAGAAAAACCUGCUUAUGGUGUAGGUUUAAAUUCAAAUGAAAAGGAUAAAAUGAAUGAAAAACAGGAACAUGUGUCAAAUCCCAAGGUCUUGUUGAGUUCUGAAGUUAAAAGUGAUGAAGGUGAGGUUAAGUGUGGUAAAGUUCAUGCACAACAAGUUGAAGUGGAAGAAAAAGUGAUGUUCACUAAGGAUAACGUUGAUUCGGAUAAUAGGCCAACCAAGAAGGCGAAGCUUGAUAAUGGUAAAGGUAGUGAGCAAAUACUUGCGAAGGUAGAAAGAAAGAAAAAAUGUACCAAUGUUUGUGAUUCGAAGGCGAAGAAUGACACUUCAAUUGAAGUGGUCAAUGACAAAAAGAAUAGUAGUGACCUGAGUUGUAUGAAUGUUACAAAGGUUGUAUCCCCAAAUGUUCCUGUUGAAGUGGAUCAUGGACAAUCUAAAAAGCCGAAGCUUGAAUCUUCGAUUGAAGUGCCCAAUGACAAAAGCAAAAGUAGUGACCUAAAGCAUGUGAAUGCUACAAAAGUUUUAUCAUCGUCUACCUCUGCUCUUGAUGAUAAAUCCAAACUUAAGCGUGCAAAGGAUUCUCUUGGAACAAACAAUGCCCUUCUCAAGAAGAUGAAGCUUGAUGACAAGGCAAUGACCAUUUCCGAAGGCAACAAUGGUAAGUUGCCUAAAGCAUCUCAACGUAAAGUCAAACAUGUAGAGGAUUCUCGUGGAGCAAAUGAAGAGUCUUGCAAGAAGAUAAAGCUCGAUGAGAAAGCCAUGGCACCUUGUGAUGGCAAGUUGCCUAAAGUACCUCCUACACAAUCUCAAAGUAUGGCCGAAAAGGUUGAUGGCCAAGAAGUUACUCGACGUCCCGAUGUUGUAAGUAAUGCCAUUCUUUCCUCUUUUCAUUCUAGUCCAAAUGAUUCCCUUAUUGAGAGUGUGAGUUGUCGUUAUUCCCCACAUUAAGUCGAAUAUUGGUGUCAUUUCUAGCAUGUUUUUUUCUUUGGGUCUUACAAAUACCAUGCAUUGUUUUAUAUGGUGGAGUGUCCAUAUAUCCUAUCUCUCAUGGUUGAGGGUUUUUCCAAUGCAAAACUUUGGCGACUCCCUAGGUUGUCAUAAUUGGAACUACUUUUAGCGUUGAUUUUGGAACGUUAAAUACUUUGGAGAAGGUUGAUAGUUAUGUUUUCGCAAUUGCAUAUCCUUGGAGAUGCUCUAAUUAUGUAGAGGUAGGAUGUUGGAGUUAAGGCUUUUGUAGUUAAGGCACAAAUUGGCACUUGAUUGUAGCAUUCGAUAAUUGAGUUCUACUCAAAGAAUUGGCACUCAUUCAUUGUACACCUGUGGCGAGUUGACUCUCGUUUGUACUUAAUUGUGGUGUGGACAUUGUGUGUCAUGUGCUACACAAGAAUUGCUUCAUGGCUUGCCAAAAUUGGUUUUUUUUCUAAAUGAAUAAUGUCAAGGCUAUCACAAACUACCAAAGUUUUCAAGGAAUAUUCAAAUCAUCAACCAAACUUCAAAUUUGCAGUGCUUCUUUCAUGACUUGACAAUGUUUCUUCAUCAAAUUGUCCAUUCGCGUCAAUUGUUUUUCAUGUUCUUGCCAUGCAGAAUUAUGGUAAAUUUUGAAACUUAUGGAGUUCAAAUAUAUAAAGUUGAACCAUUCCCAAAUGUUGUGUGCGAGUUCAUGUCAUGAAUUAUUUCGCUAGUAGUUAUAGUAAUGGCAACAAUGUUCCACUAUUUUAUUUGUAGUUAAGGUAUCUCCCUUGUUCUCAUCGUUGCUAAAUUUGAUUAGUGUCCACGUGGUGAAACCCUUAUUGGGUUGAAAGUAGUUUUUACUUGUUUCCUUCUUCAUUGUGCUCCUUUCAUUUAGAACACUAAGAGUGCGUUUGUUGCAUCGACUAAAUCGGACUAGACUAGCUUCAUGGAUUUAGCCGGACUGACUUAGAAUAGACUAAGCUGGACUGACUUAGUUAAGUGUUGGGUGCAGGAUAAUUAUACAAACUCUAAUAUUAUAUUAUUUAAUCCAUAUCUAUUAGUAUUUUGAUAUUAAUUCUAUCUUUUUCUUUUUUAUAGAAACCUCUUCCUCUCUCUUUAAACCUUUCCCUCUUUUUCUUUGUGCCAUUCUCUCUCUCCCUUCUUCCUCCUUUUCUCCCUCCAACUCAAGAAGUUGGAGAGCUCUAGAAGGCACGACAAAUCAAAUCCCUCCAAUCCCAUUUGAAACUCGAAUCGAAUCCCUCUGGAAGUUGGAAGAUCAAGAUGAAAAACCCAGAAGUCAAGACGAAAGCUAAGCUCGAUCAUUUACUUGUUGGAUCCCAUUUGAAACCCAGAUCCAAUCCCUCAAAAUCAUGGCCUCCUCCUACCCGAGCACCACCGCACCCUUUUCUUAGGCAACUCCCACAACCACCUAACGAGAACAACCAAUCCUCAUCGCCUUUGUUCGAAUGGGUUCGAAUUCAGAAGCCAUUGAUGCCCUUUUGCAGCAGAAGCUCUUAAGUGGCGGGGACGACGAGGCACUCAAGAUCAUGCGCAGCCUUUCACCACUGAGUGGAAGUUCAUGAUGGAGAGGAUUCUCGUUGAAAUGGGUGAAAACGAUGGGGACAAUGAACACGUAUUGCUAAUCCCAACUUUUCACACGGUAUUAGAGGUGAGGCGCGAAGGCUCGUCCCACUUAAUCUCAUUAAAGCUAGUCCUUUAACCAUGCCAAACAAGGAACUAGGACAAUAACUAAGCCAAUCCUAGCUAAGGAGGCCAAACAACCGGGAAGGGCUCAUUUGGAACUUCCUUUAGAAUGGAUAAAAGCAUUUUUAGAUAACCAAGGGCACUUUCUUUUUUAGGAAGCACGAUUACUCAUAAGUGAUUUUAUACUCAUUAAUCUUUUCUUAUUUUCACAUUAGAUGGUUUCAAACUGUGGACCUAACCUACUCGUGCAAGUCACCCUACGUCCACCCUCAAUACUAGGCUCAUAAGUGCUUUUAUAAGCCACAAGCAUUUUUAAGUUUUUCUACCAAGCGUUGAAGAAGUUUUUUGGUUAUCCGCAAGCGCUUUAAAGCUCACUUGGAACUACUUGUUUAGAAAGCGCUUUGGCUACAAGUGCUUAUUAAACACCAGUUGAGGGUUUGGUAGUCAGGUUUACUGUUAGUUCUUUUGUGUUAUUAAUGCCUAGUUCUUCCAAAAUGAUAACAUAAAGAUUCCCAAAAAGUUAACCUUGUAUUUAGUUCUUACAGUUGCUCAUCUUCAUUCUUGCAGGACAGAAGAACAUGGUUCAAGGGAUUUGUGAGUUGUUCAUUUUCACUUAUAUUCUUGGUUUUAAUUGUUAAUUUUGAAUCUCAAGUUUUUGUUUAUUGUUGAAUUUGAUUCUAGUGCAUUGCACCUGUAAGGCCUCAAAACUGUCUUCCACUCUAUUGCCUAGGGGCAAGGAAACAUAAUGGGGUGUUCUCAAUUUGAACCUCAAUUAGUAAUUACUUUCACCAAAAAAGUUAAAAGAGAAGUUCCUUUAAAUUGACAUUUAAUGGAUGUUUUAAUGUGGACGGUAGUGGGUGCCAUGUUGGACUGAUGAAAUGUCUUUUAUCAAUGUCAGCCUUGGGAGGAUAGAAUUCAGGCUGCACAUGAGCAAGGCACCCUUGUUCUGCUCCAGAAUUUGGAUCCAGCAUACACUUCAGCACAAGUGGAGGUAACAGUUGCAUUGGAGCUUUAGUUGCAAACACUGUUAUUACUUGGAGUAUAGAUUUUGAACUAAAUGUACUAAUGCAGUAUGUAGUUGUGUGUUUACUCGUCCAAUUUU